UAAUAAUGGACAGAUUUCAACAACACCCAAACUUUUUCUCCCGUUUUUUCUUCUCCCGUUUUCUUUUCUCAGAUGAGCUGCUGUCCAGAUCUGCGAAUAUAAAGAACUUUAGCCGACGAAAAUAUAAUUUAGCCGACGAAGGAAAAUUUCGUCGGCUAAAGUGUACUUUAGCCGACGAAAAAUUGUUUCGUCGGCCUGUUUUUUUUUUUUUCGUCGGCUAAAGUCUUUCUUCUGGUAGUGUUUUCUCUGUUAACUGAUGACAAGGCCGUUAAAAAAUUGCCACAUCAGUGCCUAGUCAGCUCGAAAUUUUUUUAGUAUCCUAUAUUACCCCUGCAACACAGAAAACUCAGCUGUCCUAAAUUCAAAACCACCAAAUGAAGUGCACACACAUCAUCCCCCUAAGCUCAAAACCAGCAAAUACCCCAAAAGCUGAUCUGCAAAAUAACAUCAACCAUAAUCUAAAGCAAAACCUGCAAAACUUGCAAAACCUAAUACCAGAACAUGUACCAAGCAAAACCUGCAAAACUUAAUACCAAAAGUCCAAAACCUAUACCAAAACAUGUACCUGCAACCAUAAUAACAACCAACACUUUCCAAAUCCAUAACAGCAACCAAUAGUAAUAGGUAGAUCUCCAUUAAUUUAGAUUUAGAACUCUAACAUCGUUCAGUCGUAAUAGGCAGAAACAUGUUUGGCAUACUGUAGCUUAACAAAAAUGACCACAAAAGCCACAUUACAUCCCUCAUAAACUAUUGUAGUAUGUACAGAAUUUAGCUCUAAUCAUCCUAACAAAGAUUAGAGCUAGCAACUAAAUUACAUCGCACUUAGUUGCACAAAAAUAGGAUGUCUAAUAUUCUGCCUAUGCUAGAGUUUAGCACUACUAAUCUCCUUUAACUGACCUAUUUCUGAUUCUUUGAGAUGCUCUUGUUGAAGAUGCAAAUGCAUUUUGCCUUGACAUUGAAUUUAGGGCAGCUGAGCUUUGUGUUGGCCUUGAAGUCGGGGCAACUGUGUUUUGGGUUAGCCGUGAAGUUGGGGCAGCUGCGCUUUGGACUGGUCUUCCUCCAACUUGUAAAGGCCUUACUGUGGAUGAGGAUGACUUGGUUGCUGCCAACUUUGUAGCUUUGGCAGCAACAUAUUUUUCCUAAGCCAAUAAAAACACAUGAAUGUAAAGAGCUUAUACAGUUGAAAGAAAAUACGUUAGAAUCAUUUUAAUGGAUGCAAUAUAGCUGAAUUGUUACCCUUUGGUUCUUGGCAUUCUUCCUUGCUUUUGCCCUCAUUUCAUUCAGAGUCAUAGGAGGUCGCUUUGGUUUCUUCGGCUGCAAUAAUGUUGUACACGAUAAGUGACACAAAUAACCAUAAAAAUUAAUAAAACAAGAGUACUCUAAGGUGAUUAGAAAACUCCAAUACCUGAUCAGAAACUUGAUGCCCUUCAUUGCUGGCCUUCCUCUUCUUGUUCUCCUUUGGAGGCAAAUGCCUAUGGCAUGUUAUCUUAUUAUGCCCUACUAUACCACAAAUGCCACAUUUGAGGGAUCCGUAUUUUCAGAUGCAUCCUUAAACUUUUCAGAUUGAUCCUUUUUCCUUUUUGUCGACUUCGGCCUACCAGGCAUUCUUGAAUAUGAAGGAGGUAAGAUUGUUGGCCCCUCACACCUUGACCACAUGUCUGUACUGUUAAUAGGAUAGAUGAAAUUGCUGUAGAUAGCCAUGUAUGUCUUCUUCGAAUAACACUCGGCAACAUAAUCCUCGGGGGAUUCCCUCUUCCAGUAGAUGGCUGAAACUGCAUGCUUGCAAGGGAUUCCAGUCAAAUCCCAUCUCCUGCAGCUACAUGUUCUCAGCCUUAGGUCGACAACAUUCUUGGUUCCUUGAAUGGUUUCAACCUCAAAUCUAUCCCCACCAUUGAAAGUUAAAGUACAAUCUACAGCUCUAAUCUUGUUCUUAUCCAAAGUGUCUCUUGGUUUGGGGCAAAUAUUGUACUCAUACUUGUCCAUUAUCUGCCUUCUCAUUUGAAUCCUUUUCAUAAGCUUCCACCUUAUUUCUUCGAACAUGGUAACGGGAGGCUUCUUUCUAGCAUCCACGAUAACUGCGUUGAAACUCUCACAUAUAUUGUUGUCCAUGAUGUCACAAUUGCUGGUUGUGUUGAAAAAUGGCCGACACCAAUGUCUUGGAGGCCUAUCCUCAUCUGCAAAACAGGUUGAACAAAAACAGUAGUUAAAUCAUAAAGCUAAAACUGCAAAGCACCAAAACAAAAGGACAGUAAGCAUAUAAACUUUAUGAAAAAUUGAAGAACCAAAAUUUUACCGCUUCACUUACGUGUCAUCCAUUUGUAGGCAUCCUCAUUAAGAUCAUUCAUCUCUUCCAUGUCUUUAAGAUAGUAGGGCAUUGUAGUAUCCUUGGCACACUUCCACAUUUGAUCCUUCAAAACUUUUCCAGGAAAUAGUUUUGUGAAAUUGGUCCACAUAUGCCUUACACCAGUGGCGGAUCUAGGAAUCAAAACUUGUCUAGGCUAAUUUCGUAAAGGGCAUUUUUUUUUGUUAGGUUUGGAACACAGGCUCAUCUACCUCUAUUAUUUUGAAUCAAGCUGCACAAUGGAUUAAGGUGCAAAAAUCAAUUUGUAACAAUCAUCUCCUACAUUAUAUAUGGAUUAAGCUGCAAAAAUCAAGCUAUCAGGUCCUUAUCUUUCAUUCAAGAUACACACUAUAGAACACCCAAAACCUAUGCCACAAUCCCUCCAAUCUCAAAUUUCUAUCAUCAAUAAAAAUUGAAAAACCCAAUUGGAGCAUAUAGCAGAGGAAUCCUUAUUCAAGAUUGAAAAACUACAUAGAGUCAAUGAAUGAGUGUUAAGGAUUUGAUAUAUGGGAUCUGAAAUUGAUUGAAGAAUAAGGAAGAGGGACAAAUGAGAAGAGAAGAACUGAGAGGAGAGCGCUUUUGCCGUCUGUUCGAAGAGCCAAAGAGGAGAGCUAGUUGUGCAGCGAACUGGAACUUGCUAACUCUUUCUUUUUGCAGGUAUGGUAAUGGACUGUAAGUAUAUACACCUACUUAAGGGUUUUUGACCCAAAAUUCUCUCUAGGCUUCAGCCUAUGUAGCCUUAUACAUGUAUUCGCCCCUGCUUUACACAAAAUCUGAUUUCCCCGCUUGGCACAACCACUUGACAUGCAGGAAUGAGGCCUUUCUGCUUGUCACUAAUAAAAACCCAUCCUACUCCAUCUUCCUUGAUAUCUAAGUCCUUGCAAAGAAGUUCCAAAAACCAUAUCCAUGAAUCUUUAUUUUCAUUUUCCACCAUAGCAUAUACAAUAACCCAGUUGUUGUUGUUUGCAUCCACACCAACAACAGUCAAAAGCUGGCCUCCAAAUGGACUCUUCAAGAAUGCACCAUCUAAGCCUAUCACAAUUCUACAACCAGAUUUGAUUCCAAGGCUCCCAAACAUAUAUACAUUCUUUGAAAUACCGGAUCCUUAUUACUGUUGCUAAAAUCACACCUUAUAUCCACUGUGGUAUCAGGAUCAACCCUCUUCAACUCACUCCCAUAGUCUUUUAACCGUGCAAACUAAUCUCUGAUGGAACCCUCAACCUCCUCCAAAACCGCCACCUUAACCUUGUAAGCCAUCUGCUUAUUAACUUUUGCCCUCAGCUCACUUGACAUUGUCUUGGCUAAUGAUUAUGCAACAGUCAUAAAAAACAUUGUUAUGGUAUAAAACUCAGUAUGAUUUGCACAUAAACACCCCAUAAGAAAAUCACACAAACUCUCACCUGGGUUCCAGUCCGAAUUAAGGGCAAUUCAAUCCUUGAACUUCCUCACUAGAAGUUUCAUCCUCACCAUGGUAUUGUUAAACGUUCUAGUGCAUGUGUGGUGAGGAAUCCACUCCUUGAUCUUAAGAGUAUCCUCAUGUUGAGUUUUAGAAGCAAACAACAAAAAAGGGCAAUUAUCUUGCUUGCAUAUAGUCUUGAGUCUGACCUUGUCAUUCUUCUCAUACUAAUACUCCCAUCCCCCUAGUAAAGCCAUCAGUCUAAGAGCAUCCCUCAAUAUCAUGACACUACCAAACAUCAUGUUCAACUGGAACCGUGGUCUGACCAUGUCAAUUUUAGGGUUGAAGUACAACCCUUGUUCUUCCCUCUCACCAUCAAAGUUCACAAUGUAGUUGGGCGGUUCUUCAUCAGAAUCUACUCCUCCAAACAUAUCCUCAUUGUCAAUAAAUUCUUUACCCCCUUGCAGCAUAUUUUCUCCAUUUAUUGAUCCAUCAUAACCAUUGAGAAGUGAUCUUUUUCGUUGCUCUUCUUCAUCCACAAUUUCUUCAACAAUAUAAUCAUCCUCAUCAUCUCCAUACUUGUCAUAGUCCUCAUCAUCUGGUAGAGGGUCGUAAUCAGAAUCCUCACUAUUUGAAGGUUCAUCUUCAUAACCCAAUCUUCCUUGCCUCUGACCACCAUAGGACUGUAGAAAAUCCAAAAAAUCAAAAUUAUCAAAGUCUUGCAGAUUCCCAGCCACAUUCUGCAACAGAUUACCCUGCUCCACAACACUUGACCCAAAACCAUUAGAUGACUGCCCAAUAUCAUUUGAACCUUCCCAAGCAAGCUGAACUACCUUUUUACGUGGCUUCAUGACCUUAGGAACCUCAAGCUGUUUUUGCUUUCCUUUUUCCUUAUUAUUUUUCCCGCCAGCAAUGCUACAUUGAGUAGGCACACCCUCUGAAUGUUCUUUUAUCACUACUCCCUUGCUAGGUCUAGCCUCUUCUAUCAAAACAUUGCUUGGUUGCAUGACAAACAAAUCUUCAUAUAUUAAGAAGUCAUCAUCUUCUGGUUCCUUGUGGUCAAGGUAGAGAAAUAUCAAUCUCACAAGAGGUACAGGGGUACACAUCACCAAAACAUCCCAAUCAGACUCCAACUUCAUUAAACACCCUCUUUCAUCACCAACUCUAUACCAAUAAUCUAUCCGUUGGUGAGCAUGAGCUGGAUUAAUCCCCUGUAGCAUACUAUCUAUUUCAACAAAAGACAUCUUAUCUUUGUCCACGUUGUCAAAGUAGCUUGUUUUGCCUCCAACAUAUUUGUUGUCUGAUAUGCACCCUCCAUGCAAUAUCUUAAGUGUGAAAUAGUAUGGAUGAUCUGCAAAGACAAAUGGUACAGAGGUGAACUAAAAAUGGAAGUAAAAUGUUUUUACAAAAAGAAAAAGAAUAAAAAAAAUCCUCUCUCAACUUUACUCACAGCCCAGACUCUUUCCAAAAUAAAUCUAAAAUGCAAUGCAAACACAAACACACUCUAAUAGCAUCAACAGCGGCCACACACAGUCACAUUGACAACACAAACAAGACUGAUAGAUUGACAACACAAACAAGACUAAUAGACAUGGCAUAUACAUUGAUUGGUAUGGUAUGAUUUACGGCCCUAUGAUUUUACAAGAAAGAAUUAAUGGACUGCCUCAAUAAUGCAACUAGUAUUACAUAUGCGUAUAUAUAUGAAUUGACAUCACCUGCAACCUACCUUUGAGAAUUGAGUUUGCAUAUAUAAAACCUAGUACCCUUUCAGCUAGCUUCUGUUUUCAAUCUUCAUUAUAAAUUUGAUAUAAUUUUUUGAUUCUUGACGCAUUAGUUUGGUAACUGUUAUGAUAAUUGUAAUUAAGAGGAGGAUUUAUAUAGCAGAAGCCAGAAGGGAUGACCCAUAGUGUAAUACUAAUACAACAAGUUGACUUGUAAACAAAACAUAUAAAACAAGACUAGUACUAUAAUAUUUUUUAUAGAAGUAGAAUUAUUAUUAUCAUUAGUUUGAUGACCACAAAGCAGGAAAGCAAUAUGGCCUGCGUAGGAAGGAAACAAACCAACUAUAUACAAAUACAGUUGUUUACUCCCAAACCCAGAAACUCAAAACCUUGCCACAAAUAUACUCUCAAAUCCAGAAACUCAAAGCCCUAAAAAGUCAUAAGCCCACCAUAAUCUAUUAUCUAGAUAUCGAAACCAUCAAAAACAGAUUCCACAUAUUCCAAAUUAUCUAGAUAUUGAAACCCAGAAACCUUAAAGUUUGAAACCCAUAAAUUUUUGGAAUCGAAACUCACCAUAAGGUUGAAUUCAUUCGUUCAUGUCCCCUUCUUCUCGACGAACCCAAACCACGAUGUCCUUCACCUCCAUUGUUGAAACACCCAACCCUCAACGGUUUCAAACUUCAUGGGGUUUCUACCGUCUUAACAGAGAAUUGGGUAUGCGCGAUAGAUUCAGAGAAGUGAAUUUAGGGUUUUGAGAGAGAAGAAGCGAUGGGUUUUCAAAAGAGAGUUUUGAGAGAGAGUAUGAAUCUGAUGAGAAGAGGCGAUAUGUUUUCGACAAGAGUGAAUCUGAUGAGAUUAGGGUCGAAAAAGGAGUGAAAUCUGACAAGGGCAUUUGAGUCAGUUCAUGUAAUUCUCGGCUGACUAGGCAUUGACGUGGCAGUUUUUAACGGCAAUAUCAUCAGUCUAACGGAGAAAACUAACGGAAGGAUCAUUUAGAUGAAAAAUCGUGACUUUAAGGACCAUUCAGAUUAAAAUGAAAUUUCAAGGACUAAACAGAUGUAAACUGUAAACCAGAGGGACUAAACAAAUUUUAAUUCUUAAUAUUAUUUUCUUCCCAUUAUCAUAAUAUUUCCGUUGGUUUGUACUCUUUUUUUAUUCAUACUGCCCAGUUACCUUUUUAUUUAAAUGUAGUAUGUUAGAUCAUGAUCUAGUGGCUCAUAUUAAAUGCUCGUUAUUUGACCGUUUUUUUUUUUUCCUAUUUGGGACAUGCGCAUAUGGGUGCUGCAAGUGGGCUAGGGCUGGCAUUGGUAGGUAUACCGACUCUAUUUACCAAUACCAUGUACCAACCAACUUAAGGUUGGUAGACAAAAUCUUGUAUCAAUACCAACCGUCAAAGUUGGUAUACCAACUUAGUUGGUACGGUUGGUACUCGGUUGGUACGGUUGGUAAUGGGCCUCUACCAAGUAUAGAUUGAGGCCCAACAAACUGAAAGACCCAACUCAUUUGAAUCAUUUUUUUGAGCCUCUAUCAAGCUUCUAUCAAUUAUCAAACUAUUCAAACACAUUCAAAGUUUUACACAUCAUAUAAUUUCAAAUGCAACAAGCCAACAAUGUCCAAAGUCUUAUACAGAAAAUUAAACAACACAUGUCCAAAGUCCAAACAACACAGAAAAUUGAACAACACAAGCCAAUGAAAAAACAAAAGUCCAAAUUAGCAGAAACUGGACAAAAUUUGAAGGGCUUUGAUGCUGCGAGGCCGGGAGAGUGCUAGACUGCUAAACACCAGUUUGGACAGAGUAUCUUCAGGUGCAAAUGAAGGUGGCAGAGGUGUUGUUAAUGAUGAAGCCUGUAAACCGGCAGUCAUCUCCUCAUAUGCAACAUAUGGAAAUGAUGGUGUUGAGCUUGAAUUGCCUACACAACCACUCUGCGAAGACAUGGAAGAGUCCAUAGCCUAUGUGAAACACAUCUAAUAGAUUAUACUCAUCACAAAUUAUACUCAUCAGUCAUCACAAAUUAUACUAACACAGAACAAAUUAUACUCAUCAGCUCAAAUUAUAGAACACACUAACACAGAACACAGAAGUGAAGAACAAAAACCAAAUUGAUAGAUAACACAAACUAUAGAUAGCACAAACAGUCAAACACAGAAGUAAUCGUACACAACACAGAACACACAAACACAGAAGUAAUCGUACACAAUCAUACACAAGUAACACAAACACAGAACACACAAACAUAGAUUGAUAGAUAGUUAGAUACAUACGGAGAUUCGAGGCUUCUCGAACGGAGUCGUCGGAGAGUCGAGGCGCUGCCCUUGGUGUUGCCGAGUCGACGGCGAGAGAGGCGAGGUGCUACCCAGUUCUCGAGGCGAGGUGCUGCCCAGUUCUCGAAGCGAGGUGGCAGAGAUGCUGCGAAGUCGAGGUGGCGGAGGUGCGAGGUGAGGUGGCGGAAGUGCAAGGUGCUGCCGAGUCGAGGUGGCGGAGGUGCGAGGUGCUGCCGAGUCGAUCGAGGUGGCGGAGCCGCGGAGGUGCGAGGUGAGGUGAGAAUCGAGAGACUUUGACUCUUUGAGCGAGAGAGAGUAGAGACUGAGAGAGGCGAGAGAAGGAUAGAGAUUGAGGGACUGAGGGACUUAGGGUUAGAUCAAGUGAUCAACGGCUUGGAUAAUGGUUUUAAUUAUUUUUUAUUAUUUUUAAUAUAACUCGGUUGGUACACGGUAUACUGUAUUUUAGGAAAACUUGUACCAUGUACCAACCGACUUCUCAAACUUGGUACGGUACUACUGUACCGAAAACUCGGUUACCAACUACUUGGCAUACCAAUUUACUUGGUACGGUUGAUACAUGGUUGGUUGGUUUCGCCAGGGUCCAAAUUGCCAGCGUGGGCAUCACCUUUUAGCUAAUUUUAUGUGGGGUUGUGUUGUCUUCUACCCCAGACUAAUUCAGGGACCAAAAAUUACCCCGGGUAUUAACUUGGUUAGGUGGGUCUCAUGUAGACCCCAUGGUUACCCCAGACUGACUCUUGCCGGGUUUUUUGGCCAACAUCUGCUCUUACCCACUCUCUCACUCCAUUGCAGCAUCUAAUCUAAAGGAAAAGAAAAAUGAAAAGGAAAAAUAGGUUUUUCAUUCAUGGGGGCUGUUUCUUACAUGUUACUAUUUAUACCCAUAAUGGGCCAUCCGGAUCUUGCCACUUGGCAGUAGAGGCAGACUUAUGACGGGGCAACUGGGGGCCAUUGAUCCCACUUAGGUUCUGACAUUUGCGCUUAGUUUUUUUUUUUUGUUUUCCUUUUAAUGCUUAGCCCCUGAUUUCUAAUAUAAAUUGUAUUUACUUAUGUAAAUUUAAAGUUAAUCCUAAUCUCAUGUGUUUUGUAUUCUUUAGUUUUGUUGAGAAACCCUAGUUUUGUUGAGAAACCCAAAGCAACCAAACUUUUAGUCUACCCAAGUUCUAGACUUCCAGCUUAGGUUCAACUCUUUGCUUUCGUCCCUCUUCAAGUCUAACUUCAACAUACUCUUGCAGUCGUUGAUCUCUAUACUUUUUCAAUUCAAGUAUUCAACCCUUGUUUAAAGCAUAUGCUAUUCUUUUGUUUUAGUUACAAGGUUUUACAUAGUUGGAAAAUUGGAAAUAUGUCUUUUGAUUUUGUGUGUUAUUCUUGAUUUUGUACAAUAUAAAGGAAUGAGUAUAUCUAUAUAACUCGAUGACUUUGGUGCCCAAAAAGCAAAAUAUGCCCCUAUGAAAAUUUAUUCUUGCGUCCGCCACACUACCGGGUAGCCAUCCAACUAAACAUGAAUAAACCCUAAGACAUAUUACAUAAUAUAACAUAUAUAGUUGAUCAAAUGGUACAUGUGCCACACGUGUGGGAAAACCACUUCUUUAAAUGUCACUCAAGCUUUCCUAAAGUCAUUGGGAAAUUCAUAGCAUAUUCGUAUUAAUCAAGACUCACAUAUUUAACAAAGAAACCUACUAAUGUUGAGUUUUACAACUCAUCUACGAUCAUUCUAAGAGAACAAAUAUACCUCAAUGAUAUUGUUUAAAUAUAAUAUUGUAGUUAUACGUAUGAGGAUGUUGUAGGUAAUGCGAGGAUCAAAUAAUUGUGCAAAUGUCAAAUAGUUGUGCAGGCCAAGAUAAUAUCUGCAAGACAAAACACGCACGCUAGAGAGAUACCCGGGCAUCAACCCUUCGACGCUCAAGUCAAAAAGGGAUUCAUCUUUGAGUAAUAAGGAAUAGAAUGAGUUAGAUUCAUUUAGAGGUGGAGAACGGUCGUAUAUUUAUAGGCAGUUGGAGGGUUUGGUGAGGUCCAACUGGUGACAUCUGUUGCACAUAUGCGGGUCACAAACAUAUCCUCGCGUCCACGAACGGCAUCAUAUGAAGGAAACGGAUCCGUACUCUUGGUUUACGGAAGUCUCACCAGUCGGGUGGUACCCAUUGACAGAUACAAUGUCACAUUAAUGUGGUGGAAGUCGUACCAAACCAAUACCCCAGUAAAUCAACACUACUUGGAGGUGACAACGAGACCUAGAGGAUGGUGUUGAUGUCAUCAAUCAGAACUCGCAGCCAUAACGAGGAGGAGAAACGAGUUGAGAGAGAGAGAGAGCUCCAAGGUUCUUGCGCGUCUCCCUUCAUUUUUUCUAUUUUCUUAUGUACUGCUCCCCGUCGAACUCACUCAUUAGGUCUAUAUAUAUUUUUGAUACGAACAGCUCUAAUCAAACGAUGAUAAUUUCUACUGUCCAAAUUACACCACAAUAUUUUCUUUUUAUUUAAAUGUAUUCUCAUAAUUUUCAAACUUUAGAAAUUCAUAUAAAAUAGUUUGAGACUCCGAAAAACUCCUCGAUAAUUCUCACGAACUUGUCCUGACGUAUACAUUAAUAUCAGACACUUAUAUCAAGGUUGUCACCUUAAUGUGGUGGAAGUCAACAAACUCCAAUAACGUCGAGAGAGCUUACUAUUUUGAUGUUUGUAAAAAUCAAACUUCGCUAGCAAAAAUUGUUGUCAUACUAAAUUACUAACACACCAACCACUAGCUAGAGCUAACCACAACCAAUCAGGAUAGACAUGUGUCCAUUUAAACAUAUUUUGUCGGCAAAUUAAGAGACAUAACAUGGGGGUAUUCAUCAAUAAUAUUAUAUAAUAUAUUUAUAAAAUAAUUUAAAUGGACAUGUGUCUGUCCUUGAUUGGUUAUAAUUAACUCGGUUGGGCAAAGAUGGAACCGGGUCACUAUCCUAGAGGGGCUAGACAUGACCGCAACUUAAGAUUCAAGUAAUGUUACGCACAUCGAUCUACGAAAACUUUUGCUUGCUUGGAGGAAUCCAUUUUCACGAACAAACACAACCUGCUAGCAGAGCCAACCCCAACCAUUAUAGUGAUGAGACGAAGCAUCAUUGCACAAUAUCUAACUGCUCCGGUCCUUAUUGUUUGCAAUAAAGUGCCUUAAGUAGCCACUGAAGAGUCCUUUAAUUCUCUUCGUCUGAGCUUCCAAAUAGAUACCUAUGGUAGGUAUCUUACCAUACGAUACCGACAAUCGUCUUCUAACAUUACCGACCUUUAAAUAUAGUGGUUUUCUUGGGUGACUGAUCCUGUCAUAAUCUACUUCUACUUAUGGCCCCGACAACUGAAGCCGAACAUAUAUACGACCAUCCUCAUUCAUGAAUAACCGGGAGGAAAGAAAGUGUGGUAAAUUAUAAUGAAAAAGUUUCUUUGAACAUGAUAAGAUUUAUAGCGUAAGAAGGAGUUGAUCGUAUCAUUUUAACUCGGUUCCGACUUCUCUACUUUUUAGUCAAAUUUUUUCCAACCACUAGGGCUACGGAGUUGCUCACUUCCACCACUACGCAUACGUAUAUUACUCCAAAAAAUUAUUAAAUGUACAAAUCUUCAAGUCAGGUAAAUAUUUAUUUUCACGAGAAUUUUUCCUAUUUUUGAGAGUAAAAAUGUAACGGCUAGAUAUGUGCUAAAUGUAAAUGGUAUGCAGAAAAAAGAUGCCGCCAUGGCCAUAACUCCAAACUGAGAGAAUAUACAAGGUUUUAUACCAAGUUGCACACAAAACGGAAGCUUUGUUAGUCGUGUGUAUGCGUUUGUGGUUGCUUGUGUGCGUGCGUCGGUGCGUGAGAGAGAUGAGUACUGAGUGCAUAUCAGAACCCACAGUAAAGUGUCCAUUGUUACUCUCGUUUUAAAUGCACGAAGCAGAGAGAAAAUAUGAAUUAUAAAUUAAAAAAGUUACAGACUUUGUCCAUAUCUAUUUGCGGUUUAUAUUCUCAAAACUCAUCACUCAUCAUCAGUGAAGCUCUCGGAGAAGAAAACUAGGUGGGUCUCUUCUAUCUUGUAUGGGUCUGUAUUUUCGUUUCACUGAUCGAUUCUCUGUAUUGGGUUUUGGGUCUUGAACUGUUUCUUUUGUUUGAAAUAUAUCUGCUAGUUACUGUAAGUUUCGUGCUUUUGAUUUCCAUUAGGAGUUUAUGACUGUUAGUUGAGCGAAGGUUCAUACUUUGAUCAUAUUUUCUAGUACCCUUUGAUGCAUUUGAAGGAUCGAUCAAUCAUUUACUGUAUUUGAACCUGCAUUUGCCCUUGGCUCUGAUACCCUUGAUUGCUUUGUGGGUUCCCUUCCCAGUUGAAUUGGAUCUUUUUUUGACAAUCAGUUGAAAUGAAUUUGGGGGUUUAUUUGGGAAAGUGAAGCUUAUCUGUUAGGAUGUUCUUGGUUAUCAUAUACAUCUGAUUUUAGUGUUAGUGGACAUUUUAAAAACAUUACAGAAGUGGGAUUUAUGGAUUUUACUUGUUGCUGCACUUGUUUUGGAUUUUGGGCUCCUUGAGUACUAUGAACUGUAUCCUCUAGCUUGCACUGGGACUUUUGAUUAGUUACCAUAUCAGAAAGUUUUAAUCUUGAUCUGAUAUUUCUUUUGUUACAGAUCAGUAAAGUUUCGGGUUUUGGGUAUUUGAUUUUCUUCCCCACCUAUAAUAAUGGUUCCAUGAUCAUGGUUUACCCUGCUUUCCUAUAUGAUUAAGUCCAGUUGGUUUGAGACUUUGAGUUGCUUUUGUGAAGGUAUCUGGUCAUUGCUUCCUUGCCUUUGAUGAUUGGUGCAUACUAAUUUCUUUUUAAAUCCCUUUUUUUAUGUUCACUCAAGCUUUCCUAUUUGUAUAGCAAAGAAAAUGGUUGAUGUUACUACAUUGCCUCUUCACUCAAUUCUGCAUUGGUUAUUACUACAAUUGAUUCAGUCUACUUUUAUUGUUUUUGUCAGGUUUUAAAUCAAAGCGGUAAGGAAUUGCUGGUUCGUCGUUAGAGACUGGGGUCUUUAUCAUAGAGGAAGAUAAGUAUUUCACAUGCAGAUUGUUUGUGUAUGAUGAUCUAAUGGUUGAUUCUAGUAGUUUAAAGCUGAAACACACUAGUAGCAUACUUUUCAGUAUUCCUGAUUUCUUCGUAGGGUUUGGUAAUAAAGGUUCUUUAGAUUCAGACUCAGUUAGGAGCCCUACAUCUCCUCUGGACCUCAGGCCUUUUUCAAAUCUUAGCAACCCAUUUAGACUUCGGUCUGCUAGAUCAUUAUCUCAAAAUGGAAAUCAUAAGAUAUGGGAUUGUAGGAAAGCAGGCCUUGGCAUCGUCAAUUCCCUUGUUGAUGAAACCAAAGCUACUAGUGAAGUUCUUGGUUCAUCGAAGAGGAAGACCAUAAUUUUUCGACCACAGUUGGAAAAAAUCAACCCUCAUUCCUCAAAGCUUCGUUCUGGUUCAAAGGAUUAUUUCAUGAAAUCCCGAUCUUUACCUAGAAACUAUAUAAUUAGGCCACUUUCUGAAACCAUAUCUCUCAGGCUCCAACUCAAACCAGAUAAGGUGGAUGUUUCCUCUGGGAGUGUGGGACUUCUUUUAGAAUCUGAACCAUCUGAAAACAUUGCACCAUUUUUGUUGGACUCCAGCAGGGCUUCCUCACAAAUUGUCUCUAUGCAAGGAGAAAAUUCGUUGGGUUUUAGACCUAGUUCACUUCCAGCACCAAUUGUCUCUAACCCUCAAUCUGCAUCCUCUAUCCCUGCUAGAGAGAUGGAACUCUCUGAGGACUAUACCUGUAUAAUUUCUCAUGGUCCAAACCCGAAGACCACUCAUAUAUUUUGUGACUGCAUAUUGGAAUGUCACACAAAAGAUUUAAACAAUGUUGACAAAGAAACAGUCGAGAUAAAAGCACCUCAACUAGGUAAGCAUCAGGAGGGAUUGACACAUGACCCUUCAGAUGAACUUUUGGGAUCCUGUUACACCUGCCAGAAGAACUUGGAAGGAGAGGAAAUUUACAUGUGCAGGUUUGUUUUAAACCUCUAGGUGCAAUUUUUACUUAAGUUCCACAUUUUUGAGGCUGAGCUUUUCUCUGAAUGUUGCAGAAGUGAGAAAGCAUUUUGUAGUUUUGAUUGUCACUCAGAUAAGAUUUUUGCUGAAGAGGAAGCAGAAGGUACUUGGGAUAAGUCUGCAGGAAGCUCUCCUAAAAGCUACCAGGAAGAUCUCUUCUUAUUGGGUAUGCAUAGUCAUGAGACUCCGGACAUAGAGUAGUAGUAGCCUCAUAGGUCUUGUUCUCUAUAAUCAUAAUUGGAUGAUUUCAAGUGGCUAAAAGCCCUGGUCAUCAGUUUUCUUCUCCCUUUUGUUUCCUAGUGUUUUUGUGUGCAAGUGUUCAUGCAAAAAGUAUUUUGGACCACUGAACUCAUUGUUGAUUGCAUGAGGUACUGAAAUAAUAGCUGCACUUUUUGGGUUACUAUUUCAUAAGCUUCGAUGAUUUCUGUUUUGAAGUAUGAUGGUUUGGUUCACUUAAUGGUCAGAAAUUAUGAUAAACUCUGCUUGUGUCACUUGUUUAGUUCUUUAACUAUUAUGUAUUAGAUUGAUUAAGGUUAUAGAAACUAUUGCAGGAUUGCCCAUUUUGUGUAAUGCGUCAAAGAUGCGUGUUAACUUUGUGAUUAGAUAUGCCUAUAGUCCUAGUCCUCUGUAGUUUGCAAGAUCUGUGCUCCAUAUGGCGAGAACUUGCUAUACAUUUUGGAUUUUCUUUUAGUGUAAACCCAUUUGAACUUGCUUACUGAGAGAUCAUUGCUGCUACAUUUCCAAUGGUUAGUUUUGUAAAGGUCGUCUUCUCUUCCAGAUUCAUUUUGUUUUGGCCUACCCUCUUCUUUUUUUAAAGCUUCCUUUACCUUCAGUAUGUCCUUUCAGGUAAUGAGGUUCUUGUUGACCCUCAUUCUUAAAUUUUGAAAUGAACAUAUUUGUUCCGGGAGCCUUUCUAGUGAGGACUCUUAAAUUGAGGACUAGUUGAGGACUUUCCGGUUUAUGGUUUAAAAGACUUAUUUUUCGAUCACAUCUUGGCAUCUCAUCCGUUCAGUUUUUAGGUCUAUAUGUGUAUAUCAAUCCUACAAAUUUUCAGCCAAAUAAGUGAUCGUUAAGGUAACAAACUAGAUCAAAUUAAUGGACGAACCAAAUCUGUCAAAUAUGAACCGUUCAAGUUCAUAAUUGGUAAAUCACACUUAUGAAUGUCUUAACGAUUUUCAAUAUGGUUGAAAAUUUACAGAAAUGAUCUACUUAUAAAUAUCUAUAAACUGAACGAUCAAAAUGUGAAUAUAGAAUUAAAAAGUGAGAUAAGCCAAAAAAAUCUUUAACUAAUCAUCAACUUAAAAGUUUUCGUAUAUUCCCACCACCUGCAAAUAAUUAGUGUCAAGUUGGGGACUCUACAUAGUGACCCAGGUCUGCGUAUCCCUACAAAAGUAUAUCUCAGAAGUUGGUACGAUGUGUAGCAUCUCUCUCUUCACAUGGGGGCAUUAAGCAAAGGAGCAUCCACAUAUUUUUGAAUGACAUAACUUUGGAAGUUCCCCCACACUCAAAGCAAGCCUAGCAUAACUGCAUAAACUCACCAUGUUUGUCUCAUCUGGUUUACCAAAUCAUUUCCACAAUUCCACUGUUGUUCUAAACCUCCGUUAGAGUUUCAACUGUUUUCAAACUUGUGGUAUCUAGUCUGAGACUUGAGCUGGAAAAACAAGUAAAGUAAUGGCAACAAUUCACCAUUUCACUGUGCAUAUGAGUUAGCAGUGAACAGUAAAACAGAUUAAUGGACCGCAAUGUGAGUCAACUAUAUAGUAGUGCACACCAUUUGGCUCUACAGAGUCUCACAUUGCUGAUUCUCAAUGUCUACUAGAUUUGGUUGAGGCUACGAGAUGGUACUAGUUCCUCCUUCGCUUAUGAUUUCUCCCAUCGUAUUGUUUCCGAGGCCUCGUCCAUUGCAAUUCUUUGUUUUCACAACGAAGAGCAACAGAAGUAUUCUAUUUCAUUGUGGUUCUUAUUUUGUUUAACUUUUAUAUUUUCUUUUUUCGGUAUAACAUUUAAAGUUUUACGAAGCUUUAUGACUCAAUACCGUAAGAUUGUAAAUUAUCUAAGCUAUAUGUCAUACAACGAGCAAAUCUACGGUCAUGUAGAGUUUACUCAAAUUUAGUACCACAAAGUUAUUAGGGUAUUCAUAGAAUCACAGAGGGGUAAAAAGAAAUAUCUUACAUUUUCAAAAAAGAAAGAAAAUGAAAAUAAGGAAAAAUCUGGGUGGUAUAAAUAUGUAGCUUUCGCAGAAACUGAAAAUUGAAAAGAGCAAAAAGAUCAAAACUUUGAGCGCUAAAGUCUAUCCUCAUAUCCAACCAAAGAUGGGUUUUGCAAUGCGGACCUCCUGCUUCUUACACUCUCCCCUAUUCCCCUUCUCUUCUUCUUCUCACUCCAAAACCAGAAAUGCAGAGACCAACUCAAGAACAAGAAGAACAAGAAGCAGCAGAACGACAACCGUGGCAAUGUCGUCUAUGCGCCAAGACGACAUCAACGACGGCGAUCACGGCAAGCGGAGGGCUAUUCUCUUUGUGGGUAUCACUGUUCUUCCUCUGUUACAACUCAGGGCUCACGCCUUUGAACCCUUUCCCACUAGUAAGUUUAUUUUCAAAGUUGUUGCUUUGAGUUUGUGAAUUUUAGGAAAUGGGUUGUGAAUAUUUUGCUCAUUUCUUGUUGGGUUUUGAUGUGAGGUAAUGGGUUUGUUGCAAAUGGGUCAUAGCAUUUGAAGUUUGAAACUUUUAUUACAAGUUGGUCAAGGAUUGUUUGUGAAAUCUUGAUGAUUUUUUAUUGAAAGAUGUAUAGGUAUGUUUCAAAUGACCUUGUAGUUCUGUCAGUACCGUAUGAUUCAUAUGACAAUGCAGUUUGAAGUUGAAGUUGAAGUUGUGGGCUGCUAGUUAAGGUGUUGGAAUUGAAGUUGAAAUUCGAGUUGAUUAAGCAAUAUUACAGGAUUCCUAGUAUAAUUCCUUUUUAAAGGCUUCACAUUAAGAUGGGAGUUAGAUUCCAUUCGUAAUAUAUAGGUCAUUAUAUGCUGCAUAUACAUUUAAGAUAGUGAAUCACUUGAGAUUAGGAAUAUUAUGAAAAUGUAGUUUUUUCUUUUGUACUUCUCCAAAUCUCUAUGUGGAUUGUUAAUAAAACAAAGAUUCAAAAAAUAAAGAACAAAUUUUACCCAGCUUUUGAUGCUGUUUUAACUUUUGCAGACAUAAUAUAGCCAUCUCUGCUAAUUCAAAUGGUAAUAUUAAGUUUGGUGUCAACAACAUUUAGACUUUUGGUUCCCAAAUGCUGAAAAUGUCGGAAUGUCAUGGUAAUUGAGUGUGUGUUUUUUUUUUCCUUCUAGAUUUAAUAGCACCACUUGCAUAAGUUGACAGAUUAGCUUAGGCGCAGGUACUGGAAUAAGUCAUGCCUGAGAAAGGUAUUAUAGGUGAGAAAACCAUAUCUGAUGCCCCAGAUACCGGUUCAAUUCUUCUCUUGAUUCAAGACUAAGUAGGAAAGCAACGGGACUAAAGACAUCUUUCACUCCAAGUAGCUAAAGAAUGUAUCAUACUGUGGGCUGUAAUUGGCCUAUUUACACCCUUUUUUUCAUCCUUUAUUAUAUGAGGAGUCAUAGGAGAUGCAGUUCUAGUAAAACCUACUCGUGCUACCUUUGCAGUGCAGAUUUUAGGUGCAUAACUUUGUUCAAAUCGUCUUGGUUUAAAUUGAUAAUAUUACAUAAGAUCAUUUAGGGCUUUUUCUUUUAAAAAAGAAAAAAAAAGCGUCUUAUAUCAAGGUUCUUACUUCUGCUACACAUAUAGGUCUUUCUUAGCAUGGAUCACUGUUCCAUGAAACACUUGCUCCUUGUAUCCAUUCCCGCAUCGAUUCAUGGUUUGUUCAUGCAAUGAUCUUUUUUCUUUAUCUUUUUGCUUUUUCAGAAGAAAGUGAGCCAAAGACUCCAGACAGUAACAUAAAGGCAGAGGUCUGAACACUAAAUUGCUAUUCAAUCCCAGUUAAUAGCUUACAGUAUUUUAAUGGUGGCAUAAUUGCCAAUUUGCUACCCUUGAAUUCACCUUAGUGUCAAUUUGCUACCCUAGCUUUUAUUUCUGCCAAUUUGCUACCCCAGCUUUCUAAAUUGGAUUAAAUUCAGUUUACCUCCCCCCCCCCCCCCCCGAGGUUUGGGGUUAGCAUCAUUUCAGCCAUCAUACUCUUAAUUUUGAAAAUUUAUUUCAAUUUUCAUAAAUCAUCCCCAAUUGCUGAAAUUUUGUCUAAUUUGGACGUUAAUUUUGACUUCAUAACUCACUUUAAGGGCUAAAAUAGUCAUAUAACAGCAUAAAUCACAUUUUAGAACCUUUUUUCUAAGAUUUCAUGCUAGCAUUUAACAUCCAAAUUGGAUAAAAUUUUAGCAAUUGGGCUUGAUUUAUGAAAAUUGGAAACUUUAGGGGUAAAUUUUCAAAAUUAAGAGUAUGAGGACUGAAAUGAUGUUAACCCCAAACCUUAGGGAGGUAAACUGAAAUUAAUCCUUCUAAAUUUGCUACCCUAUGUUUUAUUUUAGCCAUUUUGCUACCCUUGUGUCAAAUUUAUGACUCUAGACUUUCAAUAUUAACCAAUUUGCUUACCUACAUAUUCAAAUUUAGCCAUUUGCUAUCCGACAUUUUCAAAAGACAUCAAUGUUUGGAUGGAGAAAUGGAUCAAUUUAUGUGACAAAAGGUAGCAAAUUGGCUAAUUUUAGAAACCUAGGGUAGCAAAUUGGCAGAAAUAAAAGCUAAGGUAGCAAAUCGGCUAAUUUUGUGAAGCUAGGGUAGCAAAUUGAAACUUAAGUGAAUCCUAGGGAAGCAAAUUGGCAAUUAAGCCUUUAAUGGUUGUAAUGAGGCUUAAUAUUCUAAAGAGAGCAAAUCAUUGAACAGCAGGUACUGCAAGGAGAUGCCCCAAAUCCCAUUUUGUCUAUCCUGAAUGGUCUUGGUAUUUUCAGCUCUGGUGUCAUCGGUGCUUUUUAUGGAUUGGCUGAGAAAGAAAAGAAAGCCGCUGAAGUAAUAGUAGAAUCUGUAAGUCUGCACUUCCACAGUCAAGCUUUACUUUACCUGCCGUGAUAACCCAUAAAAAAUAUGAGUCUAGACCCUUUAAAAAGGAACUUCAUGAAAUUUAUGACUAUUAAUCUACAAUGUUUGUCCUUGAAUUUUUUGCUCUUUUAUUGUAUGUUCAAAUGGUUAAGUAGAAAUUAAUUUCUGAGUCUGAGCCUGAUAAACCAUAGUCCUUUGGUUUUGUUCUCAUUGCAAGGAUGUACUUUUGGAUGAUUUGCUUGAUGUAAUCCACAUCUCCUGUGAUUGAUUUGCACAGAUGAAGAACCAGCUGAAAGAAAAGGAAGUUGCUAUUGCUUCCUUGGAGAAGAACUUUGAGUCAAAGCUACUGAAUGAACAGGAAGAACGGAGAAAGCAACUUGGAAAAGCAAAGGAAGAGCAGAGGUCUCUAACAGACCAACUAAAUUCAGCCAAAAGUACUAUUGUGGGCUUAGGGAAGGAGCUAAACGGCGAGAAGAAGUUGAUUGAGGAGCUUAAAGUUCAAAGUGAAAACCUUAAAACAAACCUUUCAAAGGCUACCGAAGAUAAGGUAGAGCUUGAAGAAAGUUUGAAGGAAAAGCUUCACUCCAUCGAAGAUUUGCAGGGAAGGAUUAAUUUGCUCAAUUUGGAACUGAAGGACAGAGAGAGUAAUGUUCAAAGCCUUAGCUCUUCUCUUGCUGAAAAGGAUUUGGAGUUGAAGAACUUAAAGACUGCCUACAACCAAACUAAGGAUGAACUAGCUCAUGCAGUUUCUGAUAUUCAAGAAUUAAAAGUCGAACUCCUAAAGAAUCAAAAGGAACUGGAACUGAAGAGUUACACUGUGGAUGAACUGAAUUCAACAGUAAGUUCUUUGACUUCUGAGAAAGAUGAUUCUAAGAGGAAGUAUGAUGCUAUUCAGGAGGAAUACGAUAAUCUGAAAUCAUCCUCUGGAAAAAAGGCAGCUGCGGAUGCUAAUCUUUUGGGGGAAAAAGAUGAGGAACUUCAGCAGCUAAAGGAGAAACUUGAAUUUUCAUUGGCUGAAUCAAGUAGAAGCAAACAGAUAAUUGCUGAUUUGACCCGAGAGAAGGAAACCUUGAGGGAAAUGCUGGAUAAAGCAUUGAACAGUGAAGAGAACUUGAAACAUGAACUCCAUAUCACUCAGGAAGCUCUUGGAAAAUCUAGAAAUGAAGUUUCAAAUCUGGAACAUCAAUUAAAACAGUCUAGAAAUUUGUGUACCAAACUUGAAGCUGAGAUCUCUCGGGUCCAGGCUGAGUUUACUGGAGUUAGGGAAUCACUGCAGAGGAGCCUUGAUGAGGCUACAUCAAGUGGUGAUGUGAUUGCUACUGAGCUUGCUUCAGUAAAAGAACUUUUAAAGAAGACAGAAGAGGAGCUGCAGGGUGUGUCUCAUCAACUAGCAGUUGUUGCAGAGAAUCGUGAUAGCCUGCAGAAAGAAUUGGUUGAUGUAUAUAAAACAGCUGACAAAGCUUCUCAUGAUUUAAAAGAAGAGAAGGAGCGAGUUUCUUCUCUUAAGAAAGAACUUCAGUCUCUGGAGAAGCAAAUUUCAGAGAACAAUAAGUCCCGUAAGUGUCUUGAGACAGACCUGGAAGAGGCUACAAAAUCACUUGAUGAGAUGAACCGAAAUGCUUUAGUACUUUCCAAAGAGUUAGAGAAGGCUAAUUCUCUAAUUUCUAACCUUGAAGAUGAGAAAGAGGUGUUUUACAAGUCCCUUACAGAGCAAAAGAAUGCAUCCAAAGAGGCCCGUGAAAACAUGGAAGACGCCCAUAAUCUUGUCAUGAAACUUGGCAAGGAAAGGGUGAGUCUGGAGAAGAGAGCAAAGAAAAUGGAAGAGGAAUUGGCAUCUGCCAAGGGUGAAAUAUUGCGGCUGAGGAGUAAAAUAAAAUCUUCAAAAGAUCUUGUAAAUAAUGAGAAACCACAGAAAGCCAAGGCUGAAGGUGCUGUCACUGUUACUGCAAAGAGAGGUAGGAGGAGAAAGGCUCCUGCUGAAUCAGAGUGAACUACUGUCAGAGUCGUAAUUAGUUCUCCUGGUUACUUUGGGUAUUCCUUAAUCAUACUUUGAAGCCAUUUGUUCUCUGGCUUUCUCCUUCUCUAACUCGAAAUUCUUUCCCAGUACCAUUGAAUCAUAGGAACAAUGAUUUAUAUGCAACAAAUGUUGCAUAUGAAAUUGUGACUCUUGUACUUGUGCAGUGUAUAGUAGGAUCGUAUCAGUCCUAGAACAUAGUGGAUUGGUAGUACAAUCUACAUUUUCCUACGGAAGUGUUUUUGUAUUUGCAUUUAUUAAGUCCAGUGGCAAAUAAUUUUCUUUCACUUAACACAAACAGUGUGCUGCUGCAUUCUGCUGUCAUUUGACACAAAUUUGCAGUUACUUCUCAGAGAGAUAAUUACUUGGGUUAAUGCUGGAGCUGGUAUUGGCACAGAGAUAGGAAGUUAAACCCAGGGGGCAGAAGGAUUGAGGGUUUCUUUGGCCAUCAAAAGGACCACUUGGUAAGAUGCAUAUUUUCAAGCACUAAAUAUGAUAGAAUUAUGGCGGCUGGAUCAUACAGGCAAUGAAGUAACAACCAUAGCAAGUUACAAAUGAGAAAGCCCUUUCUGUAAUCCAAGACAUACAAACCAGCACAUCAGAGCUUACCUUUCCCCCUCCAUUGCCAUUUCUCUUCUAACAAACAACUAGGCUGCAUUAACAUAUUCAACGCUACUGAAAUGUGAGUUUCCUAAUAAUAAUAAUAAAUAAAUAAAAAAUGUGAGUUUCCUCUAGCCUCUUUGAACUGUUUAUAUCCAAUCUAUAGGUGAUUGUGGUUAAUAUGGUAUAUAUAUUAUGUUUAGAGAAUCAUCUAUCCUGCAGAAACAUGAAUAUGUUCCAAUGAAGAUAAUCAUAAAAUGAUUAACAUUAAACGUAAUUUUGAAGUUGUGGAUAUUAUUUUCGUUUUCCUCUUCAUAUCUUUUUGGGUAGUUACAACGACACUCGAACAAAGUGCAUGCUUCUACAACAUGCUCAAAAGCUUCUGGGAUAUGAAACAGGAAAAAACAAAAAAAAACAAAUGUAAUUUGCAACCGACCACAGUGGGAGUCGAACCCACGACCUUUUGAUCCGAAGUCAAACGCGCUAAUCCACUGCGCUAUGCGGUCGUUGUGGUACACACUAUUGCAUUACUGGUACAAAACGAAAUGGUUUUUCAAAAUUUUGGCAUUUCAUUACUCGUCUUACAAAAAAGUAAAGCACAAGGCAGCUUGCCUGGAUACAAACAACUAAACAAAGGGGAGCACCUUGUAAUUGUAUAUACACAGCAAACCAGUUAUCAAAAUCUCCAACAUGGAUAUAAUGACCCCAGUGAUACAUAAAAAGCAAAAAGUCUAAAAGAUUAAAGGUACAAGGUACAAAAUCAAUGUCUUAGGCUCUGCUUGAGCGUAUCUAAUUAAACUCAACUUCCUUUUUUUCCUGCUUCUUCUAAUAGCCUAAGCCUGGGUGCCACUCAAGGCUUUCAUCUGAAUGUGGGUGUUGUCACUGGGCAAGGCCUCGUAAGAACCCAAUGCUCGAAUACCAACCGACUUGGCAGUCAUUGCAUAGGUGACCAUCACAAUAAGCAACACAAACAUUACGUGCACCAAGAACACCAGAUCCAGAAUGGCCACAGCCCUUAACUUGGACUCGUCUAAGUCACACUUGGUUGAACCCUCGACUCCAUUUACCACAUCAAGAAGCUUGUGGCAGCCCUCCGGAAUGAAGGCAUCCACAUAGAGGGAGAGGCCCGUCUGUAGGACCCAUAGGCCCUGUAGAGACAGGGAAGCGCCCAAGCCUACGUCUGCCACGAAUAGUUUUGGCUGGCAAGCCAAGACGAGGCAGAGGAUGGAGGCUAGAGCGGAUAUCCGUCCCGAGACAGAGUCACAUUUGGCCUGAAGGUCGGAUGUCUGGACAGUGGCAGCACCCCAAAAGACAAAUGACUGCAAGUAGAAGAGGCCUGCAGCGAGGCCGAAGAUGAGGUCGUUGGGGAGGGGCAGCAAAGCUGGGAUCCACUCGGAGAGGAGGAGUGCCAGUGUGAGGAGUAGAAAGAGGAAGAGGGAGGCAGCGGACUGGAGGGAGGUAAAGUAGUGGACCGGUGAGCGACCCUUGAGGAGCGGAUCAGCGUCUAAGGAAAUGACUAUCUGGUGGACUAUAGCGACAACGAGGAAUGCAAUGACAAGGUAGAGCUGGAGGAACCUGAGACGGUGGUUGUUGGACGGCGAUGAGGAUGAGGACAGAGGGAAAGGGUGAUAAGGUCUGGCAAAAUAGGCCUGCGGUGAUCUCAGGUGGUUGCGUGUGGUGGCAACCAUGUGGUAGAGUCCCAGUGAGACCAGUGCUGCAGAGGAUAUCAUCUGGUACACUAGGGCUGCCAUAUCUCAAGUUCACUCUCACUUUCUCAGAGUUUCUUAAUCCAUGCAGUAUUGUAUUACACUAUAGUUACAGAGGCGUGCACUACUCUCUGUUUGAGCAAACUAUCCUUCUUGAUUCUUCAGUCCUUGUUAGCUUGUUUGAUUUCAGUGGUGAAGGAUUUGUGUAUGGGGACCUAAACAAAACAAAAGAAAUUAUGUUACCCAACAUGUCAUAUAGAAAUACACAUGCAUUCUUGAAAUUAAAAUUAAUUACAAUAGCAACUGUCCACCAACUCCAAGUACAAAGUUCCAUACUCUGAAAUCCUAAUGUAAUAACCUGGUCAUCUUUUUAUCCUGUCAGAUUCAGCUAUAUUUCUCACUAUAUGAAGGGAGGCAAUUUUAUUCAUCCAGUAAAUAUCCAAAACUUAAACAAUACAUCUCUUAUAAAUCAACAACGAAAUCCACAAAUAAUGAUAUAUGGAGACAAUCAACCGACACUCACAAUUGUGUACUAAAAGAUAUCAAUUUAACAAUUAAAAACAAAAAAAAAUACACGGAAACUCCACAAAGGAAUGUCCUCAGCAUCUACAGGCUACACACCAGUAUGAUCUAUUAAUGAAGAAUUGAAGAUCCAAAAUCUAAAUGGUCAGAUGGCCAAAAUAUGAACAAAAUAGGUCUCACAUGUGAUCUUUAAAAUGCACAAAAAGUUAAUGAUCCCAGGAAUAGAAACCGCUAAAAAGAUAUAAGCUAAUGAUAGAGAAAUGGAAGAGAACUUGAGAACUUAUACAAGGACAUACUUGUAGAUGGAGAUUUGAGCCAAUUGAGCAAUCUGAGUUUUUACAACAAAGCAACAAUAUAAACUGAUCAACAGAUUCUUCAGCAACCUGUAAAAAAAUUGAUUAAAUUACAAAAUUUGAAUUAAGAUCUCAAGUAGUAUGGAAACUUUCAAUAUUCAAGAAUAAAUACCAUCUGGGAAAACUUGUCAGGCUCGACGACUACAUCAUAUGCGUGAACGUAGAAGAAAGAACACACUUUUUUUAUUUUUCUUUUCGAUGUCUAGCAAGACAGUAUAAACAAAUGUAAGGGAAAGAGGGGCCAAUGACCCAUCUUGUCCCUUAGUAGUUACGCCCUUCGUUUGAUUAUUUCCUCACCAACCAGAUACUUAGCAUGCUACACGAUUGAGGUAUACUAGGACUUCUUAUGUUGCAUUUCUAUGAAAGAUGUUGUAGUUGUGAGUAUUAGUAAAAGAGAAGAGAUAAAUGGUAAAGUAUCAUGGAGCACCAAGAUCUGGCCAAAGGCAGAGAAAUAUUGGUCCUAACACUUCGAGGCGAUUAGCAAUGGAAUGGGGAGUGUAAUUAGUUAUAAAGUUUAUGAUGCCCAACUAUGAGCUAGCUGGUUCCAGAUGAAGGCUAAAGAAAUCAAUCAGAGGAUCUUUAAUUUACUCUUUGACUAUGACAUAACACCCUUGUAGGCUAUGGAGGAAACUUGCAGAAAUGUAUGGUUUCACUAAGGGUGAGAAAUAAAAGGUAAAACAGUUUCACUCUACAGCUAAAAAUAGGUCUUUACUAACAUUGGUCUUAGCCAAAAAUAGGUACACUACACUGCAGUCUGCAGGCCUCUACCUCCUUACUUUUUCUCUCUUCACUCUCUUAUCCCUCAGAUUUGCAGGGCACUAUUUUCAAUUGAAACAUACUUGCAUACAAUACGAUUAAAUCAAACCCAUUUUGGAUUGAAACAGAAAGCUCACAUUACUGUUAGCAAGUGUCUUAUACUCUCUGAUCUCAUUAACGACAAAGGGAUUGGUUCAACAAGGUUGACUGAUAUGAUCCGACCAGAAACAUAUAAAUGAAAAAGUGCAUACACUUUGAACAGAGAACACAUAUUGCAACAAAACAGAUCGAGCAUCAAGUUAGCAACUCAACUCCUUCAACCCAAGUUGUAGGCUAACAGUUGGAGAUUGAAGUUAUAUGAUUUCUCAAUUAGAAUUAGAGGAAGAGGAUGGCGUGGAAUCAGAGAAAGAGAGAGUUUUAGUUACCUCAAACUCAAGUGCUCGGACAAGUUCGUCUGAUCUGACUUCUCACAGGGCUUCCGACUUCUGCGCAGACCCUACGGAAGAAAAGAAUGCAGAGUGCCUGCAGCGAGAGAUUCAGUCAUUUUAUUCCUUUCAAUUCUUUUUUUUUUUUUUUUUUGAAGACGGUCAAAGAACCCGUUAGGUCGACUGGUCGAAACCGUCGAGUGUUCCUCCUCCGUGAUGUAUUAUUAAUCGUAUUUGGCAUUUCGAUAUAGGAGCUAUUUUAGCGAGGACUUUUAAGUUGAGGGUUAGUUGAGGACUUUUCGGUUUAUGAUUUUUAAGACCCAAUUUUCGAUCACAUUUUGACAUCUCAUCCGUUUGGUUUUUAGGUUUAUAUAAGAGAUCAUUUCUACAAAUUUUCAUCUAAAUUUGUGUUCGUUAAGAUAACAAACUAGAUCAAAUUAAUGGACGAACCAAAUCUGUCAAAUAUGAACCGUUCAAGUUCAUAAUUGAUAAAUCACACUUAUGAAUACCUUAACAAUUUUCAAUAUAGCUAAAAAUUUAGAGAAAUGAUCUACUUAUAAAUACUUAUAAACUGAACGGUCAAGAUGUGGAUAUAAAAUUGAAAUAUGGGGUAAGCCGAAAAGUCUUCACCAAGUCCUUAACUUAAGGAUCCUCAAUAGAAGGGCUUCCAUUUGGAUAUAGUGUCUAAACCAUGUUAUGUGAUACCAUUAUCUAUGAGGACAUUGUUUAUAAGGACAUCAUCUAAAAGGAAGGAAAUCCUGAAUAAUACAUGGUGUAUUGUCUAUCCAAAAGUUAUCUAACAUAAAUAAACUAACAAAAUGUGAUGAUCUAUGUAAAUACCAAAACCAAACACUUUGAAAGUGUGAUAAUCUAUGUUUAACACUGUUUGUUUCACGAUAAACAUGCAUAGAUGAAAAGAAGUUAAAUUCUUGCAUAUAGUAUUUGUAAUCAUCAAGAACCACUCGUAUCUCAAACAAGUUAAUUUCAUCUCUUACCAUGGCUGAUAGCACUGCACAAUCACUUGCUCAAUCUCAUUUCAUUGAUGGUGAAUAGCUAUAAGUAACCCAGCCCUAAUGGCUUUUGCCUCAACACGCAACGCAGAUUGUGCAUGCUCCAUGUACCUAGAUAACGCAGCUAAACACUUCCCAACCUCAUCUCGUGCCACUACUCCAACUCCGCCGUUCCCAUACUCUGCCAAGAAUGCACCAUCAACGUUAUGCUUAACUCUAUGGUUCUAAAUUACCACAUGACAUUGCUACAUGGUGGUUUGAGCCAAUGUUAUCACUUGAAUUUGACCAUUGCAAGGGUGAACAAAAACAAUAAUUAAACUAAAGGAAUCAUUGCAAAAAAUACAUUUCAAAAUAAUAUUAACCUCGAGACCAUAAAAUAAUUCCACAUGAUCCAUUUGAACCCUUAAACUCCCUGCAAUUAAGGUACAUUUCCAGGUUAAAUAGUUGUGUGUCAGUUAAGGCUAGUAUUGUUUUUUUUUGUUUUUUUUUUUUUGUUACAAAAAUGGCUAAUACGUUGUUAAAAAAAGUCUACAUUUGAUGUACCCUUAAUGUGUCGUAUAAGUUUGUUAAGGUCGUUGAGAUGAUAGUUGGGGGUUGGGGGAAAAUCUUUGAGGCUAUGUUCGGUUGUUGAUUGCGACCUCAAAUGUAUGGACAGUUUGGUGGUGGAGAGAUAUAUGCACUCUGCAGUACUAGUUAUGACAUAUUUUCUAAAGAGAAAAAUGUACCGCUGGUACCCCAAUUUUUGUGGCACGGUCAAAGUGGUACCCAUACUUUAAAAACUAUCAAUAUGGUACCCAAACUUCUAUUUCGCUACGAAGGAAAGGCCUGAGGCCAAUUUUCGUAACUGUGCCGUUAGUUUGCUGACGUGGCUAGUAUGAGGUCCACUAAAAAAAGAUGUAAUGACAAAAAUAACCUUCUAAUUCUCCAGAACAGUUUUCCCUCCAAAAUCUUUAAAAUUGAAUAUUUGGUUUUCAUCCUGGAUAUCACAUUGAUUAGUUCAGUAAAAUUUAGGUAUCACAUUGAUCAUUUUAGUAAAGUUUAGGUAUUACUGUUGUGUUUAUCUGCUGACAAUAAAUACUAUGCAAUGCAAUAGCUGAAAAUGUAACAUAGAAAUUCAAACAUAGAACCAAAAGGUCUGCCAAUAUCACUGAAUUAAAACCAUUAAAACCAACAUCAGUUCAACAUGAGAAACAUACUAUGCAUUAGAUUCAAGCUUAAUUGCUUUCCAAAAACUCAAGGAACCAGAUUGUUUGCAAAAAAUUAAUUCCAAAACAUGAUGAAGUACACAUUAUGUUUCUCUGAUUUAAAGCCAGCACAUUCACUUUUGAGCACCCCUUGCUCCAUGAUUUUGGCUGCUUUAAGUAGGAGGCUGUGUUGAGGCCGUCUGAUGCACUACCAUUUCCAGCAGAACUACCCUCCAUUGCCAACUUCAUUUUCUUCCAUCCCUUUCUAGACUUUAUGACCUGGUCCUUGAUAGGUCUUGAUUCCUUGGGUGGGGCUGGUGCCCUUUGGACCUGUGAAAGACAAACAAGACAUUUCCAACACAAUUCAACAACAACAUUAUUUCCAACAGUUAACAAAACAUUUCAGCAAUAUUCCUAAAACCAAAGUACUCCUGAAAUGUCAAUGAAAGGAUAGUAAAAAGAUGCAAACACUACAUUGUGUUGUGAAGUGGCUUAAAGCAAUAAAGCAUUCAAACAAAACGGAAAGACAUUCUAAAGCAAUGAUCAAUUAGAUUACCACAACGACAACUAACGUUCAUGUCGUCCAAACGUUGAUUGCUUAAGGAACAGCUCAACCAAAGAUGAUCUCAGCACACUUAUGGACACUGGAAGUAUCGGAACAUUCACCGGAUCAGAAGACACCAAACACCACAUCAGUCCAGUUAGAUGCACUAUUUUGGUGCAUGGACAAAAUAGCCACCUGUUGACAAAAUAGCCACCUGCAUCUGAGCAACAAAAAUAUAUCAAAAAUAACUAUUUUGAAAGCCAAUCACCAAUUACUCUUUUAAUCUUAUAUAAGGGCUUUUAUGCAAAAAAAAAAAGACUUUUAUGAAUUUGGUAUUCUUCUCUUUCCAGAGUUGUUAUAGUAUGGUAGGAGCAAACUUGUUACUAAAAUGGAGCUGAAUUAGUUCUGCAGCAAUGCUAACAAAUUGGUCCAGUCAUAUGCCAUAUUAGCUAUUCUAGGGUCCUCAACAUGAACAAUAAUGAUAAUCCAACAAUGUAAAAUGAAUCCAAUCCCAUACGAAGGUAUCAUUAGAAGCUUGAAGGAACUUUUGGCAGGAUAAUUCAGUGCCUUUGUAGACAACACAGGUCAUUGUACUAGGACAUCUUAGUUAACAGAUUUACAAGUUGACAAAUUUAACAGAUUGUGUCAAACUAAUCAUAUCUAUGAUCAUUAUGCUUAGCUUUGAUAUUUUGAGGUGAUUAACACAUAGAUUACGAUGGGUUGGAUUAUGCACAUAAGGCUGAGAUCUAUUGGUUCUCACCAGUUGCCACAUUCAUGGCUAGUGCGGUUGGGAUGGGGACGUGACACCUAAUUCUUGACAGGUACAUGAAAUUCUGACAGCCAAGUAAAAUCCCAAAUUUUUCAGGUUCUAAUUUGCAUAACAAGCAGGUGAAACAAUGAAAAAGCUGCAUAACAAUAUCCUCGAAACGCAAGCAAUGCUUAAAAAACAAGUGACAAGGCAAUAUCCUAUAUAUAGCCGGGUGAGUCGAACAUUGCAAGACCCAAACAAUCAUCAAAUUCAUUUUAUUCUAAAAGCAUAAAAAACCCCUAAUAAUUAGGUUAACCACCAUUGAACCAAUAUUGACACACCAGCACGAUGAAGAUCCCCAAUAUCCCCAAAAAUACAUAAAAUCAUGCCAGAAAUACGAAAAUUAACAUACUCAUUACCUCAAAAAAGAAAAAUUGAACCGAUUUAUACAGAAGAAAAAGGAAUAAGUGGACCUACCACCGAGCUUAAUCGAUUCUUUGGCAUCGAACCCAGAAUUGACGGAAUGGCGAGGAAGGAUCCAGAAGAUCCCGGAGAGGAAAACCGAGAAGCCGAGAAUUAAACGAAGACGCAUCGGAAGCUGAACUCCUGGGCGAUUCUGUUCAAGAAUCUGGAACAUUCGGGACAAAUGAACCCAGAAGCAUCGAGGGUUUGGUGACUCUGAUCCUGGAGGUGCUGCUGGUGCAGGCUUUUCUCACCUUUCCCCAUUUGCAGGGAAUCUGGGAGUCUCACACAGACUUGGGUCUCGCCGUCUCGUCUCUUUCUCUGUCGAAGAAGAAGAAGAAGAAAGGGAAGAAGAAGGAAGGUGAAGAAGAUGUGAGAGAAAAAGUCGUUUUUGACUCGAUUAGGGUGUAGUCUGUGUAAAAUGUCUUUUUUGCCUUGUUUUUAAUGGACCUGAUGCUGGUUACGUCAGCAAACAGACGGUACGGUGACGGAAAUUGGUCUCAGGCCUUUCUUUAGUAGCAAAAAUAAAAUUUAGGUACCACGUUGAUAGUUUUUAAAGUCUAGGUACCACUUUGACCGUGACACAAAAAUUGAGGUACCGGUGCUCUCAAAACUUCUUUUCUAAAAAGCUGAAACGAGAUUAUAUGUUGACACUCAAAUUAGUUACAUUUCUUUCGACAAUCACGUUUAUAAAUGUCACUAGUGAUAACAGACUCAUUAUUUAUUAGCACAACCAACGGCUGGUCUCUAAGAUAAUCUUUUUCUAGUAUUAUACACUUCUAUAUACUUCUAUACUUGUAGAUUUCUUCUUUUUCAGAGGAUCUAUACCUGUAGUUAUAUGAGUAAUAGCGUAUGUCCGACGGACCUAGAGAAUAGAAAGAGGAACAGAUACAGCAUUUAAGUAGAGGACACCAAAAGAGAGAGUGGAAAGGAAGGGAAUUGAAAUUUAAAAAAAGGAAAAGGGAAAAAGGCCAGCAGUGUAUGCUGGAAUGCUCUGAGGUCACGCAUCUCCUUCUCAUCGAUUUCUCCAUUCUCGAUCUGGGUUUCCUUCCUUCCCUUACGGUUCGUCUCUCCAUUCGAUUACCUUCAAUUCCAGUUUUUGUCUUUCUCAAAUCUCACAUCUUUUUGUUGAAAUUUUGUUGCUUUCAGAUCGAAAUCUUGAUGUGAACCAAAAUUGAAUUCUCGGGUUCAAAGCUUUGUGCUUUAUGCCUGGGCUAUUAUUAUAGCUCAGAGGGUGUAAAGGGUUUGGCUGAUUGUUCCAACAAUUGGGUUUGGCUUUGAUUCUUAUGAGCAGUUGAGGGUUCAAGUCUUUUCAGUUUUUGGAUCAAUCUUAGUGAAUUGAGAGUUUGGAGGAUAAAUUUUGUUGUAGACAAUGUUCUAUGGUGCAGUAGUAUGGGACCCUUGGCUCAUUGUUGUCCAAAUUGUGUGCCUUCAAUGUCUCUACUAUCUCACUCUCGGCUUGUUCUUGGCUAUUCUUGUUGGGACUCGCGUGUCCCGAAUGAGCCUUGUGUAUUUCUUUGAUUUCGCUACUGUCACCGUCUCCACUGUCACCGGGUGGUGCGUCAUUGCUUCCUUUGUGCUCAGUGCACUUGCAAGGUGAGAACUCCGUUCGGCUUGUCUUUGCAGUUACAAUCGCUGUUCAAUUUAAUAAGAUUCUUUUUGUUGCAUUGAGUUAUUAUUGUUUAGGAACACAAAGUGGGAAUGCAUUCCAGUUUUAUCUAUUGCUCGUAGAUAUAGAGCUCGUAAAGUUUGUGAGAGGAGAAAGUGUGCUUGUGAUUUGUGAAAACAUCAGUGAAAAUAAUCUGACAUGAACAGUUUAGGUAAUUUCCUGUCUUGUUUGUUUACAGCGCUGGAUAUCUAGUCCUUCUGAUUGAGAGGUCAAAAAAGUGCUUAGAUUUUUCAGUCACCCUGUACAUCGUUCAUCUCUUUAUCUGCAUUGGUUAUGGGGGUUGGCCUUCUUCAAUAACAUGGUGGGUUGUAAAUGGUACUGGAAUUGGAGUGAUGGCUUUGCUAGGUGAAUACCUCUGCAUGAGACGUGAACUGCAGGAGAUCAAGAUCCCUACAACACGAUAUCGCUCAAGUAAGAUCCCCCCUACCACUUAGUAUGUAAAAGUAAAGCUAAAAGUGUGAAACAUAAAGUUCUGUUGUUAAUAUUAAACUUUCUUUCUGCUGCCAGUGAUAUGUCAGUCAAGUUUACUUUCUCGAUUCAUCCUCGUUAAUGACUUGAUGUGUUUUGAUAUUUCUGCUACUUUUUGGUGUGCGCAUCAGGAACUUGUAGUUCUUUCCUAUUUGUUGGUAGUUUUCAUUAAAUAAAAACUUGUUCCUAGAUGAAGAGUAAACAAUAAUCCUGCUACGGUAAAUGCCUGCUUAUUUAGUGAGAUUCUACAGUCUUAAACAUAUGUAGGAGGAACUUAUAUGCUACAGAUGCACUGUUUUUUUUAAGGCACUCAUCUUUUUAUUUCAUGCUUACGUCCUAGCUACGUAGCAUGGAUACGCCGUUUUGGUGCCGUAUCCCAAAUAUGCGGGGACAGGCGUCUGAUUUGGAUACAUAUCUAAUAUUGCGUAUCCAUAAUAAGUAGAAUAUGCGGAGUAUUCUCUUCCUCUUCUCUUCUACCCGCCCAAACAGAGAGGUAUUCUCCUUCUCUUCUGAAUUCAGUUUCGUAGGUUGGGGCAGUGUCUAUGAUGGGGUAUAUGAUCUGGGUUGGGUAUCUUUAUAUAAUUUUCAAUAUAAUCGAAAAUUGAAUAAGUGAAGUAUAGAGGAGAACCAGGGGGGACGUCUGCAAUGUACCGGGUAUUCGAAAACCAAAACAAUGAAUUGACUCUUUUACCCUGUAUCUCUCUUACCCAGAAAGCAAGAGGCUCACUUUCUGAAGAGAAUUGGUUAGUUCAGAGUGAUCUGCUUAUUUCUCUAAGAAAAGGAACUGAAUAAGAAGAUGGCUCUGGCUAAAGAGAUCUUGGGUUGUUUUGUUUUGGUGGGGAGAAACCAAAAGCAUUUCUAAGAAUAAAAAAAGUACAAUUCACAACCUCCAGGAACUCUUCAAUGAGGUUUCUUAAUUAAGAACUGUACUUCAACUGCAGUUGAUGGGUUAAAAGACUCCAUGUUUUGCAGCUUCCCUCUAUACCAUGAAGGAUGGUUACCAUCUCUGCACUUUACAGCAAUUUCUUUUGGGAAUAUAACUUCUAAAUUGGGAAACUGAGGUUUUAUAAUCUUUAAAUGAGGGGUUAUGUGGCAACUUCUUCAAUUUUCGUCUCAUCCUGACAGGUGGUUAUGGAAGGGUUGACACGUAGCUACUUAUUUAUGGUUCUUGAAACACCUCUACUGCAGCUCCCAUAGAUGAAAAUGGGAAUAGGAUAGCAGCAAUGCAAUGCUAUUUUGUUUAGCCGGCGUAUCCGUCAUGUAGCUUUGUCUCAUCAUAUUUUACAUUUGGCGUGGCCGCGUAUUGUGUCGGAUACGGAUACUCGUACCCCUAUCCGUGCUUCAUAGCAUCCUAGGAUAGUUCCAUGGCUUGCAUUAGGAUCACUAUUCUGCUUCCGUUUCAAUUGGUCCAACUAAGAUUUGAUAAAGAGCAAUUGCAUUGUUGCCCUUGUCUUUCUUCACAAGUUGUUGUAAUGUAUGCAAAUUAAUUUGGAACUAUAUCUAUGCAGAUGUUUGACCGAGGAGAAACACAACAUGCCAGAAUUGUGGGGUUAUAGAGGGUACUCGUUUCUUUGGAGGAGCUUCAGGAUAAAGCUCAUGAACACCACAUACAAUAUUGGAUGAGAAGAAAUGCUUUAGUCUGUGGAUUCUUUUGUCUAUGCUGGUGGUAAUUUACAUAGAACUUCUGUAAAAGUUUGAUACAGUGCUUCAAAUGAUGGGAGUUGUGAGCACAUGAGACUAGGUCUAGGUAUUGUUAUAGGAAAAUCAUAAUGUACAAUUUUAGGUGCAGCAAUGCAUAUAAUGCUUCUGAUUUCAUUUUUUUCUCCCUUCUUUUCUGUUUCCACAGAGAUAAACAUUAUCAAUUCAGUUUAUAUUGUUAGUGUUAUUAUGAUUCUCUUUAUAAUCUGAAGGAGUUUCUUGGUAAUUUUUAUUGUUUGGUUGGAUGCUAUUGAUUAUUGUAGGACUAUUAAGAAAUUUGCUACAGAAACCUUUAACCUUGUAAUACUUGAGCAAAUUUUUCUUUCAUGCUUGCCUUAAUGAUUGUUAGUAACAUAUUAUAGUUUAGCUAGAAGCCUGGGUUUAUUGCAGAAAGCAUGCAUAUGAGAGUUAUAUAUGUUGCAAUCAUAUGGAAAAAUUGCAUUUAAUCACGUCUAAAAUGGAAUUUUUCUGAAGUGGGACAAGGUAUGAGUUAGAUUGAUGAUUAAUUGGCUCUAUAUGUAUCACAAAAUCGAACAUCCUUGGUCAUUUUGAUAACUCCCUGCUGACUGAUGAGCUACGAGCUUGUUAGAUUUCAUGCUUCUGUAGAAUGCAAGUAUGUGGAUUCUCACCUUUCUACUCGUAGUUCUGGUAAUUUUAUUGCUCAUCUUUAUCUUAGUUACACUCAGUAACUGAGUAGUUUAUCUCAAUCAUCUGUAUUUCCGCUAAACAUGCCAAGGGGUUGGUUAGAAACUAAGAAUAUUAGAAAAUCUAGAUCGGCUAAUUUUAGUCUUAGGAAAUACAUGGUGGCGGACAAUUUUUGUAGUGCCUUUGAGAUGAUUUUGCUUCGUAGCAUAACAAUGAAUUUGGUAUUCAUUGAGGGCAAAUCUGAUCAUGAAGCUAUCUGUCUCACUAUCUUCAAUGAACUAGCAUGAAAUUCAAUACUCAAUAGCUAGUUAAGGUGAAGCUUAACCUUGGUCAUUGAACAUGGAGGCAAAAAAACUUCUAUAUUUGCUUGUAUUUUUUGCCUCGGAUAAAUAAGAGUAAGGCUUCUAUAUUUGCUUGUAUUUAGGCAAAAAUGAGUAAACACAUAAAAUCUACUUGGGAAGAACUCAAAGUAAACUGGAACUUUGAUUUUGUACAAUGGAAUAUUCAGGUUUACCACAUAGAAAGUGUUCCUAAAAAAUAAAAUAAAAACAAACUUGUCCAAGUAGCUGUAGAAAGAAGGCGACACUUGCAUUUCCAACCCUCUCUGGCUCAUAAUUUGCAUACUGAACCCUGCAAUAGUUUUUGCUUUUUGGUAGUGGGCGCUUGAAUAGCUUCACAUGGAGUGCAUCCAUAAUUUCUUCUCACAGCUUGGAGGGCUUCACCCUUUUUUGUUUCCCCCCUCUGUAAUUAUAUCCCCUACUUGAGCUUGUCAAUCCCCAAUUUGAUAGAGAAACAAUGUCAAUUACACACACUAGGCUAAACAGACACACCUACACAGGGAAGAAGCGAGGGACCUGCCCCAAGGUAAAUUGUGAAAACUGAUGUGGGUUCUGUAGAUAAAAUCAAAGAUAUCUGCUUUGCCUCCAUCAAUUAGUUGUUGAAGCAUGUAUGUGGAGAGGCGUGGCUAUCGUUGCGGAGUGUUUCAUCUUCGUACACCGUUCCGGCUUCCAGGGGAGGACGAGGUUUUGAUUUGAUUUGAUUUAAGCUCUUCAAUAUGAAAGCAAGCCACCGUCAGAGAGCUGAUCCAUUUACUGUUGAAAGUACAACCCUCGUGGCUGCAACCCAAUUUUAUGUCAGCUUAUUAAGCAAUCCAGUAACAGGUUUGAGUACACACACAAGAUAGCUGGGUCUCUUUCCAUCAUGGGUCUGAACAUCCAACUAUCAUUGAAAAGAUGUACAUGUACCUGCUUCUUCAUGUGGCUGUCUACCCUGAGCUGCCUGUCGUUGUUGCCGUUUGGGACUCACUUGCAUCAGGUAUAGUCCCGGUCUUGUUGUUCCUGCAGUACCCAGUAUUGGUGUUCCUUCAACUAGGGGUUUGGAGGGAAUGAGAGUUGAUACUACUGUGGAAGCAGAGGCUCCCUCACGUGUUAUUUGUACCGAGGAUCUUCCAGUAGGCAAUGUACAACUGAUCAAUCGUUUGCCCAAUGUCAUGCGCAUUGCAUUCUCCAGUGGCUGGAGAUCAGUGGCGUAUGCCCCCUCGGCAGAGCCGAAUGCAGCAAGCAAUGAUAUCUUUGAUACUGGUUAAGGCUCAUGUAUAGGCCAAUGCAGCCUCCCUUAAGAGGUGCCCAUGUCUUCUUAACUCUAUUAGUUUCGUUCUUAAUUGUCGUCUUAACUGUUAAGCUGCUACUAAAUCAAAUCAAGCUUCACAAUUUUCGCAUUGUAUAUCGUCUUUGCUCUAAUUUGUUAGGAACCAUGCGACAUUGUCCUGCUUUAUUUGCUGAUAUUAUAAUGACUUUGUACUUCAAUUAGGGUUGCCAUACAAUUGGGGAUUUGGGGUUACUUCUUAGGUUUCAUUUGGGAUCAUUUUGAUUUCCCUAGACAAACAAGUUGGAUUUAGUCAUGAUGCUUUGCUGUUUACCUUAAAACCAAGUGGUCAGAUCCCUAAGACAUCUAAAAACAAGUCAUUUAUGUUCUUUAGUUCACCUUACUAUUCAUGGUUGGUCAAGAGAUUACUUACAUAUUAUAUGGUGAAAUUUCGAUAUCUUAUGCCUUUCCGGCAUACAUGGCGAGCCUGCAGCCACCCUUUCAUUGUUUCUGCUAUGUAUGCAUAGAUCUGGUCAUGUGAGCAUGUAACAGUUUAGGUUUCACUUGUUUUAAUUUAAGUGAGUGACUUCUCUUGAAAUAGGUUCUACUUUGUGUUUUCUUCUAGUUCCCCAUGAAUCCAUGAUGUGAUUAUGCUUUCGUAUUGAUUAGUAGAGGUUUGGCAGAGACGGCAGACUGUAAAUCCAUCUUGGCAUACUUGUACUGUAAAUGGAAUGUUGACGGUAGAGGGUUCACCACUAUACUGAUAUUCGAUAGGCUUAGCUAUUAGCCAAUUAGUAUGUUAAAUUAGAUAUCUUGAUCGAAAUGCUUGAGGUUUGUUUGGAACACUAGAAAAGUCAAGGCUCCUCAAUUUUUAGAGGAGGCAUUUUGCAGGUCAAUUGAAGUUCCUUUUGUGGUUCCUCCCAUCAACUGCUUUAGCAUAGAUAGGCUUUGCACUAUUGACAGAGAAAUUGAUCAUUUCAUUGUGCUGACUUUGUGCUCAACCGUUGUUGUUGCCUGAGCAUAAGUCCCUCUGUUGCCAGAAUGAUUAGUUGAUUACUAGGGCAGUCACUAUGUUCCCCAUUUUUGAAAUUGAUGAAUGGCGGCCUUCAGAGUAAGUUGCUUUUAUCACAGCAGUGGAGUUGCAUAAAUUUUACGUAUGGUUUUUAUUGUGGUUUAUUAGAUUGAUCUCUCGGCCAUUAGGGUUUUAGUGAUUUACCUAUCAUUGCUGACGGUGCUUCAAAAAUUCUUGCAUAAACGUCUAACCAGUUCUUCUCAUUACAUCUCUUGUCUUGCCUAGUUUGUAAGAUAGAAAUUCGAUGAAUGCGAAGAUGAAGCUUAAACUAUGAUCAAAAGUGAGAACUUGGAGUUUAACAACUUUCUAAUUCAACCAAAAUGGUUAUUUUCCAUGGAUUCCCCACAAAAAGACAUCACAAAGAAAAUACCGCUGGCAUUACUAAAGCUCUUCCUAGACUGUCCAGCAAGCAGUGGCUUUAGCCAUAUUUAUAUACUUUUUUUUUUUUUGGUCGAGAAGCCAUAUUUAUAUACUGGGCCAUCCAGUCCUACUGAGGUCCUUUAGAAGGUCAUGCUCGAGCCUUCCAUAGUGAUGAUGUGUCAGCCACAGCUUCUCCAACUGUGAGAUAGACUCCAUUCAAUCCGAAUGACCCCAAAGUCUUUGAUUGUUGUAGCUUUUCCAUCACGCUUCCAACAGGAUUUGCCAACACAAGCUAGGGUAGUAAACAACACCAAUGUACCAAGAUGAGAAAAUAUGUCUUCCCAGAAACGCCAGAAAUUCAAUAUUCAUUGCAAUAUUAGCAAACCCUUACCUGAAGCAAUCUUUUCUCUAGCAUCUUUCUGAGUUCGGACAAUGUGUCGAUACCACUAGUGUCGAUGGCUGUCACAGCUGAGAGAAUAUGUAUAACCGUUAGUCUAAUGUAGAAAGCAUUUGCAACGGCAAUUUUACAUAAUGUUAAUGUAAAGAUAGGUGAAUUCAUGUAACCUCAUACCUGUCAUGUCUAAAAUUACACAUUUCAAUAUGCCCUCAUUGUUUGAUUUUAUCCUCUCUUCUUCUUCGCGAACCCAUCUUAGUAUUCUGUAGUAGCAGAAUCCGCAAGUUAGAAAACCAUGGCCAGAAGUUUCUCAUUAACACACCAUUUCUUAGAGUAAAAGUGUUUUUCAAAACCCUCUGAUACAACAAGUCUUUAACUUUUAAACCCUGAUUUGCUAAUGUCAUGAGAGAGUAGUUGUAUACAACUGUUACAGGGAAAAUUUUCUUGUCAAAGGGGUGUGAAGUGUAACUAACCUCUCUUGUAGGUAAGUUGAAUUUGCAAAGUAGAAUGGUGCCUCGAUAGCUAGAAUAAGAAAUGAUGGAAUCCUUGAAGCUUCUCCGUAUCUAUUGAGAUUCUGGUAUAUUUGUGUUCCUGGAAUAUUCCCCAAAGCCAUGGUGUUUGGUCUGGUGACAUGAAGGAGGAUCUUGAAAACUGAUACUCCAACCUGCAUUGUACAGAGAAGUUGUUAGAGAUUGAUGAAUGAUGAUGGAGAAAUGACAUUUAGGAAAAGGAUAGAAUUUUUUUUUUUCUAAAAGAAAAUUGUAAGUUUGUGAAUCGUGCAACUAAAAUUAGCUUCGUUGUCUCGCAUUCUAAUCUAGUUGACAUGGUCAAUUAAAAGACAACAGAAUACUUGAGAUUAGGAAAUCUUACUGCAAUUGCGAGACCAAUUGGGACAGAAAUGAAAAGAACGCCGAAGAAGGAGCAUAAACAGGCCAUGCAGUCAAGUUUGUCGACUUUCCACAAGUCAUAUGCAGCUUGAUAAUCAAUUAGUCCGCUCACAGCCGUUAAGAUGAUGGUGGCUAAGAUAACAUUGGGGGUGUAAUAGAAGAGUGGCAUUAGAAACAGAAGAGUUAUAAGCACAGCUGCGGCCAUAAUAAUGUUUGAAACAACUGUUUUUGCUCCAGCAUUGUAGUUGACUGCAGAUCUAGAGAAUGAACCUGAAAGUAAAUAAUGUGCUAUUAGUUGUUGCAUCUAACCAGCGCACUUGCAUUGCUUUAGGAUAGUCUACGUAUCAUAUUGUAGGAUCGAUCUUUACCUGUGGUAACAUAACAUGAAGAACAAGAACCACAAAUGUUCAUGAGCCCAAUUGCCAUCAUUUCUUUGUUUCCAUCCACUUGGUAGUUUUUCAGAGAAGCAAAUGUUCUUCCUACUGCAACUCCUUCCUAUUACAUAAAAAAAAAAAAAAAAAAAAUGCUUGUAUAAUAGCUGUAGGUGUAUAACUACUUAGUAAGGGUCGAGAAUUAAUGAGAAUCUAUUGCAUUUAAAUGUAGUAUACAACCUCUAACAUCACAUAAUUAUUGAUCAAAUGAUCACCAUGUGAAGGGUUAGUGGAUGUAUGCUGUACUUUACUAGAUAAAUUUGCCAAAGUAAAAGAGAAGGGUACGAUUUGAGGUGACUUACGGUCAGAGACAAGAUCCCAGUUAUAAUGCCAGUUUUUAUAGCAAGAGCUAGGUAAGGGCCACUGAAGUAUAGCAUGUUUGAUGAAGGUGGAUUAACACCCUUUGGCAAAUGACCAAUCUGUUACACAAGUUUUCAACUUUAAGAAAGUACUUUAUCAAGAAUAUUCCAUGUACCACCAAAAUUAGACACUAGUUCUUACAACAGAGAUUUUAGGAUUCUUUGAAUGGAGGAGGAAGACUAUGAGUGUCGAAACAAUAACUGAUGUCAAUGGAGCUGCUGCUGCAACCCAGAAGAGUUUGGGGUUUCUUUUGCUCUGUUCAAAACAACAAAACCAAACAACAUUUAUAACUUGAAAAGAAUUGAUACAUACUUGUAAGUGUUGACAGUGUCGAAAGACACUUACAAUAUGCCUGGUUAUGAAUAGAAACAGCAGGAAGCUGAAGCCCAUCACAAUUGUUUGCCAUGACCACUGCACAUCAGAAAGAAAAUAUUACUAAACGCAGUUCCUCCAUCAGUAACAUUUCGAUUAGAACCACUGCAGAUUUUGCAUUAAUAUUCUUACCAUAAAAGAAAUUUUUUUUUUUGAGCCCCCAAAACACCUCUGUAGUUUAACUUGCCCCCAAAACACCUCUGUAGUUUAACUUUCAACCGAACAUUGCUCAAAAGGAACAAUAUGAAAUACUAGUUCCAUACAAUGGUAGACUAACUCAAAAUUAGACUUGGCUAAUUAGCCAAUACAUUUAGCAAGUUUAUGUCUAUUUCGAAUUAAUUUACUUCGUAUAUACGGAGUACUUUCCAAAAUCCAAAAGCACUUCUAAGCAUACGUACAGACACAUGAAAUGACCUUAAAUUUUUCAACUGUUGGAAACAAUAAGCAAAGCAAGUAGGAGAUUCUCUUAAUUAUAAACUGAAAGAAAGUUGACACCUGCUUGGUUAUAAUAAAGCGUCAUGUAGAUACCUUCCAGUUUUGUAAAAUAUAUUUGGAACAUUUUGAUCACAAUGAGAAAGUAACCUUUACGAAAUAGCAAAGUAAUCUUUUUCUCAGAGCAUUAUUGACAGUAGCAAGAAAGUUCUUCCCAAUAGUACCUUCAUGAUUCUAUUCCAAGAUUUCGCUCAAAAGUCUUAAUCUUUGUUUAAGAAAAUGAAGAACAAAUUGCUUGAUCCUGCUCAAGGAACUUAAAUAUAUACCUCCUGUCUGUGGCUGAAAACUGAGGCCAUGACUGGAAUAAAUUGCAUUUUGGUGGUGAAGUGGACAAUCCCAAGCAAUCCUUUCAACUGUUGCAGGGAAACAAUGACUGCUGCACCGGCCAUAAAUCCAACUAGAGUUGCCUUUGACAGAAAAUCAAUUAUGAAGCCUAGCCUGUAACACAAUAUACUAUUGAUUAGUUGCAAUUUUUUUUUAAUAAAUAUCAAAAUAAUUCGUAGUCCAGUAAACGUAAUAAUUAGUAAUAUUAAAAUGUUGUUGCUGUCAAUUUUUCUGCAGGUGAUUACUUACCUUAGAAAACCCAGAGAAGCCUGGAAAAUACCAGCAACACAUGUAGCUGUGAAGGCCAACUUCAGAUAAAGGAUUGGCUCUUCAGUACUAGAGACAACCUCACUUAACAUUGAUCCCAUGACUAAUGAUGCUAUUGAAACUGGACCAACAGCAAGAUGCCUUGAACUCCCAAGCAGUGAAUAUAUCAGUGGGGGCACAAAACUUGAGUCUACAUAAAACCCAAUUAGAAUAUAAGUGAUCAUUGUAAAUAACUGUUGUAUUAAAUAAUCUAAUAAUAUAGGAUUAAGUUCAAAUAUUGGUACUAACAUAGCCCAACUAUUGGUGGCAAAUUUGCAAGCUUUGCAUAACUGAUACCCUGCAAAAGUUGAGAAACAAGUUCAAUCAGAUCACCCAGAACCUGAGUUGUCUUCAAGUUGUAAAUAUUUAGGAGACUAACACUAUAGGAAUAUAUACCAUAUUUGAUUCCAAACAGAACAUGGCCAUUUGGUUUACAUGAAAGAUAAAGACAGAACUUUUAUAUCUGAAUGAAGAUGAAUGGAAAUUGCAUAACCCACCUUUUGGAUUUUCAUUAAAACCAUAGCCACCUUUAUUCUUUUUUCUUAAUCAGAGCCAUGCAACAAUAAAUGCAGAGAACACAAAAUGACAUUUGUACCUGAGGAAUUGCAAGGCUAGCAAUAGUGAGGCCAGAGAUGACAUCAGACUUGAGAAGUUGAGCAUUGUACUCAGGAGCCCACUGGAAUAUUGGGAACAAGAAUUGAAGACCCAGGAGCAGUUUUCUGAACCAAGUUUGGUUCUUGAACCUGUGAAGUGGGUUUUCUGGGAAAAAGAUCUCACCAAGCCUAUGUUUGAGUUUCUGCAAGGUGCUCUGUUUUGGUGGCAGACAGACCCUGUGGAUUUCAAGCGGUGGCAUUGCCUCUAAGUCUAUGUCUGAUGGGAUUCUCACAGUGGUGGUUUGAUGAUGAUCAUGGUGGCAGGGAAGGUCCUCAACUCUGUUUGAGUUGACACCCAUCUUUGAUUGUGAUCUUCACACUUGUACUCUCUCCUCUCUCCCUCGUUAAUAGAGAAAACAGAACGAGCACCCUGGAAGUUGGUAUGAAAUGAGAUUAUGAGAGUAUGGAUUUGUAUUUAUAGGCCAUUUGAAGGAAGUGGGGGUGGCAAGUGUAAGAAGGAGGUUAUUAAUACAGUUGUUCAUUUCCUACUGAGGGGCUUGUUUUGUAAUAUUUGUGUUCAAAGCUUCUUCUUCUUUUCUUCUUUUUUUUCGUUCUUUCUUUCUUUUUUCUUUUAAUUAUUUUUAUUUUCUUCUUCUUUUUUAGAUGGAGCAGUCGUUAUCUAUGUUAUAAAUAUUAUAAUAUAUCUGGUUGUCCACGUAAUUACUCAUUAGUUAUGUACUCUGAUGUAAACUCUACCUCUAUAUAAAGAUGCUAAUGAAAAUAAAUGAGUAGACUUAUGUCUCCUCCCAACUAUUCUCUCUGUGUCUUCUCUUCUUUUCUUUACUUUACAAUACGUUAUCAGCACGACUCUACCUUUGAAUUGAUAACGAACAUUUUUUUCUCUCCUUAUCUCUAACUCGAUGAUGAUCUGAAAGCCUAGAUACAACUUUGUUGUUUUUCAUUGACUAGGUACUCUUGAUCUGUGAGUCUCAAUUUCCAUAAAUCAAUUCUCAGUUUCUCAAUUUCUAUUAGUUCAAUUGCUAAAUAUAAUUAGCAGCAAUUCGAACAAUUGAUCAUUAAUUUUAUUUUUAUUUUUUACUGUUAACGAUAACAAUUAGGAUGGUGGGUGUUUGAUACCAUACAUACUUUAUCUUGCAAUUACAUUUAUUAUGUAUAUCUAUUAGUGCUUGAUUCGUUCAUAUCAAAGACCAAAUUGGUUUUCUAUGAUUGGAUAGUUUAUUUUACGUACUGUUUUGUUUUUCUUUUUUUCUUUUUUAUUAAACUCUAUGAUGAUUUAAGAGUAUUUGGUGAUUGAUUUUUGCCCAAAACUCAUGAUCUACGAGUCAUACCUUUUAUUGUUUAAUUAUCCUCUCUGUGUGCAUCGGCUCCUCUAAUAGGCAGCCACGGUUUUUUUUUUUGUUUUGGUAUGUGCAAUUCAAUUAGUUUGUGUAAUCAAUAAUUAAUUCUAUCUAUGAUAAGCUAUUUAUGUUUCCCUCAUCAAUCUCUCUGCAAACAUAACUUGUCUUGUUUGUUCUUUGUCAUUAGUUAGUAUGCACACAUAAUAGGAGAUGAUUUCAGUUCGUCUUGCCUAUACGAUCUCAUACAUAUGAUUACAAUUUCUUCUUUCAUAAAUAUAUAUUUAUCCUUAUGGUAUGGACGAAAAGUUUCAUGUUCCUCUUCUCCAUGAUAUAGAACACAGAGCCUUCCGAUUUUUUUAUUUCAGGUAAAAAUUUUCAUGUUUUGACUAAUUUGGAUUCAAUUUGUACAAUACCUUAUACAAUUUUAUUUUUCUGAAUUGAGAACAAACUCACGUUUACAACUAGUUUUUUGUGAUCAUAGAUCUAGACUUUAAGUCUCUAGCUUGAUCAAACUACAAGAGGACCUGAAGUUCCUCAAAUUCCUCAAAGAAUAAUAUAAUGAAAUUGCGAUAUGAAGAUUCUCAAAGCUCAUGCAAUCAAAGAGGGCCAUAAGUCCCUUAAAGUCAUAUAUAAUAUGACAGAACCACAUCUUGUGAUCCAAUGACGAACGCAGGAUUAAAUUUAAGUGGGGGUAAAAAAAAAAUUAAUAAAAAAAACGAAUAUUACGAAAUGAGCUAGUUCAUAUCUGUUAUCAAUACUUUUUACCUUCACAAGAAACCUUUAAUCCAUACAUCUCUCAGUAUGAAAGAAAUAAAACAAAAUUGCAUUUUUGAGCAAAACAUAACAAUUAUUAAUCAAUAGUUCAAUCUAACUCUAAUUAUAUAGAGAAAGAAAAGAAUUACAGGAUAAAAAAAGAAAAAAAAAGAUGAGACUCGGUAAAAAUCAUCAACCUGCAAAGCAAUACAUCUACAAAAUUAAAGAGUAUUUUUAUUCAUUCCCUUAUAUUUGCGGGCCAGCAAACUCAGUUUUCCACCAAGUAAAUAAACAUUACUUAUAUGAAUAAAAGAUAUUGUAUUGAUAUAGAGUAAGUUUGGGUCUUUCCAUUGGUUUCUAACGGGGGCAAUUGUGUUCAGACAGUUUUACUUUGUGAAAACUAUGGACCAAAUCUACCGAGAUCAAAAAAAUGAGUGGGGGCAGCUGCACCUACUCGCCCCCACCUGCGUCCGUCAUUGUUGUGAUCCCUAGUUAUAUGAGGGCCCGAAGUUUCUCACCUUAUUUUGAUAUUAGGGAUGUUGUGUAAUUAGAGGAGAGAAACAAUAUGAUCAUCUAUGUGAAGUUAACCAGACCAGAAGUUCUAUGUAUUUUAUUCAUUCAUGAAACCAGAAGUUUCCUAUGUCAAUUUAUUUUUUGCUCUUUACAAUUAUUUCUUUAUUUUGUUAUGUGCUUACAUUACGUUACAUAUUGUUUAAAUUUUAUUGUUAUUCAUACGGGCCAACAACCCUAUAUGUCGAAGAUAUGAAUUUUGAAUGCAUGUAAUAUUGAACCAAAAGUUUCAAUAUUGUACUAUAGAACUUGAAGUUCUAAUAGUAAAAAUUCAAACUUGAAGCUUCGAGUACAAAAUACAAAUUAGUGUGACCCAAAUGUUCACUCUACCUAAGAACUUGAAGUUCUAACCGUGCAGACUCGAGCCUUAAGUUUCGAGUAUAUAUAUUUAGACAAUUUAUCUUGAAACUUUAAUGUUGUCAACCUCAAACCUGGAGUUUUGAGGGGGAGUCAUAUUGUCAUCAAUAUAGAUAAGCGAUAUCUAACAAUUGGUCUAAAUUUAUGAUGCACAAGUACGAGUAUACUCUUUGCAAUUACGUUGCCACCUCAAUGAGAUACUCCUCUUGUAUUAAGGGGGAGAAAGAUUGUUCCUGAAGAACAAUGUAAAUUGGUGUGAGUUGUCCAUCCAUCAUCUUAUUUUGGUUUUGAGAAAUAUUUCAGCAAAUGAGUUAAUAAAAGAUCUUGACAAAAGUAUAUGCUAAACGCAUAAGCAUUUUGCUUGGGUUAAAUUGCCUAAGACCAACCAUAUUGACAUAAACAAUAUAGACCCUAUUUGAUUUGUGGGAUGCACAUGUAUCCAAGUGAUAUGGUUCUCCUGAAGAGAAUGUCAUGAUACAAUGUUAGAGUUCCUAAUACGGCUACACAUACAAAGGUUGUAUGUACGCCAUUAGAGAAUGAUAUCUUGGUUGAUAUUAAUGAAAUGAAUAUAAUGUUUUUGACCUCAUACUUGGUUUAGGUUCUCCACCAGCCAAUGAACAUCUCACUCGAAAGAAAGUGAUAGAUCUUUAGACGCAAUAUAUGUUCAUGGUCAAAAUAAGACAGUCUUCCCGCCGUUAUGGAGAGAAUAAGACUACUGUCAUUUGAAUAACGGCGUGAAUUUGAAUGAAAUGUAUCCACUGGAUCUAAAGUUUUAAGCUCCUGAAAAUGGAAGAUUAUACAGGUCCUCUAAUGGUCUACGUGAUACUACAAGUAAAAUAUCCACAUUCUCUAGAUAAUAUUUAUUCUAGAAGUGACAAUAUUUGCCCCAGAAGUGGCAUGAGUACCCAAUAUAAAAAAUAGCAUGCAUAUAAGAAUGUGUGGGAUCUAUGAAUGAUGAUCAUCUAUGACAAUUUACAAAUGGUAGCUACCAAAGACCAUUAAGGACUGUAUUAAUCGAUGCUAUGUCACGUUUCAUUAUGCAUGUCGACAAAACAUAUUAUUAGCCAAAUUAGAAAGAGACAAUUCCAAUGAAACUAAAUAUUUGAAACGUGAUGAGAUACUUUGACCUUUAACCCUAUAGAUACAAAAGGGUAUGUACCACAGUGAAAGUAAAUCACUAUGAUUUAAUGUCUACAAAAGACAUGGGAUUAUGAAUCUGCCUUUAUACGAAUGAUACUUUUCUAUAAGUACAGUGUUACAUGUAACUAUUAUAUGGACGAGAGACUUAUGACAUGUUGUCAUCGUAUAUUACGAUGGCCUUUAAAGACACAUUGAUAAACCAAAUUCCCAGAAGUGAAGUGUCAUUACCAGUGUAUCGCUGGUCAAAUCCUCAAAGGAUUCAAGUACAUGAAUGAUUCUAAUGUAAUUCGGUCCAUGAAUACUUGAGAGAGCUUGAAGCUAAUUCAUGGAAUCAAAUAGUCUAAAGUUAACUCAUAUAUACUCAUUCUGUUAUAGCUAACGUGAUCGAAAUUGUUUCAAUGAGUAUUAUGAUCAGACUACACAAUCGAAUUCGAAUAAUGAUCAUUAUGUUGCUACAUAUUCUAACUCUUGGGAAGUUAUGAAUUACUCAGAGCUCUUGUAGAGUUUAUAUGAGACGUAUCAUACACGGAGAUAUUGAUGUGUAUGGCUGGAUACGCCAUGAUGAUGUUUCAAUGCUUUAAUGUCAAUUAGCUUAUGUUGAUUAACUAUUACUUAGUGUAUGAAUUAGGUCAUACGACUUAAUGAGGUAAGACCUAUUUAUAAUCGUCUAGCUCUAGCUGUUGUUAUUACUUUAACUUUGCAGGUUUGAAAUUUCAUGAUGAGCCCCUAUAUGCAAAGCACGCAUGCAUGGUCUCACUUUAAUGAUGGACAAAUCAAACCGUUAUUUACGGCACAUGAAGUUUGCAACGUUCAGGGGGAGAUUCUCAUCAGGGGGACCAUCCAAAAGUAUGCUACCUAAGACAUAUGCGCGUUGUACUCUUUUUCUCUUUUGACCAGGGUUAUUUUUCUCCCACUGAGUUUUUCUUACCUAACAAGGUUUUUAACGAGACAACAUUAUGCGCUUCUAAUUUCAUCAUUCAUUGGUGGACAUCCAAGGGGGAGUGUUAUAAAUAUUAUAAUCUAUGUGGUUGUCUACAUAAUUACUCAUUAGUUAUGUACUCUGAUGUAAACUCCACCUCUAUAUAAAGAGGUUAAUGAGAAUGAAUGAGUAGACUUAUGCCUCCUCCCAACUAUUCUCUCUGUGUCUUCUCUUCUUUUCUUUACUUUACAAUAAUCUAGAUUAUGUUCUAAUUUUAGACUAUGUUCUAAUUUACAUCCAAUUUUUAAGUGACAUUUUAAAUAAAAUCCACUAAAUAUAUCUUUUCGAUAGACACCUAAAAUAAUGUGUCAAUUAUAUAUAUAUAUAUAUAGGGAGGAUCGUAAAGGGGAGGUUCUUACUUUAAGAAUUUGAGGAUUUCUACUAUUUUACAUUAGUCGAUGUGACUUCUUUUAACGAUCUCAACCGUUGAUCCUCUAGAUUCAUAUGCAAGAAACAUGUAUACAAAAUUUCAAAUAAUUUCAUAAUCAUUUGGUCAUUCAAAUUAAUGUAAAUAAUUGUAGGCCGUUAGAUAAAAUUAAAACGAAUAUUGUGCUAAUCAAAUGGUUAAACGUUUUUUAUUUUGGCUAAUUUUUUGUCAGAUUCAUAUAUGGGUAAGUAACUAGGGAAUGGGUGACUUUGAUUGUCAAAAUACAUGUUAUAACUAAAAAUAUCUUUACUUUAACAGUUUUAAGAGGCCCUCUCUAGAUCCAUAUUUUUUCUAAAAUUUACACAGAUUGCCAUUCAACUAACAUUAACAUAAGAAAUUAUCUUAAUUGAUGCUAUAUCUUGAUUAUGUGUUUUUCUUGAAUACUAAUUUGUUGUUUCAAUCAAUUUCAUUACUAUUGCAAGAAUCAUGGAGUUUUUCUAUAUUUUUAUGAAAACGUUAGGUGAAAGAGAAAUUUUAAAUACACACAUUUAAUCUCUUAAUACACACCCCUAUUAUUUUAUUUUUUACAUCAGAAUUUAUGGGUAUGUUUAAUUACAAAAAUAUCCAUCAAUUAUUAGGGGAAAAAAUUAAAAUAAAAAUAAAAUAAAAACUUCAUUUUUUCUAAAACCUAAGUCUUCUCCACUAUUACUACGCAUCAAAAGAAAAAAAUAAAAACCUCUUCUCCAAAAUUCAUCACUUGAAUUUCGACUACUACCGUAAUUAUAUGUACUAUUUACCGAUUCAUUUGGUUUCUUUUUUAUCAACUUUAGUUUUUUAUCUUGCAGACUAAAAAAUCAGUUUUUUAUGCUAUUGUACUUCUAUUAGUUUCUUAACUUUGAAAAAAUUAUGUAUGUUCAAUAUUUUUUUUUCUUCAAAUUCUAGCCGAUUGAUGUCAUAUUAGAGAUUUGAAGUUCGAAAAUAAUAUUACUCUUUUGAUUAUAAAUUGAAAAAUAUCAAGAAAAAAAUUUCUAACCUGAUAAAAAAAAAUCUAACUGAAAAUAAAGAGAAUACGUAAAAGAGCUGUGAAAUAGUAAAUAUAUAAUAAUUAUAUUAAAUAAUAUAUUAUUUUUAGUUUUAGAUAUUGAGGGUAUUUUAGGCAGUUUGGGAUGUGUAUUUAGUAUAAUAUUGAAAUGAAAAACUAGAUGAGUAGUGUAUUAAGUAAAUGGUGUGUAUUAAGAAAUUAUGGGUGUGUGUAUUUAAAAUUACUCUAGGUGAAAAGGAAUUCAAACAUUUCUCUAUGCGCAAGGUAUAAUUAUAAAUGAGACAAGAGAGCCUUUCUCUCCCUAAACCCUAAAGCGGCACUUGGUCGUCCAGUAAGAGAAGCUGCCCGGUCCAGCGACACGCCCCCAUGACGUCGUUGUCAAACGGGCUAUGAGAGAUAGGCUUUAUCUGAAAGUCAGGUGAGGGGAGCGAAGCUUUUGUUUUCACCAUGCAGAGCGAGGUACGCCAUGACGAGCAAUGGGAAAAGUGGGAGCAGCGGCGCUUUGUUCUAGGGAGGAGGGCCAGGGAACAGAUUGGUGGGUGAUUUGAGGAGGUACGUCGAGACUGGAAUUCAUCUAAGGGUGGUGGCCGGGCGUCGGCGUCUGCGUCGCUAAAACCCAUUCGAUCGGAUUUUGCCAACCCAAUUUGGGUAUGGCGGGUCUGAUGUAAUAAGGAAGAGAGGUGUUGGCCGAAGGAGGGUGGGUGAAGGUGGUGCUGCUGCAAUGCGAAGACAUCGUGAAGUGGCGGAUGAACGACGGCAAAAGUCUACUGCACUCUGUCAAUUGGGAGGGCUAGCUUUUCUAUUUAGUCUUUCUAGUUUUCUAAGCCCAUCUUGUUUUAGGCCUCUAGGGUUCUAAAUUAGUUUUGCUAAUUUAUUUCCAAUAAUUUUUCUAGGGUUCUAGGAAUCUUAGGGUAGGUUUUGUGCCUGCAUAUUAUGAUGUUUCUUUUACAUCUAGAUAAUGAAAACUUUUGACACACCGUAAUUGAGCGCCUUAGCAACAGAAGUUUUUAUGCAAAAUUAUCUCUAUGUAGGGUAAGAAUAUAGUUUGCUAGGCUAAUCUUAGAUGAGCAGAAAUGUAUAAUGUAAUGAUAUGUGAAUCACCUUUGAGGUCUGUAUCGGUGUUAUUUUGGCUUGCGACUAUUAAUACAAUGGGUUAUAUACCUGCCUUUGUUUCAAAAAAAUAUAUAUAUAAUUAUAAAUCCAUUUAAAGAAACCAAGAGUGCAUGCAGCCACUCGCGAGAAACCCUAGAGAACCCUCUGUCAAAUUUUCUAGUCUCGUCCAGCUGCGUGGCGAACAUGGUGAGGUCCUCUGACCUUGUUGGUGUUCCCAAAGUGUGGUCGGACAAGAGGUUACUAUAGAAGCUUACCCAGGUCGCUGGUCGGGACGGAGGGGUGUUCUUGGCUUCUUUGAUUUUGGUGGAGAUGGCGUCGAAACAACCAAGCUUUUUGUUGCAGGCGUUGGUGUACCUGAUCUAGGUUGGGUGCGUGUUUGUAUCCGCUUGGAUCUCGAUGCGAUCUCACUGAUCGAGCUGGAUUAGAUUCUUGUAGUGGCAAUUGGGACUGUGACUGAGGCCUUAUGGCGACGGGGUUCAGUUGACGAUGGAGUCUUGGCGACGGUCGAAUUCACAAGCAACGGCGGCAGCGGCGUGGUAGACUUUUAGGUUUUGGUGGUGGUGGUGGUGCGACGGCUUGAUCUGAGCCGCAUAUAAAAGCCUGACCCUCUUUGGGCCUUAACCCAACUACUUUGGGUUUGCUUUGGACCUAACGUCUUGAGCCUGGGGUUUUACUCUGGGUUCAAGAUGGUUAUUUUUGCUAGUUUUUGAAAUCCACACACCCACUUUUCAUUUUUAGUAAUCAUUAUUAUAUGAAGACAAAAUUUAAGUCACUAAAGACAAAAUUUAAGUUACUAAAAAAAGAAAAUGGGUGUAUGAAUUAUAAUUUGGGGUAUGUGAAUCUCCUAAUUUUAUUAGAAACAAUGAAAACUUUGUUGUGUGGAACCCCAAACUUAUAAGACUUUUGUGUUUGCCACCUCCCUCGCCCCCCCUCUUCAUCUUUUGGCUCUGCCCAAUGAAUGUUUACUUUGUAAGCUGAAGUUGUUGAGUUUAACUCAUUAUUGACUAGUUAUUGUACAUUCUUAGUAUUUAUAUUAAGGAUUAGUCUGACUUAAGUUGUACGUAGUUAUGUUCUACUGCCAUUAGAUUUAGAGUGUCUUCUAUUACUGGAUUUAAAUAUCUACUGAUAAUAUGUGCACAGAAUAUAAAAAUUAAUUGAUCACCAUGAUAUACAUGGCUUUCUAUUAUAUAUAUAUAUCAGUUAUUGAUUUGAGUUUCGGCUCAAAGAAAAGCCAAAAUGACGUAAUUACGCAACUUUUAAUACCGGGACAAGCACUUUAGCCGACGAAAAUUUUUCGUCGGCCUGUUAGCUUAAUUCGUCGGCUGAGAUCUUAGCCAACGAGACUUCGUCGGCUAUAGUUUCGUCAGGAAAGGCUCGUCGGCAAUGACUUUAGCCGACAAAACUAUAGCCCGUCGUCGGCUAUUGUCCCAUAGCUAGCCGACGACAGAAGACGUCGUCGGCUAGUCUCUCAGACUUUAGCCGACGAGUCUUACAGACUUUAGCCGACGACGAGUUUUUUCGUCGGCUAGUCUCUAAACUUUAGCCGACGAAACAACUCGUCGGCUAGUUUCUUAUCUAUAGCCGACAAAAUAACUCGUCGGCUAUUCUCUCAGCUUUAGCCGACGAUACACUUAAUAUAUUCGUCGGCUAUAGUAUGUAAUAAAAAAAAUAAAAAAUAACUAAAACCGACGAAAUAGACCGUAUUUCGUCGGCUUUUAAGUUUCAUCGGCUUUUAAGGGUUUAGCCGACGAAACAUUCCAUUAUUCGUCGGCUAAACCCUAUUAAAAAAUAAUUAAAAAUACUAUAGCCGACGAAUUAUAGCGUAUUUCGUCGGCUAUAAAUCCAUUUCAGUAUAAAAAAAAAACUAGAAAUUUUUAAAUUACCAUUCCAAACAAGCUGCAAAAAACACAAAAACAAUUCCAUAUAACCAACAACAAGCACAUAAAAGUAUAUAAUUCAUCAACUACACAAAAUCUAGAUCGUCUAAAUUAAUAUCCGGUUCUGGGAGCUGCUGCGGAGCUUGCGGCGGCUGGGGUAGCGGUAUGGGCGGAGGCAAGGGCGGAGCCGGAAGUCCCUGGAGCUGGGCAACAGUAAAGUCCUGCAUGUACUGGAACAUCUGCCGCUGCUGGGCUUGAUGGAUGGCAUGUACCUCGGCAUUAUAGGCUGCCUGCGCGGCAUUAUAGGUUGCAUGCGCUGCAUUAUAGGCAACAUGAGCAGUUUGCUGUUCCCGUAGUCUCUGAAGUUCCGACUGUAGCAGCUGAGUCNNNNNNNNNNNNNNNNNNNNNNNNNNNNNNNNNNNNNNNNNNNNNNNNNNNNNNNNNNNNNNNNNNNNNNNNNNNNNNNNNNNNNNNNNNNNNNNNNNNNNNNNNNNNNNNNNNNNNNNNNNNNNNNNNNNNNNNNNNNNNNNNNNNNNNNNNNNNNNNNNNNNNNNNNNNNNNNNNNNNNNNNNNNNNNNNNNNNNNNNNNNNNNNNNNNNNNNNNNNNNNNNNNNNNNNNNNNNNNNNNNNNNNNNNNNNNNNNNNNNNNNNNNNNNNNNNNNNNNNNNNNNNNNNNNNNNNNNNNNNNNNNNNNNNNNNNNNNNNNNNNNNNNNNNNNNNNNNNNNNNNNNNNNNNNNNNNNNNNNNNNNNNNNNNNNNNNNNNNNNNNNNNNNNNNNNNNNNNNNNNNNNNNNNNNNNNNNNNNNNNNNNNNNNNNNNNNNNNNNNNNNNNNNNNNNNNNNNNNNNNNNNNNNNNNNNCCUUGUGUUGCGUUGCCGGUUCUGAGCGUUCGCCCGGGAAACCGCCUUCAAAGAAAAAACUUAACUAUUAGUAAAAUAUUUAAAAACGCACGUACUUAAUGACAAAUUAACUAAUUAAUUUUUUUAAAUACCUGUUUACGAGGGUUGUUGAAUUCUGAUGUCAGCAGCCAACGCCACUCGUACUCUCUGUACUGGAACUCAGCAGGGGUACCAGAACGUGCGUUCCCGUGCGUAGUCCAAUGGGUCCGCAACUCGUUCUUCCACUCCUUGUACCUACAGAUACAACAAAAAUAUUAGAAAUAUUAUUAAUAUCACAUACAAUUUUGUUUUUUCAUUAACUUCCCAACGUACCUUUCCCCAUGCACAAAGUCCGCCCAGCUGCUCUUCAGGGGCUCGGGAACCUCAAACCACACCUGUAUUUAACCGUUUAUUAGUUUAUUUUUUCGAGAAAUCUACAAUGUAAUGCAUAAUAUUAUUGAGGCAUUUUGUAAACUCACCGACAUCGCGUUGUGGACCAUGUCCUUAACCUCCUGCGGGACCUCGCCCCAGUCUGACCACAACAUAGGGACUCUAUCCCUAAUGAGUGCUCCCACGUGGCCGGAGUACUUCCUUGACUUCUCGCCCGAUACUAUGUGGCCAUCUCCGUCAGUAUCGAUGACGAUCCUCCCUGAGGUACCGACGAUCUUUUCGAGAGCCUUCCCUGUGACGGGGCUCUCUUUUUUUUUGUCGGCUUCACUCCGACGGUGCCUAUCACAUGAUAAACCAAAUUGAUUAUUAAAAUAGAGAAUUAUAAGAAAACAAAUCAUUCAUCUUUCAUUACCUGAGGGCGAUGCGGCGGACGCGACGGAUUCCGUCUCCGAUGAUGAUACCCUCGCGGAAAUAAAAGGCGUAUCAAAAGGCACGAACCGGUACGCCGCUGAUGGAGCCACUGGCGGGGGCAGUGGAUAAAUCGGCGUCCAUGAGUCAUCGACUGCAGGUAUGGCCGGUAUCAUCCGUGGAAGAAAUAGGUGAGGCGGCGGCAUCUGUACCCCAGAUGACCCAUUAUCCGAAGAAGUAGGACCUGGAGUGGGCGCCCAGUGUAUCUUAGGCAUACGGGGUGCAAACACCUCUGUCUGGGGCUGAGUAAACAACUGCCUCGAGGAAUGAGGGAAUCCCCGCUGCCUUGAUGAAACGGGCACCUCCGGCUGCCUCUGCGCCGUCUGCAGAAGGCUCGCAUAUCUAGCUGUCAUAAGGCCCUAAAACGACGUCUGAGGGUUGCUAGAUGUUCCCUCAGACGAUUCGGACCUUUAGCCCUUCGAACCCUUCGUCGAUCUAAUAUUAACACUCAUCCUGUUUAAAAUAUUAAUUUGAAUCAAGGCCACAAAAUCAAAAAAUGUAAACUCAUUCAAUUAGUCAAAAAAAUAUAUAUAUACACUUCCUAAAUACAAAUUUCUACUUCCUAAAUACAAAUAUACACUUCCUAAAUAUACACUUCAUAAAUAAAAAUAUACACUUCCUAACAACACCACAACAUUGCAAUUGACCNNNNNNNNNNNNNNNNNNNNCUUAUUAAAUAAAAAUAUACACUUCCUAAAUACAAAUAUACACUUCCUAACAACACCACAACAUUGCAAUUGACCGGAAAAUAAAAGCAAACACAAAAUAAAACUAAAGCUCAGAAAUGUACUCGAGGAGGAGGAGGGAGGACCGGAGCAGCAGGAGGAGGAGGCCGGCCGGCCGGAGCAAGAGGAGGAGGAGGCCGGAGCAGGAGGCCUAAGGAGGAGGAGGAGGCCGGCCGGAGAGGGAGAGGGAGCGGAGGCGAAGACCGGGAGAGGGAGAGGGAGAGGAGGCGGAGACCGGGAGAGGGAGAGGGAGAGGGCGGCGACCGGGAGAGGGAGCGGAGGCGGAGGAGGGAAAUUCGGAGAGGGAGAGGAGGCGUAGGGCUUUCAACCAGUCGAGCGCUGGGUUAUACCCGAAACUUUAGCCGACGAAAUUAUUAUUUCGUCGGCUAAAGAUAAUAAUUUCGUCGGCUAAAAUAAUCAUCUCGUCAGCUAAGAUAAAAUUCGUCGGCUAAACAAUAAAUUUGUCGGCUAAACCUUUGAAAUUCGUCGGCUAUAGUACUUUUUAUACAUCCGUCAAACUGUGAUUGUGAUUGUGAUGAUCAAAUUUGAGAAACGAAAAUCCGACAGUCAGAUCUAACCAUCAUGAUAAAAUACAUGUAUGGGAAAACACUUGAACUUGAUCCGACAAGGUGAAGGGUUCGAUCCGGACGGUCAAUCCAUUAAGUCAAACCCUAAACGCACGGAAAAGGUCAUUGGACUGUCUAAAUUACGUAUUUUGGCCGGACCUUCUACUGAAAAUAGUUUCAAACCGAUGAGACGCAACAAGUAGUAUAAAAAUUUUACGCAAAAUAACCACCGAAGAUACGGCUACCCAUAGGGAGAAAGAAUGAAAAAUUCCAUUGACCGCAACUAUCGGCACCGAAACUUUAUUGGAAUACUGUGAUUUUUCAACCGUGGACGUAUUUCGCCAUUCUGGUCAUAUCUUAUUUCACGACUUUUUUGCGUUUAAAGGUGUUACGUAUAGUUUGUUUUUGAAACGGAACAUUUACUUAACACUUGGUAAAUAAGUUAUACAACAUUAGUAGGCAUGUUGUGGUUAUGAUGAUCAAACUUGAGAAAUGGAAAUCCGACGGUCAUAUCUGACAAUCAUGAUAAAAUACUUGUAUGGGAAAAAAUGCAACUUGAUCCGACAAGGUGAAGUGCUCGAUCCGGACGGUCAAUCCCGUAAGUCAAACCCCUAAAUGCACGGAAAAGGUCUUUGGACCGUCUAAAUUUCGUAUUUUUGCCGGACUUUCAACUGAAAAUAUUUUCAAAUCGAUGAGACGCAACAAGUCGUGUAAAAAUUUUACGCAAAAUAACCACUGAAGAUAGGGCUACAGUAUGUAACAGAAAAAGUUUAGGGUUUAGCCGACGAAUACCUUAAUACAUUCAUCGGCUAUAGUAUGUAAUAAAAAAAUAAAAAAAUUAAUAAAGUCAACGAAAUAGUAGGGUAUUCGUCGGCUAAGGUGGUUUUACCCGACGACUUCUAAUUGACUUCGUCGGCUAAGAUGGGUUUAGCCGACGACUUCUAAUAUAAUUCGUCGGCUAAUAUGGUUUUAACUGACGACUUCUAAUAUAAUUCGUCGGCUAAGAUGGUUUAGCCCGACGAAUUAAUGCGUAUUUCGUCGGCUUAAGUAAAAAAAUACAAACCCUAAAACAGAAGGUUUAAACCAUACUAAUUUCCUGUUCAUAUAUCACCAAAAAUUCAUAUAAAAUAACAUAAAUAUGAAUUCAACAUAUGUAAACUAUAAAUUAAGGUAAUACAAUCUUUUUUAUUACAAAUUAAUGUAUUACGUCCUCUAAAUUAAAACUAAGGCUAGUAAUCGGAAUCAUCCGAUGAGUCUUCUUUGGUGUCAGAAUUAAUUUCUGGUAAUCUAUGUCGUUCCUCAUCGCCAGAGUCUUCGUCUGUUUCUUGAUUUGGACCAACAUCAAUAAGCCUUGGCUCUUCAUCACCAAUUCACACCGAACGACCAGCUUUAAAAUUAUUAAGGCGAACGGUAGAGGAGUUAGGAAUACCUAUUGCGUUGGGCUCUUGAUAUGCAACAUCUUCUUCCUGGUCUUCGGCCUCUCCAAGUGUAGCCGCCCGGUAAAUGUUUCGAGGGUGAACAAGGUUGACUACUUUUCACGCGUCACCCUUAGCAAGGUCAUCAAGAUAAAACACUUGUUUAACCGAUGUGGCAAAAACGAACGGGUCAUCUUCGUAAGAACUUGUAGCAGUGUUCACCAAUAAUAUUCCGUACUGAUCGGUCUUCAUGCUCUGCGGGCUAGUAUCAAACCAUCUACACUUGAAGAGGUGCACUGUCAUGCCUUCACCGUAAACGAGUUCCACCACUGAAUGGAGAACACCGUAAUAGUCAACUCCAUUCCGCCCACCAUGCACCAUCACCCCAGAAUUCUGUGUUCUCCGUCUGCUGUCUCUCUGUUCACAUAUAAAUUGCACGCCAUUCACCUUGCACAUCGGAUAAACUCUUGACAUUAUCGGCUUCAUCGCUAGAAGUCUUAGUUCGUGCGACCAAUUUAGGUGACCAUCAAAUUGAAUAUGGUUCAUCUGCAACCAACCAUUCAACAUUGUAAAUAUGGAUAAUUAUGAAAUAAACAUAAAUACGUACAGAAAUAUUAGNNNNNNNNNNNNNNNNNNNNNNNNNNNNNNNNNNNNNNNNNNNNNNNNNNNNNNNNNNNNNNNNNNNNNNNNNNNNNNNNNNNNNNNNNNNNNNNNNNNNNNNNNNNNNNNNNNNNNNNNNNNNNNNNNNNNNNNNNNNNNNNNNNNNNNNNNNNNNNNNNNNNNNNNNNNNNNNNNNNNNNNNNNNNNNNNNNNNNNNNNNNNNNNNNNNNNNNNNNNNNNNNNNNNNNNNNNNNNNNNNNNNNNNNNNNNNNNNNNNNNNNNNNNNNNNNNNNNNNNNNNNNNNNNNNNNNNNNNNNNNNNNNNNNNNNNNNNNNNNNNNNNNNNNNNNNNNNNNNNNNNNNNNNNNNNNNNNNNNNNNNNNNNNNNNNNNNNNNNNNNNNNNNNNNNNNNNNNNNNNNNNNNNNNNNNNNNNNNNNNNNNNNNNNNNNNNNNNNNNNNNNNNNNNNNNNNNNNNNNNNNNNNNNNNNNNNNNNNNNNNNNNNNNNNNNNNNNNNNNNNNNNNNNNNNNNNNNNNNNNNNNNNNNNNNNNNNNNNNNNNNNNNNNNNNNNNNNNNNNNNNNNNNNNNNNNNNNNNNNNNNNNNNNNNNNNNNNNNNNNNNNNNNNNNNNNNNNNNNNNNNNNNNNNNNNNNNNNNNNNNNNNNNNNNNNNNNNNNNNNNNNNNNNNNNNNNNNNNNNNNNNNNNNNNNNNNNNNNNNNNNNNNNNNNNNNNNNNNNAACUUACUCCAGUAUGGGAGUUUCCAGAAUAUGCUCUUAUGUGUCCAGAAUUUGUACCUGUCGGGUCUUUUAGGUAUUGCCGCCACAAUGUUGGGAUGAUUGCUGAGCUGCCCAAAAUCAUACUCAUUAAGCACUGCUAAAAUUUCUUCUCCUGUCCAUCUUCUGGGAGGCACACCGUGUUCUACGGUCCCAUCAAAUGCCUUGUCAUCGAACCGCCAUUCGUGAUUAUAUGGAAGGAAAGCACGGUGACCCAAUCUGCAUAUCUUGUUGCAAUGACUGCAGCUCCUCUCAUCGCUAAGGCACUCUGGACAAGCCUUGUAUCCCCUAACAACGUUGCCCGACAACAUCCCACGUCAGGAAAAUCACUUAUGGUACCAACAACCAUGACAUGCAUCUGGAACAUCUUGUGCAUGUACUUGUCAUAAGUGGGAUGACCAACGUCCCACAAAAACUGAAGCUCUUCAAUCAAAAGUCUCAAAUACAUAUCGAGACACUUCCCUGGAUAACCGGGCCCCGGAAUCAACAAACUCAACAUAUUGUAUUCCUUCUUCAUGCAUAUCCAUGGAGGAAGGUUGUACGGUACCAAAAUCACCAGCCAUACGCUGUAUUGAAGACUCAUGUUGCCAAAAGGGUUGAACCCGUCGGAUGAGAGCCCAAGCCUCACAUUUCGGACCUCUGACGUAAAAUGAGGAAACUCCCUGUCUAUAUGCUUCCAAGCCUCCCCGUCAGCAGGGUGUAUAAGGGUAUCUUCGUCAUGCAAUUCCCUAUCAGCGUGCCAUCUCAUAGCUUUGACCGUGUGUGAAGACAUGUACAGCCGCUCCAGCCUAUCCCUCAACGGGAAAUACCGAAGUACCUUUACAGGUUUCCUAUUGCCUGCAGGAGUCAGCUUAUACCUGUCAGUGUGACAUACCGGACAUGCGUCAUGCCCACCAAGGUCAUUCCCUUCUGGAUCUUUACCCCAGAAGAGAACGCAGUCAAAUCUGCAUGCAUGGAUCUUGAUGUAGGAAAUCCCAAGAUCUUUCAGGAUACAUCGGACCUUACGAUGAGUGGUAGGAAGACGAUGACCGUGGGGCAGCAUCGAAGAAAUGUACUGUAGAUAAUUAUCAACAGCCUUCACGGUUGAUUUUGUCUCAACUUUAAUCUUCAUUACGUCCAUCACACUUUCAAGAACGGUCUUCUGACAACCGGGGUACACAUGGGUUUGUUAGAAAGCAAGCAGUUUGUUGUACUUUUCAAUACCAGCAGUGUUGACAGCUCUAGGGAAGGGCUGCACCGGGUCAGACAUAUACUGUUCUUGAGCGCAUACACCGCUCUCAUAAGGAAACAUGUCGUUGAUGAAUACCGUUGUUGGAUCGUUGGAUGUACUAGUACUGCCCGUCUCAGAAAAUUGGCCAUGAUCAUGCGGACCCUCUGAUGAUGUUUCACCGUGAUAUAAUCAACAUGUGUACUUCUCCCAAAACCCGUUACUCCUCAGGUGCUGCCAUACUUUGUCAAUGGGAAAUCGAUGCAUAUCGCUGCGACACUGACAUUUCGUGCACGAGCAAUAGAAAAUUGUAUUCCCGUUAGCAUUAGCCAGCGCAUAUUCUAUAAAACUCAUAACUCCUGCACCAUAUCUUUUGUCCCAUUUUGGAAGCGAAAUCCAACUCUUAUCCAUAUCCUGAAAAUAUAACAAAAUAUAUAUGUAUAACGUUAGCUAAUUAUUAAUGAAAUUUCAUGCCAUGCAUAUAUAAAAUCUCAAUUCAUUUAGUAUAUAUUCUACGUACGUACUACAACUAAUUAAUAACAAAUUAAUUAACACACACACAGAUAUAUAUAUAUAUAUAUACUUAAUAAUUACAUAACAAUAUUAUAUAUAUAUAUAUAUCUACAUCAUCACAAAAUCAUCAUUGACAUAUAUACCAUCAACACAAUAUUAUAAAUUAAUUAACAUAUAUAUAUACUACUUAUAAACAACUUCAUAUAUAUAUAUAUUAUAUCAANNNNNNNNNNNNNNNNNNNNNNNNNNNNNNNNNNNNNNNNNNNNNNNNNNNNNNNNNNNNNNNNNNNNNNNNNNNNNNNNNNNNNNNNNNNNNNNNNNNNNNNNNNNNNNNNNNNNNNNNNNNNNNNNNNNNNNNNNNNNNNNNNNNNNNNNNNNNNNNNNNNNNNNNNNNNNNNNNNNNNNNNNNNNNNNNNNNNNNNNNNNNNNNNNNNNNNNNNNNNNNNNNNNNNNNNNNNNNNNNNNNNNNNNNNNNNNNNNNNNNNNNNNNNNNNNNNNNNNNNNNNNNNNNNNNNNNNNNNNNNNNNNNNNNNNNNNNNNNNNNNNNNNNNNNNNNNNNNNNNNNNNNNNNNNNNNNNNNNNNNNNNNNNNNNNNNNNNNNNNNNNNNNNNNNNNNNNNNNNNNNNNNNNNNNNNNNNNNNNNNNNNNNNNNNNNNNNNNNNNNNNNNNNNNNNNNNNNNNNNNNNNNNNNNNNNNNNNNNNNNNNNNNNNNNNNNNNNNNNNNNNNNNNNNNNNNNNNNNNNNNNNNNNNNNNNNNNNNNNNNNNNNNNNNNNNNNNNNNNNNNNNNNNNNNNNNNNNNNNNNNNNNNNNNNNNNNNNNNNNNNNNNNNNNNNNNNNNNNNNNNNNNNNNNNNNNNNNNNNNNNNNNNNNNNNNNNNNNNNNNNNNNNNNNNNNNNNNNNNNNNNNNNNNNNNNNNNNNNNNNNNNNNNNNNNNNNNNNNNNNNNNNNNNNNNNNNNNNNNNNNNNNNNNNNNNNNNNNNNNNNNNNNNNNNNNNNNNNNNNNNNNNNNNNNNNNNNNNNNNNNNNNNNNNNNNNNNNNNNNNNNNNNNNNNNNNNNNNNNNNNNNNNNNNNNNNNNNNNNNNNNNNNNNNNNNNNNNNNNNNNNNNNNNNNNNNNNNNNNNNNNNNNNNNNNNNNNNNNNNNNNNNNNNNNNNNNNNNNNNNNNNNNNNNNNNNNNNNNNNNNNNNNNNNNNNNNNNNNNNNNNNNNNNNNNNNNNNNNNNNNNNNNNNNNNNNNNNNNNNNNNNNNNNNNNNNNNNNNNNNNNNNNNNNNNNNNNNNNNNNNNNNNNNNNNNNNNNNNNNNNNNNNNNNNNNNNNNNNNNNNNNNNNNNNNNNNNNNNNNNNNNNNNNNNNNNNNNNNNNNNNNNNNNNNNNNNNNNNNNNNNNNNNNNNNNNNNNNNNNNNNNNNNNNNNNNNNNNNNNNNNNNNNNNNNNNNNNNNNNNNNNNNNNNNNNNNNNNNNNNNNNNNNNNNNNNNNNNNNNNNNNNNNNNNNNNNNNNNNNNNNNNNNNNNNNNNNNNNNNNNNNNNNNNNNNNNNNNNNNNNNNNNNNNNNNNNNNNNNNNNNNNNNNNNNNNNNNNNNNNNNNNNNNNNNNNNNNNNNNNNNNNNNNNNNNNNNNNNNNNNNNNNNNNNNNNNNNNNNNNNNNNNNNNNNNNNNNNNNNNNNNNNNNNNNNNNNNNNNNNNNNNNNNNNNNNNNNNNNNNNNNNNNNNNNNNNNNNNNNNNNNNNNNNNNNNNNNNNNNNNNNNNNNNNNNNNNNNNNNNNNNNNNNNNNNNNNNNNNNNNNNNNNNNNNNNNNNNNNNNNNNNNNNNNNNNNNNNNNNNNNNNNNNNNNNNNNNNNNNNNNNNNNNNNNNNNNNNNNNNNNNNNNNNNNNNNNNNNNNNNNNNNNNNNNNNNNNNNNNNNNNNNNNNNNNNNNNNNNNNNNNNNNNNNNNNNNNNNNNNNNNNNNNNNNNNNNNNNNNNNNNNNNNNNNNNNNNNNNNNNNNNNNNNNNNNNNNNNNNNNNNNNNNNNNNNNNNNNNNNNNNNNNNNNNNNNNNNNNNNNNNNNNNNNNNNNNNNNNNNNNNNNNNNNNNNNNNNNNNNNNNNNNNNNNNNNNNNNNNNNNNNNNNNNNNNNNNNNNNNNNNNNNNNNNNNNNNNNNNNNNNNNNNNNNNNNNNNNNNNNNNNNNNNNNNNNNNNNNNNNNNNNNNNNNNNNNNNNNNNNNNNNNNNNNNNNNNNNNNNNNNNNNNNNNNNNNNNNNNNNNNNNNNNNNNNNNNNNNNNNNNNNNNNNNNNNNNNNNNNNNNNNNNNNNNNNNNNNNNNNNNNNNNNNNNNNNNNNNNNNNNNNNNNNNNNNNNNNNNNNNNNNNNNNNNNNNNNNNNNNNNNNNNNNNNNNNNNNNNNNNNNNNNNNNNNNNNNNNNNNNNNNNNNNNNNNNNNNNNNNNNNNNNNNNNNNNNNNNNNNNNNNNNNNNNNNNNNNNNNNNNNNNNNNNNNNNNNNNNNNNNNNNNNNNNNNNNNNNNNNNNNNNNNNNNNNNNNNNNNNNNNNNNNNNNNNNNNNNNNNNNNNNNNNNNNNNNNNNNNNNNNNNNNNNNNNNNNNNNNNNNNNNNNNNNNNNNNNNNNNNNNNNNNNNNNNNNNNNNNNNNNNNNNNNNNNNNNNNNNNNNNNNNNNNNNNNNNNNNNNNNNNNNNNNNNNNNNNNNNNNNNNNNNNNNNNNNNNNNNNNNNNNNNNNNNNNNNNNNNNNNNNNNNNNNNNNNNNNNNNNNNNNNNNNNNNNNNNNNNNNNNNNNNNNNNNNNNNNNNNNNNNNNNAUCAACUCGAUCAUAACAAUAUUAUAUAUCAACAUCAUCACAAAAUCAUCAUCAACUCAUAUAUAUCAUCAACAACUUCAUACCAUAUCAACACAUUAAUAUUAUAAAUUAAUUAACAUAUAUAUAUAUCUACUAUUUAUUAACAACAACUUAAUUCAUAUAUAUUAUCAAAUCAUCAACCAAAUCGAUCAACACACAUAUAUAUAUAUACAUCCAACGUACUCAAAAUCAAUCAACUCAAUCACACUCAAAAUCAAUCAACUCAAAUAAAACUCAAUUAAUCAACAUAUAUAUAUACAUGUACGUACCUAUAUAUAGCUCUACAAACUAAUUAUGGACAGAUUUCGACAACACCCAAACUUUUCUCCCGUUUUUCUUCUCUCGUUUUUUUUCCCAGAUGAGCUACUGUUGGCCAGAUCUGCAAAUAUAAAGCACUUUAGCCGACGAAAUUAAUAUGUCAUCGGCUAAACUUUUAAAUAUUUCGUCGGCCAUAGUCUGUGAACUUUAGCUGACGAAAUAAAUUAUUUAGCCGACGACAACUUAAUUUCGUCGGCUAAAGUUUACCAUAGCCGACGAAAAUUUAAUUUAGCCAACGAAGGAAAAUUUCGUCGGCUAAAAUAGAUUUUAGCCGACGAAAAAAUGGUUCGUCGGCCUGGUUUUUUUUUUCGUCGGCUAAAGCUUUUCUUCUGGUAGUGUUUUUGAUCAAAUAAACACAACUAAUAUGCUAUAAUGAGUGUAUUGAGUCGAACUCACGAUUUUUCACUUACAAAAAGAGACUUAUGUCACUAGACCAGACCAUACAAAGUAAUAAUUUAAAUUAAUUUGGAUUAAAAAAAAAGUAAUUUAAUGUAAGGAAAUACAAAAAUAAUAAUUAAUGUACAACGAGGAGCUAGUGGACGUUUUACUCGCAUCAGUCGCAUGGAUAAGAGAAAUAGAUAAGGGAAACCAUUCAAUCUAUCUCUGCUGCUUGGAGAUAUAAAAGAACUAGGCAGACAUCAUUGUCAAAAUAAAACUAAGCAAUCAUGGAAAUUUCGUCGAAACCAAAAUUCUUCAACUUGAGCAUUUUAAUAUAUAGAAAAAUUACUUUCUCUUUUCUUAUGGUUAAUUAGAAAAGUAGAAUGAUUUCAUGCUGUUCCGUUGCCGGACAUAUACAUCAACGGCACACAGUAUUUUCUUCUAGGUGCAAUUAUUAGUAAUCAAUAUUCGACACGAGUCUUCUUGUGGUCACUGUUAAAGGCUUUGGGAUGCUCAAGGCACGAAGCUAGAAACAGAGAAAUUAAGGCUAGCUAGCUGCUGCAUGAGUGAAAUAACUUGCAUGGCAGCGAAUACUGGUCCUGUGGAUAUAGAGAUGUGGGAAGGGAGAUGAGGUAAAUCGUAACAACAGUUCCACUAUAACUGGUUUCACUGUACGGGAUGCACAAGCAAAACCUCUCUCUGCUGCUUCGAGGAGUGUACGUACGUGCAGGAGAAACUAUAAUGCCUAUGGCAGAAGCCAUUGGUUUUAUCAGAAUUCCUUAGAGAUUACUUAGCAUUGUGAAGAACAUCAUCUCUAUAAACCCUUGCCAAUAUAUAGUUUUGAAGAUGUUUCUUUGAAGCAUGUACGUAUAUUUAGGGAAGCAAAUUUUGUACUUAGGGCAUAGCUUAGCUUCCCAAUCGUAAAGUCAAUUGGGUAGAGAGAGAGCGAGUGACCAAUGAGGCAAAGUGGCAAACAAUGCCUUACUGUUUGACAUGCAUUAUAAGUUAAUUGUGCAUGGUUCCCUUUAGAGGCUUCAAGCUUUAAUAUAUUAGUUUCGUAUCAAAGAGAAGAAGAAAAGGUUAAGGGAACCAAACAGUGAAGAACUCAAGGGAACCAAACAAUAUUCUCGCAUGUUUUUCUUUGUAUUGACCCCUACAGUUUCAUAUAUAUGGAUCCGACGGAAAGCUCGAGUGCUUGCUUUGUAGGAUUGAACUCGCAAGAUGGAGCAGUUGGCACAAUGUCUUUGACCACAAGAGUCGUUUACAUGCAUAAUUAGACACAUGGACUUAGACGUCGACCUACCAGAAGCCAACCUAUCCUACACCGGAAUAAAGUGAUUGUGCACACUUCAGAAAACGCGCGUAUAGGCAUCUUCCUGGGGUAUUUCGUUAAUUUAAACUAUCAAUUCUUAGGUUAGAUGUUUUUCUUUCAUUAAUGUGAAGAUUUUAGUUAAACUUACAAGGUUUAAUUAAGGGGAGUGAAAUUUACACUCCUUAUUUUACAAUCCACACUCCUACCUUUCAUUUUUGGGUAAAGUUUUCACAAAAAUACAAUACACAUAUCACUAAAAACAAAAUUUAAAUUACUAAAAGAGAAAAAUGGGAGUGUGGAUUAUAAAAUUAAGAGUGUAAAUUAAAUUCCAGUUCCCUUAAUUAGACUUAAAUCUCUCAUGCCAUUACAUUAUUAUUUUCUAAAUCAUUUAAGCGUGGGUACGUUUUAAGCCUUCCAACAUGACUGGAUUCCAAACCUCAUUUUCUAAAAUACUGAUAAUAAUUUAGCUAAUUAACAUUAGUGUUUGGACAUCUAAACCAAAGUGCAUAGUUUAGUUAAUUAUUGUUUGGUCCUUUCCUACCUUUGUGAUCAAAUUAAUUAUGUACUAGCUAGUACUUCAUGUGAGUGAUAGAUCUGCUGCUAAGCAGGUUGGGUAAUAUUCUUGGUUCUCUCUGCUAUGACUUCUGCACCAAUCUCGUAAGUGGGUGAAUUACUGUGGAGAUAAGUGAAAGUCGAUCAUCUUCGUAUUCUUGGGGAUUUGUUUUUCUCCCAUUUUCCAUUAUGUUGCGUUAUAAUAUGAUUGUUAUAUAUAUUGCACUUUCCAGCCUCCAAAUUUCUUAUGCUUAAUUGUUCUAGUAUAGGGUUAACAAUGUCGGUUAUUAUUACUUAGAGAAAAUGACUUAACAAUGUCGGUUAACAAUGUCAUUUUCAGGGUCCUGAGCUGCGGUCAUUUAUCAUCGCUAGGACCCCAAAAAUGAAACAACUAUAUUCUUUUUGAAAUUAAGACAUAAAGUGUAUAUAUAAGUACUUAAAAGUAAUCAAACCCCAUAGUUAACUAAUCGUACAUCGAUUAUCAGUGUUAGGUUAACCUUUAGGGUGCUAAUGAUGAGUACAUUUGAUAUAUAUGGCCGGCCGGUAAAUGUAAGCCUAACUAAUUAGCUAAAAAGAGCAUGCCGGUCGGUAUGAUAUAGUUGAAUCCCACCAAUUCCUCGCUCUAGGGUACCAUUUGGACUAUCGUGUCAAAAAGAUGUUAAAGAAAAAUGAUAUACCAUCCACAAUAAUUCCAUCACUAGUUCGAAUGGUUAAGACAUGACCUUUCUGUUUGAAUUAAUAGUAUUGCCAAUAUGUAUUUCUAGCUAUAUUGUAUCGUAAAAGGGGUAUAGAUAAAGUGGCUUUUAUAAGUGCUCAAUUGAAAAUUAUGGUCAUUGUAGAAUUCCAAACAGAAAAUAGUAAUACUAGCUCGAAGGAACUUAUCAAGGUACGUACACAUGCAUAUAUAUGGUACUGUAAUUUAUUCGGGGAUCCAGAAAAUUUGAGAAGACGCAUCCCUCUUUUGAUUGGUGUUUUUGCGUGUCUUAAAUUUGUCCAUCGUUGCAUUAUGAAAUUGUUUCGAAGUUGAAGACAAUCUAGUAGGCAUAUAAUUCAUGCAUGAGAUUCUUUUCGCAAAGAAAGAGGAGACGAAAGAUUCUAUAUAUAUAUAUAUAUAUAUAUAUGAUUCUUAAAGCUAAACUCAAAACCUAAAUUGAUGUCGAUGGUCAAUUAGUAUCGACUGAAAGAAAAUAUUUCAUUCACACGAAAUGAAAAACACGACACCUGAUAACUUUGAUCUUUGUCAUUUGUGACUUUGUGUGCAUGGCUGCAAUGUACUGUAAUUAGGAAACAAUAGGAACAAAAGCAUAUAUGAAUGCGAGUUGUAUGUAUUAGCGGUUAUUCCUCGACCUAAAAGUUCAAAUCUUGAUCGGUUAAUUGCUCUCGUAUCAUGGUAAUUAAAUUUAUAGUUGUCGUUGUCGAUUCAUUGGUGCUCAUAGAAGCAUCACCGGCCAUUUGGUUAGGUACUUAAUUAGGUUAACAUUGUAAUCCCAUCUUCUAGCUAAGAUUCUUGCACAGAAGAAUCCCCAGCACGAGUAGUCAAAAGUUUCAGCUGUUGAACGUGCUGUGAUUUGGCCUCCCACAAGAGAUAAUAUAUAUCUUGAAGCACUAGCUAGUAUUAUUAUAGCGAUUUCUAAGGCGAGGGCCAGAGAGAAUACUUUUGACUUGCAGCACACGUAUCUCCAAUGAUAUACGAUCGCAAUAACAACAGAGCAGAGAUUCUAUUACAGAAGGACGGAGACAGUUGCUUAUACGCGGCGAUAUGAAGAUGCAUAUCGUUGCUUAUUCUAUAUAAAAGAGAUUGCAGGUAGCUAGUUGAGGUAUGGCCGAUCAGUUCUUGUUGGGGCAUGUCCACUAUUGAUGGACCAGUUUAAUCAUAAUAUCAUAUAUAUAUAUAUAUAUAUAUAUAUAUAUAUAUAUAUAUCGAUCGCAUUCUCCUUCUGAUUAGCUAUAGGGCCAAUUUCUUUCUGUUUUUUCCUUUUAGAUAUGGAAGAAUAUUCUGGUUUGUUUGCUUUGAAGAAUGAGAUCGAUUUGAUAGAUAGACAUGGAGUGCUCGCCAUCACUCUGAGCCUAGUUCACGAUUGCAGGAGAGCACUUGUGGUUGUGGGUCGGUUUCUAGGGUUGUGGUUGCAACACCUCAUUCAUUUUAAUCAACCCCCCGUUGGUUUUAUUUGCCUGACAGGAACUGAUUCUUCUUUUUCUGGAAAGAAAAUUGAAAACAAAUAAUUGACAGUUUUUUGGGUCACUUUUCGAGCUAGCUAGAGCAAGCAAGCCAUAGAAAUGUCAUUUUUGCUUUGGAGACGUUCAAAAUGAGCAGAAAGACACGACAUUCACUGGCAAAUAUCACACUUUUAAUUUGGUCUUCUACUCGAUCUAGCAGGUCUAUCAUGCAAUAUAUAGCAGUACUUUAGUUUCCAAGCACUAGUGCUUAUGUUAUAAAUCAAACACUUUAACUGGAACUAAAUACAAGUAUACAAUAACUUAUAUGAUGCAAAGGACUUGAUCUUAGUAUUUGAAACGAAUGGAUAUCCAAACAGCAGAAGCAGACUUUGCACCAAAAUAUAGACUAUGUACUCCUCGAAAUCAUUAGCAGUGCUCUAAGGUUGUGGUUGCAACACCUCACUCUUUAGCUGCAGUGGCUUUUAUCGUGCAAGGUCAGCACACGACUUCGCAUUUGCAUGUGAAUUGAACGAAACACGUUUGCUAGCUAGACCUAACUGCUGGCUCCAAAGGGAACUGAUGGAGUGCCAAUAUUUCAGAUAUAUAUAAUUGCCAAUGAAUUUUUAUGGAUCUUAACUAACAUUGCGCAAAUGAUCGAAAGGGGAAAACGCACUGAAAGCUCCACCAAAUUAUUCAAUUAUCAACAAAUGUGAUCGAUCAUUCUUAUUGCAUAUAUGUUAGUGCGCGCUUGCUAGAAUCUAGACCUAUUCCACAGGAUGAGUAUAAGAUAUAUGUAUCGAUCAUUGCUAACUAGAAAUAAACUAAGUACUGAAAAGCGUCUUGAAAUCCCAAAAGCUAACCCCGCUUUGGGAAACCAUUAUUAACAUACCAAACUCCAUUUACUUGUUAAUUUGUUGCAUAUCCCUAUUACACACAUAAUGGAGAACUGAGACAAAUAUAUACUCACGGAGGUUGAUUUUCUACAUCUAUAGUACCUCUCUCAUGGAAUUAUAUACCAGACCACACUGAUCGACCCUAAACCCGUUUGGAUUAUUGGUGACAGCAUAAAUAACAUGUCGAAUGAACAAUGUGUUUGUCAAUUGAACACGAAAACAAAUAGUUUCGAUAGGGAAUCAAAAUAUGCAGUAAAAGAAACAUAAUCCAAUCGAUUAAUUCUGAAACAUAUUUCAGAACAUGUACCUCAAUAAAGACUUCACAGGGUAUAUAGGUAGACUAAUUUGAACCCUACACGUUUGUAAUACUUGCUCAAUAUACAUAUAUCCACAAUGCUGCUAUUUUCAAGGUAGCUAUAGUUGAAUGCCAAUGUCAUUCAUGAGGAUUCAAUGCAGCUAGCAAUUCAAGAAUGCCUUAAUACUAGCUACACACAAUUCCCACUGCUGGUUUAUCAAUCAAGUCUCUGUGGGUGUUCAUCAAUCAACUCAAAAAACCGUGUGUAACCCAGUAUACUAGCUAUAACAGAAGUAGCUGCAUGAUAGCUAGCUCUGGUCUUCUAUAUCUGUACAGAGUGUCUGAGUCCUCCAAUGUUAAUGACCAAAACUUAAGUCGCGUUAGUCUUCCAAAGUUGAUCAACUUAUGAAAACUGAAAAGGAAAAUAGGGCUAUAGAUGUGGGCAAAUCAGCACUUCCGUUGGUUGAGGUUAUUGGGAUCAGACCAUCGAGCACUUUAAGAUGAGUAAUCAGUGCAGAGGUUUAUCCUUGGAAUAUACCAUAGGCACAUUCUGAAUUCUCGUCUCUUUUAGUCUUUCACAAACACCUUUUGGUGUAUUCUCAUGGCUAUAAUCAUGCUCGGGUCGACUACUGGUUUUAAUUUCAUCAAACCUAGCUUUUUCGUGUUGUUGUUGCUCCUUUAAGUACACACACAUUACACAUAUGGUCCCUCACUCCACCCAAGUCCACUGGGAUGGAUAAUAUUGAAGCGUUCAAUCAAGCUAGCUUUAGCUUAGCUUCUUUGCUUGUGCUUCUGCGCCUCAGUUUCUACCGUAAAUAUUUGUAGUGGUUAUGGCACUAGUAUUCUGGAAUCUGAUUCAAGCUAGCUAGGUAGCUCUUGAUCGAAUGAUUGCCGUAUAUAGACCAGUAUAUGUUUGCGGGAAAUCGGUUGAGUAAAGUCAUAUUCUUGCUAUCUAGGGUUUCAAGUACGGAUUGGCGGAGGAUUUGUUGAAAUUGGACUUGGAAACCAAAUAAUAUAUAUACGGUUUGAAAAUUUUUCUAGCUAUUUUCUUACAUUUUGUUGUUGUGCUGGUCGAUUUGAAACAUAGAAACCCUAGCUAGGGCCAAGAAUGUAUUCAUACUCAUAGAACCGUCGUACGUAUACGACAAUUUUCCUAUAAAGAAUCUGGUGCAUGCAUGCAAGCUUGUGGAGAGGUAAAUUGUGUAUGAAAGAAAUUAAAGUUCAAUUGUAUACAACUUUCAUUUUCCUAUAUAUUCACUUGAACUUAAACAUGGACAAGCGUGACCCGUGGAUCAUCAUUAUACCAAUAUUGUCCUAAUUUAACCAUUUUUAAGGUGUUGGUUUUUAAUCAAAAAGGCCUUAGUACAAUUAGGUAUAAUCCAUCCAUUUAUAUUUUUUUUAAUCCUUUUUCUAAUGUGAGAUCUUUCCUCUUCAACAUAUUCAAUGGUACUCGAUCUUAUUCAUAUAUAUGGGUCAAAGACGUGGAUAAUAAGGGUGUUUAUCACUAAUAAACCCUAGCUAGAGGAAUGAUUAUAUGUUAGAGUUCAAUUGAAGAAUGAAAUAUAUCAUAGAAAAGGUACAAAGCAGCAUUUGACAAAUUUUACUUGCAUCGUGCUACGUUUCUGAUCGAUGUUGAUAUGUUAGUAUUUGAUAUAGGGCUUUUAGCCACUUAAUAGUUGCAAUUGUCUGUUUAAAUAGAAUUAUUGCAUAAAGAACACAACAUAAUGAGUAUAUGUUCUGAGUGCUUAAUAAGAUUCCAUGGAUAUUCUUCCAUCUCUGGUUGUUUAGAGAUCGAUGGGUUGCCAUUGUUGGCUUCUCCAUCAAUGAAUUCAUGUCCGCAACAAAGGCAUGGGCAAGUCAUGACUUCCAUUAGAAAUUGCUUAGUUAUAUCCUCGAUCAUAUGACGGCCAAAUAACAUAAUAUAAACAAGCAACUAAUUCCAUGAUGAAAAAGUACAAUUAAAAAUUCGUUUUCGUAGCUCUUUAAUUAGGGUUUACUUCGACAUUUUGGGUAACCCUAACCCUACAAUCUGAGGCCAGCUAGAAGAACAAUAAUUCAACAAACUUAAGUAAUAAGUCGGUGGUUCCACUUUGAAGGAGCGAGGAAUUAAGUGGCACGAUAUAUAGAGGAGUUACUACUUGGGACUUAAGAAUAUAUAUGCAGAGCCUGCAGGCAUGAACUCCUAAUUAAAAGCCCUCGCGACUAGACAAAGGAUCAAAUCGUUUUAAACCCGGCCAGAACGAGAAGAAAACUAUCAGGACUCGAUCGAUGAGACCCGAAAGCCUUUUAAUUUGGUCAUAUUUUGAUCGAUGUUUUCUGUCAAAUAUAUUUAUGUAGAUCCAAAGCAGUACGUGUGUCCCAAGAACUAACAAGCUAACUCAGUACGUGGACUCAUGCAAAAUAUAUACUGGAACAAACAACCUCUGAUCGAUAACAUCGGAUUCCGAUCAAAACACGGUCUAUACAUAUUCGCAUAUAUGCAAGUUUAUACUCAUUUUGCUAAAAGAAAAAUAUUAAUUCAUCCUUACUUAUCAAAUAUCAGUACAGUGGCUGAAUAACCCUGAAUGGCAGUACUUUAUAUAUAAUAUAAAUGGAAAUUAACCCCAAGCCUGCAUCGAUCUUAUGGAUCAAUUAUCCUACACAUGACGAGCUAGCUAGGUAUAAAAGCAUUUUAAGUGAGAGUAUACAAACCUAAUGGGGUUUAGGAACAACAAAUUUGUAUAUGUGCCAUGCUGGCCCAUGCAUAAUAUAAGAAAUUUAUACUCGAUGGAGAUGAGACUAUCUCCCAAGUUUUAUCUCAUUGUCUUGCAUUUCAAAAAUGUAAACAGCGAGAAAUUGUCUCUGUAUAAAGAACUCUCAUCAACACACAUAUAAAGAGUUUUUUUAGUUUAUGAGAUCAGACCAAAGCAGCCGAAUGGAAAUGGCAGCAAUCAAAGUAAUUUAGAUUUGUUAUUUUCCCUCUGUGACUAGGUGUCCUUCAGAUCAGAGCAAUUCAAACAUGCAGUCAAACCCCGUCAAAAUUGGGCCGGGCUUCAGCGAGGCCCAGUAGGUCAAGUAUAAGAUAACGAGAAGGGGAUAGAAAGGGAGAGGGAGUGAUGGGACACGUUCUGCCUCAACCUCUCUUCACCGCAGUAGCCUCAUCUUCACCGCAACAGUAGCUUCUCUUCAUCCCAGCAGUAGGUAUCUUCUUUUUUAUGUAAAAGGCUUAGCCCAAGAUGUAGUAGGAUAUGUAGGAAUUCUAUUGCCUUCCACAGAAACAAGGAGGCAUGUCAUCAGCUUCUCAAUCAGCUUCUUAUUGCAACGAAGCCUGCCUCAGUGAUGCCCUCAGCCAACUUGAUCGGUAACGUUCAAAAUUAUGAGGAACUCUCAGGUAAAGCAUCACACACCUUGCACAGAGUAGAAAUGAGAAACAAUAUGGAUAUUGGAUAGUGGCGCAAGUGACCACGUUGUCUGUAAAUGGGUUUACAAUUAAGAUCAAGUACUUGGAUCAAUUAUCGAUCCUACACUUGACGAGCUAGUUAUAUAUAACAGCCUUUUAAGAAGAAAAAUAUGAUAAUUAAGUGAGAGUUUACAGACCUAAUAGGGGUUUUAGGAACAACUAAUGCCAAGCUACUGGUGAUCUAAUCACUCUCGAAAGAUCCAAAUCAACUGUUGACACCAAGAUUAUUAAUUAAUAUCGGUUUGAUUAAUAUCUGAUUUUAACCUUUUGCAUAUGUGCGAUGCAUAGUACUCGAGAUGAGACUAGCAUAUGCGCUCCCAUGUUUUAUCUCAUUGUCUUGCAUUUCAAAAAUGAAAACAGCGAGGAAUUUUCUCUGUAUAAUGAGCUCUCAACACACAUUUCUAAGCCUUUGGUCGGAUGAACCAUUUGUGUUCUUUGUCAAUUAUGAAAAGGCAAACUUGAUAUAAAACGAUGAAGGCAUCUCCAACCUUAAUUUGGUCUAAAUUAACCUAAAAUAUGUUUAGGUAUUACAAAACUUUAUCUCCAACCUAUAUUAAUGCAAUUUGAGCUCAAAAAUGAUUUACCUAAAAUUCGUUAUAUUUUAACUCAACCAAAUAGCACAAAUGCUAUAACCUAAUUAAAUGUAAUUUGCUUUCUAUCAUUUCACGCUCUUAUAUAAUUAAUGCUAUUAACCAUAUGAUGAGAGGAUGAUAGUUAAUUAGUUACCCGGCGAACUAGCUACAUACUAAUCAAUUAACUAGGUAACUAGCAAUACUUUUAUACGCACUGAUCCUUUUUUAUAUCAAACUGACAGGUGUGGAACGAUAUACAUCAAACUGCUUGGAUGCAUGAUAUAAUAACAAGCUCGAUUCACUGAAAAUUAUUAUGUAACUAGUAAUUAAAUAUAUUAUCAAAUAUUCAAAAUUUACCAUCAAAGUGAUUUCAAUUAAUAAAAGCUAUAUAUAUAUAUAUAUAUAUAUAUAUAUAUAGUAGCUUCAAAAAUAUCAAGUAGCUUAAAUAUUUUCUAGCUAUAUAAGACAAUUAUAUACGUAUGUAGUUCUCCUAAUUUGUUUUCUGCUCCUACCUUCUUCAAGAAAAUGACAUUGUGUUAUUCUAGAUUGUUUCCUCCUACCUCUCCGUCCAAAGCUUGAAGACUAAUAUAUUCUAUUCCAUGUGUUGAAAUUUCAAAGAACACGUACGUAUAAUGAACCUUAUUGGCUAUCUGUGAGAGAUAAACACCAUUACAUUUAUUUCUUAUGUACGCAGUCAAUAUUAAGCGCCAUAUGAGAACAAGACACAGUACGUCAAAGUUCAAGUUUUGAGUAAUGAAGCUCGAUCUUCACCGUCUGUUAUAGCUGACCAAGUUAAUGGACGGCAUCUAACAUAUCUGAUGACAACACAAGUAGUGAGGAGUCCUGACUCUUCAACGUUGUUGAAAUAUAAUGACAUGAAGAUUCCAUUAAUCGAUAAGCUUCCCAUUCCGAUGGGUAUAAAAAGAGGAUAUGCAUGCCUCAUAUCUGCAUUAUCAUCUCCCAACUUCGAUCCCCAGCAACUUUCAUACAUUCUAUCCUCACAUAAUUUCUCUGCUAUUCACUAAAAAUGGUGAGUUUAUGAGUAGUCGAUCUUCCACUUUGAGUUGCAGAAGGUCUUGCAUGUACUGAUGAUCAGUUUUCUUUUGAGAUGUUUUAUAUCUUUUGUGGGAUAGUCCAUGAGAUAUCAUGAGUUUUAGUUAGCUUAAUAUAUGCAUCAUUAUAUGAUCGAAUUACCACAUAAAACAAGAUCGAUGUCUAUUACAUAUAGUAUAAGAGGUGCAUUGGCUGGCUAUAUUUAUCUUUCUUUUUUGGAGUUUAAUUAGUUGACUAAAUGCCUAUCAUAUAGUAAAAGAGGCACCUGAUGAGGUGACUGCAGAUUUAUUUGCUAAUAUAUAACUAGUCACAUAAUUGAACUAUAUCUCAUUUUGAUUGUUUAUAUUGGACUGACAAAUUUCUACUUGUUUGCUGGUUUCUGCUGUUGGUGUGGGAUCAGGCUCUUUCGCUAACUAUUGAGGUAUGGUACUUCAUCAUUUCUUGAAAUUGUGUUUGUGGGAACAAAGUCUAUAUGUGCUUCAAUAUUCCUUCCAAAUGAAGUUCAAACUAUUAACAGUUUAAUUUCUGCUGAAUCAGAAAGAAUUUGCUCAAACCUCAGAAAGAGUGAAGUCUGUGGAUCUGCAUCCUACGGAGCCAUGGUACGUAAUCAUCAUCAUCUAUCUGCUGGCUAUCUUAGGCAACUCUUUUAUGUGAUCGAUAUUCUGCGCGCGUCUCCAAAGUUUGAUUUUCAUACAUCUGUUUAUCGCUGCUGGUUCCUUUCAUCCUUAUAAUUUUUCAGUACCAAAAAUCAAAUCGAAUUCCAGACUAUAUAUAACCGGAGAAUACACUUUCUAUGCAGGAUGCUAGCAAGUUUGUAUUCAGGAACUAUUUGCAUCUGGAACUACCAGUCACAGGUAAAUCCAUUAGUCUUCGUCACAUAUAUACUUAAUUAGCUUGCACUUCAUAGCCAAACUCCUAGAGUUUAAUGACUUAAUUUGAAAUUUUCACGCUUUUAAUUAUUCUGUCUCAUCCAUGGACUUAACUUAAUUUAUGUAAUUGCACAGACCCAGGAGAAGUCCAUCAAGGUCACUGAGUCACCAGGUACAUAUAUAACGGGUUUUUUUUUUUAAUUGCUUUCAUUUUUUUGUAGUGUUGGCAUGCUACAUUUCUCUCAAAGAAUUAUCACUUGAUAUCAUCUGUUUUGUGCUUACAGUCAGAUCAGUAAAGUUCGUGGCUCGCAAACACUGGAUUGUAACCGGUGCUGAUGACAAGUUCAUUCGCAUAUACAACUACGAUACUAUGGAAAAGAUCAAAGAGUUUGAAGCACACACUGACUUUAUCAGGAGUGUCACUAUCCAUCCAACUCUACCAUAUCUGCUGUCAUGUUCUGACGACAAGGUCAUUAAGCUUUGGGACUGGGAGAAGAACUGGGAAUGCACACAAGUCUUUGAGGGACAUUCUCACUAUGUGAUGCAAGUGGCUUUCAAUCCAAAAGACACCAACAGUUUUGCUAGUGCCUCUCUUGAUGGAACCAUUAAGGUAUUGGGAUUGCGAGCAGCUAGCUAGGAUUGCUUAUUGUUACAAACUAGUUGAUUAAGUACUGCAUCUCAGUACAUUUUUAUCUGUCACUUACACUUUGACAAUGUCUCUUAUUCUAGAUAUGGAACAUUGGCUCUCCUGCCCCUAAUGUUACCUUAGAAGGCCACUUAAAAGGAGUUAAUUGUAUUGAUUACUUCAUUCGUGGAGAUAAGACAUACCUAUUGAGUGGUUCUGAUGACUUCACUGCUAAGGUUUGUGAGACAUUUGAUAUUUUCUUUUGUUCACUUUCAGCCUUAUUCGAUCUGGCUAAACAUGACAUUUGUUCUACUGUAGUGUCUGUAAUUGCAGCCCUACUAAUUAUUCUUUGAUAAAUUUCAUCACAAUAGGUAUGGGACUAUGAAACUACAAGUUGUGUGAAAACUCUAGAAGGACAUGAGCACAAUGUAACAGCUGUUAGUGUUCAUCCUGAGCUUCCCAUAAUCAUUACAACUUCUGAGGAUGGGACUAUUCAAAUAUGGAAUGCAGCCACAUUUAGGUAAAUACUUUAUGAUUCAAAACGCUUACAUUGCAAAAGUUGUGUAGUUGUAUUUUUUUCUGAUAUUGUGAGAUGGGAGGAAAGUCUUGUGAUGCUUUGCUGAUUUCAUAAAUGUCUAAUUGUCAUUGUAUUACAGUCUAGAGCACAAACUGAAUUAUGCUCUUGAAAGAGUUUGGGCCAUGGGACACUUGAAAGGAUCAUGCAAGUAAGUUUCUUUCUUUUUCUGUGGAUUAUAGAUGUAGGAUUUAGACUACGAAAUCGAGGACUUUCGGGGAAAUGUUUGAUAUAGGAAACAUGUUAUGUAGCAAAUUAUUCUGCUUAAUCUGUUGCUCUCAGCUUCUGAUCAGACUUUGUUUUCAAGUGGCUCAUUGUUUUAUCAGUAUAUAUACUUAUUGUUCAAUUCUGCUUACAGGGUUGCAUUUGGUUUUGACAAUGGAACCAUCAUUGUCCAAAUGAAUGCUGCUGCUUGAUUUUCUGUGGACAUCAGCUCCAAGCAUAUGAGAAGCAAAAGUUGAUGAAUAAAAGACAUCUAAGUUCUAUUUUCUGUAUUUUACACUGUGUUGUGAUGAAGAAACUUAAAAGGAUCGGAGGUUGUAUUGUUGUAUGGUAUGUAAUCCUACUGUAAGAAAUAUUCUAUGUGUGGCCAAUAAAAGUUUUCUUGUAAUGAAUAUUCUGAUAUGUAAUUCGAGUGUGCAUGCUAUGUAGCACUUAAUUCUCAGGAGGAACGAUUUCCCUUGGGACUACUUGUAUUGCUGUUUCUAUAUAUAUAACAGGAAAACAUUGUUUGUCUUGUGGUGGAGCUGCCCAAAAUGAACCAAUUGUAAGGAUCAGUGGUAAAAUUAUAGUGCUCAUGUGUCCAUUAUUUAGCAAUUUAUAAUCAUGAAAACGGUAUAUUCACUAAAAUGUGUUCAUUCAUGAAGUGCAAAUUGCCAAAAGUAGUUUUGAAGUCCAUGUAGUAGGAAUUCAAAGAUCUUAUGAGCAAGGGUGGAGGCUUGAAUCCAUAAUAAUUGGGGUCAGUAUUUGAGACUGAAUACAGCAGGUGAAACACAAUUCUAUAACUACUAGAUAUUAAUAUAUCUUCAUUCUAGCUAUAUGGUUCAAUCUUCCAGUUUCGUAUAUAUCUCUAUUCAUGGGAACACAAAAUAUCUUCACCCAAAUCCUUAUGUCAGAUUGGUUCUUCAGUAGAUGAAAACAACACUAGUUAGUACUAACAUAGCCAGUAGUUGAAGACAAACUAUUGUAAGCUUUUUGCAUAACUUAUUUCCCUGAUACUAAUACAUUGAUGGCUCAUAUUAAGUUCUCUACCUUAGCUUUCGUAUGUACAAAAUAAAAAGACAAGAAUUUAGCUCUUGCUGCUAGGGAAAUUGCUAUCCGCAUCAGAUCCGACUCUUCUGUCCUUCAUACAUGAAUCUUUCCUUAUUAUAAACAGAAUGCAUUUACAUAGCCAAUGCAUCAGUUUUAUAACUUUACUGGACAAACUUGAACAGAAUGCAUUUCGGUAAACAUGCAUAGAUCCAACUAAGCCAUGGCAAAGCUUUGAUUUCAUUUCAUUCUCUAAUGCUACAAAUCAGUACUAAUCUCUCAUUGCAACACAUUUAUUAAGUUCUCACUUUCGUACGACUGCAUAAUGGUGUUUUCAUCUACCAAGUUUGCAUUCCAGAACUGUUUGUAUCUGGAACUAAAUGUCACAAGUAUAGUCAUGACUGUUUGCAUUCCAGAACUGUUUUUCAUAGUUAUUAACCAUAGUCUAGAAUCAAAAAAUCGUUUGUUUGGCAAUGCGAAAUGAAAAUCCAGAACCUUAUCGUCUGCGUCGUUGCAUAAAUUCCAUGUAUCUUCUUUUGCCUGUAUAAGAGGAGUAUUGGAGUUGUACGAUUACUUCGAUAGCUGUCUGCUAUAGAAUUCCAUGACAUACAAACCUCACUGAAUCUCAUAUAAUCUAAUGGUGAUGGUAAUCUCUCUAAAACUGAAUCCAAUAGCUUUCCCCAAGUUGAGGAGUCCAUGAUUUUGAAAUCUACAAGAAUAUUGAUUGAGCUAUUUAGUUGAGUGAGAUAAUUAGCUAGGUGUUUAUGAGAUGUCCAGAUGUCCCUUUAUUUACAGACAAUCCUACUCCUUUAAACUUAUGAAAGUCUCCCAUACAUAUCAGGUAACCUAUUCUCUACGUACAUAGAGAAAAAAAAAAUAAUAAUUAAUUCUUAUGUAAACUACAAAACUAGCAAUAAAAUCGUUCCCUAUUCUUUAAGCUUACCAAAGUCCAGAGCGGAUUCUACCACUAAGAUGCACUUGCAGUAUUAAUAUGCAAGUCCUUAAAUCGCCGUAUACGAACAUCCAGUGAAGACUAGAGACCCUAGCUAAAUUCAUUCAUUUCAUUUUUAUUUUAAUCGUGAUCAAAUUAAGCGCUCAUAAUAAGAGUAUCUCUUACUUGACCUCAGGUCCUCACCUCCUAUGUUAGAAACACUUAAGAUUAUUUUUUUGGGUUUUAAUUUUGUUAACGGUAUUAGAAUACAUGCAUGAUAAUGCGACGUGGAUGACUGGAUCAAAAUAUUACAUAUUAGUUGCUCAGUUCACUUACACCUUGGUGCGUAGAAGAAUUUUCAACGAAAAUCUCCCAUACAUAUUAGGAAGCCUAUUCUCUACGUACACAGUAGACAAAAUAAAUAAUUUUCUUAUUGUGAACUACAAAACUAGGAAAUCCUUCCAAGAAGGAAUGGCCAGUUGAUUGAUCUUUUAAUUUCAAAAAGCACGUGCUUGCUUUUUCUCCAUUGCUUGAUUAGGGCACUUGAUCAACCAUCUUAAAUUAAGAGGAAUUGAAGAACCAAUUGGUGACAUGAUCAACACAAUACCCUUAAAGUUUUUCUAGGCCGUGCUGAAUAGUUAUGUCAAACGCUUUCUCACCCUGACCACUGAAGAAGAAUAUAUUAAAAUUUAAACUCCAAUCAAUGUUAGAAAGAUUCGAACAUGGAUUUGAGAGUUCUUUAAUUUGUUUUUAUCUAAUUGAUAUUGUUGUUAGCAUUAAGAGGUAGAUUCAAAAUCAUUUCCACAGCAAUCCGACUAAGAAUUUAUUAAGUAAAUAUGAAGUGGUUCUAAUAUGAAAAUAUGACACAAAAGUAUUUGUUAGCCUCUGAUCGACGGAUCAAACCACUCAAAUCGUUUGACGAAUUGAUCCAAUAUCUUUUCCAUGACGGCUUAACGCCUUAACCAAAGGGUUUCUCCGCUACCAGAAUAUCACUCUCCUUGAAUAUUUUCGUGUACGCGGCAUCUUACACGUCACGUUGUUCACUUGUGUAUCAAUGCCACAUCACGUUGUUCACAUUUUACACCAAAAGAGCAACCAGUCGGCCAAUCGACACUGUCCGUCAAUACAUGUCCCUUAGACGAUCACCAAAGCUACGUUAUGGCACCAAUAACCUGAUUGCAUCACUAGUGGCAUUAUCGUAAAUUUGCCGACGUAACCGCAAAGCUUUGCUGAAUCUCGUAUUUACAUAGAGAAAAAAAAAAAGAAGCUCUCUCUUUAUUAUACAAAGAGCACCAAAAUCUCUCUCCCUCCUUCUCUUUCUCUCUUUCUCUGAACUCGGAUCACCUGGAUCGCUUGGGCUCUUCUUCACUGUGAUCUCCGCCGGAGCUCUGCAAAAAUGGUGAGUCUCUCCGAUCGCUUCACUCUCCCUGAACGUUUUCGUGUACGCGGCGGCAUCUUAGAUCUGAUUCAAAUCUCAAAUCCUUUAGUUUUUGGUGCGAAUUCCUCAUUGUUUGUUCACUGCGUCAAUUAGAGUGAGAGUGUUGGAAUUCAUUAGGCUCUGUUUGAUCGCUUUGAUUCCUACGGUUGCUUCAUUUGUGAUUUGAUUUUGUUUUUGUCUAUUGGCAACCGGCGUGAGCGAUUUUAACUUGAAUUGCGUUGAGAUCUGGUGGUUUGUAUUGUCGAUUCUGAGUUGUUAUGUAGAUUCUAAUCUAUCAGAAAUGCGAUAUUGUAAGAUUUGGAGUUUUGAUUUGGCACUGAUCGGUCUUUGUUUCUUUUGCAAUGUGUUAACAGCCUCUCCGACUGGAAAUCAAGGUAAUGCUGUUAAAUUUUGUUGAAUAUUACUCGUUCUCCGCGGGAUCGGAUCUCUUCUUGUUUUGUUUUGAAUUGUGAUUCUAAUAUUAUAGUCGUAAUCUUUUGGUUCAGAGGAAACUUGCUCAAAGAUCAGAGAGAGUAAAAUCUGUGGAUCUACAUCCAACAGAACCAUGGUAAGUCAUUUCUCAUUUCAUCUUUAUUCGUGUCACUCGUAUUAGGAUAGCACCCUAGUCAAAAUAGUGAUAUAAAUAGAUUGUGUGAUUGAUUGUUAGUAAAGUAGCAGUGCAAGCCCCGAAGCCUAAUAAAUUUAUUUCCCACUGCCAUUUUGUUGUAAACCUGUAAGGUUGUAAGGUUGCGGCCCUACAUAUUGUAUAAGGCGGGUAUCUUGCUAAGGCCGUCAUUGCUUCCCUAAGUUUCUUUUGCUUAACCUCAAAUAGCCUCACUUAGAUUGUUCAUGAGGAGUACAUUGUGAUUUGUAUUUUUUUCUUGUGAAGCUGGUGACAUGAUUUUGGUCGGUGGUAGUCUGAAUUGAUCUUUCCAUUUUAACUUAGGAUAGCAUCCGGAAUAGUUCCAUUAACAUUUAGUUUAUAUGGUUCAUAUGCUUUAUCAUUAAAAGUGAAAGGAUUUAUUGUGUUCUAAUUUGUUGAAGUGUGAAUUUACCGCAGGAUAUUGGCGAGUCUAUAUUCUGGAACAGUGUGUAUUUGGAACUACCAAACUCAGGUAUGAUAUUGAUAUGUUAAACAUAUAAUAGCAUAUGUAGCAUUUCCAAUCAAAUUAUACUGACACAUUUCUGAAACAGAGAAAAAUAAGUGGUACAUUUUCAACAAAUCUCUCUGAUAUUGUUGUUAGUUAUGACCCGGGAACACUUUUAACUUAUUAAAAUUUUGACCAAAAAAGUUCACAAAUUGUUGGAGGUGACCAUGUGCUAAUUUGAAUCUUUUGUUAAUGUUGCAGACCAUGGCUAAGUCAUUUGAGGUCACUGAGUUACCAGGUAUGUAAUGGGAUUCGUGUUGUGUGUUUGUAUUUUUUUUAUGCUUGGUAGACAUUUCAUUUCUGGGAUUUCCCAACAAGGUUAUUUUUGUGCUAACGUCUAAAUCAUUUUUCUCCAGUUAGGUCAGCCAAAUUUAUAUCACGCAAGCAAUGGGUUGUUGCUGGAGCUGACGAUAUGUUCAUUCGUGUAUACAACUACAACACCAUGGAUAAGAUUAAAGUAUUUGAGGCCCAUACUGACUACAUUAGAUGUGUGGCUGUUCAUCCUACACUCCCAUAUGUGUUAUCAUCAUCUGAUGAUAUGCUCAUCAAGCUAUGGGAUUGGGACAAGGGUUGGAUCUGUACUCAGAUAUUUGAAGGACAUUCACAUUAUGUGAUGCAAGUGACAUUUAAUCCAAAAGACACCAACACCUUUGCAAGUGCGUCUCUUGAUCGCACCAUAAAGGUAGACAUGACAUUUCCUGGUUGUUUUCAUGCAUUUUCUUCUAAAUUUGGGUGUAAUGGUACUAAUUAUGCUACCUGAUUUUUCUUUUUUUUUUUUUUUUUUUUGUUUCUCUCCAGAUAUGGAAUCUAGGCUCUCCUGAUCCAAAUUUUACACUGGAUGCCCACCAGAAAGGUGUAAAUUGCGUUGAUUACUUUACGGGUGGUGACAAACCUUAUCUAAUUACUGGUUCCGAUGAUCACACUGCUAAGGUCUCCAUUAAGUAACUUUUUCUGCUCAGCAGUGUUUUGUUUUAUGUGUAUUUGAUUCUUUGGAAAACUCAUGCGUAAUCUUGUGAAAACAGGUGUGGGACUACCAAACAAAAGGUUGUGUCCAGACACUUGAAGGCCAUACACACAAUGUUUCUGCUGUAUGUUUUCAUCCCGAACUCCCUAUAAUAAUAACUGGAUCAGAGGAUGGAACAGUACGAAUAUGGCAUUCAACCACUUACAGGUAAUCCCUGGCCUGUGCAUCUCUAUCUCUUGUUUUUAUGAUGUAGUAUCUUUUUCGUAGGUAUCCACUUUGUUGUGGGUUUUAAACCAAAGCAUUAUGCCACUAAGUCCUAAGAUAAUAUGUGAUUCAUUUACAGGCUUGAAAACACGUUGAAUUACGGGCUUGAAAGAGUUUGGGCUAUUGGAUACAUGAAGGGCUCACGACGGUAAAUUUGAUACUUAUUUUUUUUUAGUUUAAUUAUUUCGUAUGAGUCUUUUUUUAUAAGAAAUUAUCUAUUGAGAUCAUAUAUGUAUGUAUAACUAUGUGAAGUUGUCUUAUAAGCUGAGUGUACUGUCCAAAAAAGAACAGAAAUUUUGUGUUGAGAUCACUUGUUUAAUUAUCUAUAUAUAUAUAUGUAUGUAUCUAGAACUAUGAUGUCUUAGAGGGCCGAUACUGCCGAAAAAAGAAUAUCUGUACAUUUUUCUUAAGUUGGUAUUGCUCCCGAGUAUAAUUAUAUUAUGGCAAGUUUGCAUAAAGAGUAGAUUAGUGCAUUUAAGGUGCCCUAAAAAUUGCCUAAAAUAUUUAAAUCCAUCUGUCCAGGGUUGUGAUUGGUUAUGAUGAAGGAACCAUUAUGGUAAAACUUGGACGUGAAGUGCCUGUUGCUAGUAUGGACAAUAGUGGAAAGAUCAUUUGGGCUAAGCACAAUGAAAUUCAGACAGUGAACAUUAAGAGUGUGGGUGCUGAUUAUGAGGUAUGAGCUCUCCUCAGAGUGGCUGCUUUUCUUUGCUGCUUAAUGCUCAUGUUCUUGACAUUGCCUGUUCUAUGUUCGCGUUUCUUAUUAGGUUACUGAUGGAGAGAGAUUGCCUUUGGCCGUCAAGGAGUUGGGCACAUGCGAUCUUUACCCCCAAGUGAGGCUUUGUUCCUUUUUUUUGUUUUCUUCUGUACUUCAGUUGAAUGAAACUUCUUUUGCUGUUUCUCUUUUAUGGAGUUUUUGGGCUUCAGUCAUAUAUGCUGCUGUUGCCAAUCAUUAAGAAAAUUUUGAAGUCGCAUAUUGCCAUCUUGAUUGGAUUUGUCUAGGCAAAAUUUCAUUUUGAAUGCCUGGUAGAUGUACUUUUGUUUCCAUAUCCAACUUCAAGAGGCAGUAGCUGUUUUAUGCUAGAAUUUUAUUGUGUUAUCUGUUGGAAGUUUGCGUUGAAAGAAUAGGAUAGAGAAAAAAAAAUUGUAUGUGCGUUGUUGUUCUUCCUAUAUGUGCACAUUGAAAAGCAAAGGUUAAAGCAUUUAGGACUUAAUUCUAAUAAAUUCUGUGGCAUACAUUGAUUCCUUCUGCAAAAAUUCUGUUCACAGAGCUUAAAGCACAACCCCAAUGGGAGGUUUGUUGUAGUUUGUGGAGAUGGAGAGUACAUUAUAUAUACUGCUUUGGCAUGGAGAAAUCGGUCAUUUGGUUCUGCUUUGGAAUUUGCUUGGUCAUCUGAUGGAGAGUAUGCUGUUCGAGAGAGUACUUCAAAAAUUAAAAUUUUCACUAAAAACUUCCAGGUUUGUAACUUUGCAUUACUUUCAGUUUAUCGACCAUUAUUCUUUCCGCUUGGAAACUGUUCCAAUUCACUUGGUCAUUAGUUCUGAGGUGGAUACAUUGGAUAUGCUACCUUUAUUUAGUAUAUCAAAGUGUUUGGCUUGAACUACUUAAUGUUAGGUGGGUGUAUGUUUGUUAGGAUGUUAAGACGAUGACUUCCUAUUUAAGUGGUUAUGUGUUUAAACCUCAUCAAGGAUGGAUAGGGGUGGGUUAAAAAAAAGAACUAAAUGUUAGGUAGCAACCAUAUCAAAAAUCUAGUAUCUUGGCUGUAAUUACUGUAUGCACUUUUGGAGCACCUCAAGUCUAUCAUUACCGAUAGUGUACAUAUCCAGUCUUCCUUCAAGGUAAUGAGCUUUUUAAUUUGAAUGGCAUAUUUCAGGAGAAAAGGAGUAUUCGACCGACAUUUUCAGCUGAACAUAUAUAUGGUGGAACCUUAUUGGCAAUGUGCUCAAAUGAUUUUAUUUGCUUUUAUGAUUGGGCUGAGUGCAGAUUGAUUCGUAGAAUUGAUGUGAAUGUGAAGGUGAGCCCCUUCUUACCUCAAAAUUUGAAGAACCAAUAAUUGCUAUUAUCAUUUUGCUUAUUCAGUAUUUUGAACAUGCCAGAAUCUCUAUUGGGCUGAUAGUGGCGAUUUAGUUGCUAUUGCCAGUGACGCCUCAUUCUACAUCCUGAAGUACAACGUAAGCUUCUCUAUCUGGGUUUUUUGUCUCCUUCCAUCGAUCUGGGUUCUUAGAGAAUCGUUAUGCCACAAUGUUUUAUAAGAUUGUAUAUUAUAAUGGUGCAGCGGGAUGUGGUCUCCUCUUAUUUGGAUAGCGGAAGACCUGUAGAUGAACAAGGUGUAGAAGAUGCAUUUGAGCUUCUCCAUGAAAUGAAUGAACGAGUCAGGACUGGUAUAUGGGUUGGCGAUUGCUUCAUUUACAACAACUCAUCCUGGAGGCUUAAUUAUUGUGUUGGUGGGGAGGUAUUUGCGUCUGUUUCAUUGUUGGCUGCAAAUAUCUUUUGUAUAUAGAUAGAUGUUGUGUUUGCAGUUAACUUCAACAUAAUAUGCCUAUUGUUCAGGUAACUACAAUGUUCCAUUUAGACCGGCCAAUGUACCUGUUAGGUUAUCUUGCCAAUCAAAGUCGGGUGUUUCUGAUAGACAAAGAGUUCAAGUAAGUGCAUUCUUGGUUUGUCAACUUUGUGUAGUUGAAAGUCAUCAUGAUUAUAUUUAAUAUUAUGGUUCUUUAAUAUAUUUGUUUCUUUCUUUUCCAAUUUGCAGUGUGAUGGGGUACACACUACUUUUGAGUCUGAUCGAAUACAAGACACUUAUGAUGCGUGGAGACCUGGAAAGGGCCAAUGCAGUUUUACCUUCAAUUCCUAAAGACCAUCAUAACAGGUGCCCAGUUAGUCUUGCACUUUAUCCCUUUUUAUGGUUGAUUAGUCAGUUACCUUUGAUUGAAAGGUUAUGUUUUUUUAAAUGAAGGGUCUUUUAAAUGGUAAUGACAAUCUCCUGUAAUUGUAGUGUGGCUCGUUUCUUGGAAUCACGAGGUAUGAUAGAGGAUGCACUUGAAGUUGCCACAGAUCCUGAUUACAGAUUUGAGCUAGCCAUUCAGCUUGGUAGAUUGGAAAUUGCAAAGGUAAAUCCAAGAAAAUAUAACUAGUACGAGAGGUGCUGUUUACUUUGGCUUUUGAUGUUCUUUUGUCUUAUCCUGAAAUGGUAAGUGAAUUUGUGUGUUUUAUUUGCAGGAAAUUGCCAGUGAGGUGCAGAGUGAAUCUAAAUGGAAACAGCUAGGUGAACUAGCCAUGUCUACUGGAAAUGUAUGUUAUUUAUUUAUUUGGAUUCUCUUGAUAUUGUACAUAAUUAUUGCUUUACAUAUCUAUGGAGAGCAGUUAUGUUUGUUUUCCUCCUAACAACCUUAUAUUAGUUUCAUCUUUUGUUAAUAUAAUAUAUUCUUGCAGUUGGAAAUGGCUGAGCAAUGUUUGAAGCAUGCCAUGGACUUGAGUGGUUUAUUAUUGCUUUAUUCAUCUCUUGGAGAUGCUGAGGGAAUCUCAACACUUGCAUCCCUUGCUAAAGAACAAGGGAAGAACAAUGUUGCAUUCCUUUGUUUGUUCAUACUGGGUCGCUUGGAAGAGUGCCUUGACCUGCUAGUUGAAAGGUAUUCUUAUUUGUUCACUAGAUAUAUGAAGACACAAAUAUUGGAAUUAUAGUUGAUUAAUGAAGUAUUCUCUUUGCAGCAAUCGGAUACCUGAGGCUGCUUUGAUGGCUCGAUCGUAUCUUCCAAGCAAGGUUUCAGAAAUAGUAGCUAUUUGGAGAAAAGACCUUAGCAAGGUGACAUUUAAUAAUUGUGCUCAUGUCUUAUUUUGACACUUCAGGUCAUGUCUGCAUUUUGAAUGUUGAUUCAUUUGAUUUAAGAAAAUUAUAUAUGACAACUGAAUGCUCGUAUAGAAAGUUCACACAGCUGUGGAGUUGGAUGCAAUGGUUAUGUUGAGCUGGUUCACCUGGUUGUCCAUUUUGCACCCUCAUCCCUUUUAUUUGUUUGGCCACGAUAGAUUUGGUUGAUAACAGGAAAACAUCAUUAGCAAUGAAUAUGGAUUCCAUGUCCUAGAGCUGAGAAAUCAGAAUAUUGACUUAUACUGAGUGUGUCUUUGUUCUAGUUUCUAUCUAUAUUUUUAUUUAUUUGUUUGUUAUUUUUUCUUGAAACUGUCUAGGCAACAAGCAUCUUUAGUUCUAUAUUCGUUCUCAAGGAAAUAGGUGCCAAUUCUAGGAUUUGAAGUUCAGGAAAAAGAAACAUGGGAUUGUUUUGAACUCAUAUCCUGUAUAAGUUGUACAAGUUCUACUUAUCUCAUGUUGACAAAAAAGUGUUACUAAAUCUCAUAUCACAAUUUUUUCUGUAAACUUCAUGGACUUCUGCAAUUUUUUGUUCUCACUAGUUUUUCCAACUAGCUUCUUGUAUGUGUAUUUAUCAGCUGUAUUCAAUAAUGUUGGGUUUUUAUCGUCCACUCUGCUUUUGAUAUUGUGUCUUUGGAAUUCCAUCAGUAGACAACGAAGGGUUCAUUGUAUAGGACUUUAGGCCAGUACACCAAGUAUAUAUUAGUGUGAAUCUGGGCUUGGGAAAGAUUUAAUCUGAAACUCUUAAAUCAACACUUGUGGAUAUCACUGUGCAUCCAUGUGGGCACAUUUUUUGGCAUUAAUGUGGAGCCACCUUUUGUAGUCUUGUUCACUAAUGUAAUUUUAUUGAAAUUUAUUGUUGCCUCCAGGUUAAUUCAAAAGCUGCCGAAUCUUUGGCUGAUCCUGAACAGUAUUCUAAUUUGUUUGAAGAUUGGCAAGUUGCUCUGUCGGUUGAAUCUAGAGCCGCGGAGACAAGGUAUAGUUAAUGUGGCUAAAAUGGCACAAGUCUGUACAUCUUGUACUGGAAAUCUGUUCAUCUUAAAGAUUUCCCUGGGGAUGUUAUUUGAUCUAUUCAUUAAUUGUUGUCUUUUGAUUGUUUAUGUAGGGGUGUUUAUCCUCCUGCAGAGGAGUAUGUGAAACAUGUUGAUAAAACACACAUGACCCUUGUGGAGGCUUUCAAGAACUUGCAAGUGGAUGAAGAAAACUUGCAAAUGGAUGAAGAGGAGCCCCGUGAAAAUGGAGACUCAAACCAUGAGGUAAGAAAACUAACAGCUAAUGCGAACUAAUGCUACUUAAAAAUGUUGUUUCUGGUAAUCAAUUUAUUAUAGCUGUUAAUAUUUGUGAUAUCAACACAGCAGAUGUUCUGCCGGGAUGGAUCUUGUUAUUGUUUUUGUUUUUAUUUGUUCAUAUUUUAUUUUAUUUGUUUAUUAUACUUUACACCUAUAGGAGUUUAUAACUUUUAUGUUAUAUUUUCAUUUGAUUAUAGGUUUCUGAAUUGAAUGGGGAACAGACUGUAGAGAAUCAUGCAGAUGAACAUCAUGAGGAAGGGAGCCAGGAGGAGGCUGUUGUCGUGGAUGCUGAUUCUACGGAUGGCGCUGUACUCGUUAAUGGUAGCGAAGCUGAAGAAGACUGGGGUACGAAAAAUGAAGGAACCUCGACAGCCUAAAAAGCUAUGGGUUGGGCCAGUGUGAAAAUCCAAUUUUGUCUCUGGUGAUUAAUUGAUUCUAAAGUGCAAAUCUCUGACUCCCAUUCUGACAGCUUUCUGAUCUAUCUACUAUACCACCUUCUCCCCUAACUAUCUGAAACUUAAAAUAAUUUCAAUGAAUAACGGGUAAACGGGAUAUAUAUAUAUAUAUAUAUAUAUAUACACACAGUCCGUCUCAGCUGCGGACGUCUGCACCAAUGAUUUUGGUGCGGAUUUUCAUUUUUGCACCACUUUUCGAUCGAAUUUUCUCAUCUCCACCGUCUAGUAUCUAGAUAAUAUUGUGUAGAUCAUCUCUGUAAAAUUUCAGCCAAUUUGGUAAUCGUUAAGGCCCUCAAAAUUGUGUUUUUCUGGUAUAAACAUGAACCGGACAGAAUUCAGUCCGUCUAUUUGUUUUUCGAGUUUGAGGGCCUUAAUGAUUACCAAAUUGGUUGAAAUUUUGCAGAGAUGAUCUACACAAUAUUAUCUAGAUACUAGAUGGUGGAGAUGAGGAAAUUCGAUCGAAAAGUGGUGAAAAAAUGAAAAUCCGCACCAAACNNNNNNNNNNNNNNNNNNNNACUCCAGCAGCGUCCCCAGCCACUUUCCCUCCCCGGUGAGUCCAUUCUUUUCCGGUUUUCCGGCGAGAUCACCCAAAAACCAAACAGAGUCGAUCUCGCCGGAAACUGGAAAAAAACGGACUCGCCGGGGAGGGUAAGUGGUCGGGGACGCUGCUGGAGUCUUCUGGGGCGGAGGCGCGCCGGAGGAUGGAGAACGGACGGACGGACGUCCGCACUUUAAGCCGAGUGCGGACGUCCGCUCUACAUCCUUUCUUAUAUACAUAUAUAUAUAUAUAUAAAUUUAAUCAAGUUUUAGUAAAGAAAGCCUGUGUUGUCUGUGCUCAAGGGAUAUACAGACAAAACAGUAGGAAAAAUGGAUUUUCUGCUGGUUGGUUUUCUUGUUUGAUUUGAGUUUUGGCUUUUUUGGUAUGUGUGUGUGUAUUUAUAAUUAUUCUUAUAUGUGCUAAUUAGCUUGUAAAACCUUGGUAGUUUUGCAUUUUGGUAGUACGAUGUGGAGAAUCUCUUUCCUGUCUGCUUUCAUUAAUUUUUGUUGUUUAAUUUUAUCAAAAAAUGGUUAAUUGUGUAUAAUAGCUGGGAUCUUUUGAUAUCUUGAGGAGGUUUAGAUUGGGGGAGGAAUACAUUUAUUUUUUUUUUCUUAUUUUCUUGCGUUUGUUAGUUUCCAUCUAGGUAGUUUACUGCAUCCUAAUGCUUUUUUAAUAUGCUGUUUGCAGUGCUUACACCACGUCACUAGGUCCGUGUAAAGACUGCUGGUCCAGCUUCAUGGAUCCUUUAUUAAUGGUGAGGUGUUAUUUUUAUUGCUAGGAAUGAUUACUUUUGCUUAACUUAGAAAGUUGUUUCAAAUGAAAUAUACCAAAAUAUUGUUUUUUCCUGUAAAAGAAUUUUAUCAGUUCUUUGAGUGAGUUGAGCCUCACAGAAUUCCUUUCAUACUAGUGGGUAAAGCUGUUAUGCUCUGUUAUACACGUAGUUGUGCCAGUUAAUAUGCUAUUGUUUCAAUGUUGGUUUCUUUUCCUGUAACCUGAUGUUAUAUUUUCACAACAGGUCUCCUGCAAGAGGCUGACAAAGAGGUGAUGUAACGGAUCGGUUGUCUCUGUUACCCAGUGGUGUGGGCUGUAACCAAAUUAUAGUUUGUCAUGGGGCACAACAAAGUUAGUUCAAUAGUUUUAGUUAGUUUGCUCUUUGCGUUGCAGAUUUAAAAUAUUCUUUGAGGCCUUUCUCAUCAAAAAAUUUAUGGUGUCAUUGUGAAUGUAGAGAGAAUUGAGCUAGUAACAAGGUCGACCUUUACCAUUCACAUUUUAGAUUUUUGGUUCCCCUUAGCGUUUUAUGUUUUGGGAAUUCUUUUAUGCGGCUCAUUGUAAACGUGUUCGCGUAUUCAAUACAGUUUAUAUACACUUUUGAGUAUGAUGCAGCAACUAUUGCACUUGGCUUGUGUUAGCUGGUACUGGAUGAUACAUCUAGCUACUUGUGAUGUAAAGAUCAGCAUAAUACAAUGCUAGUCUCUGCCUACAAUUUCCAGGACAAGGUGCAUAAUAUGUUGAAAAAGUUGCCUGGGAAAAUGCUGGUGAGUGAGGCAUCUGAUUUUUUAAAGGUCUAAACCAAAAUGUAAAGCUUAUCCACCUCGAGUUGUCACACUGAAAUCAACAUACUUUUGAUACAAUAUAAAUGAUUCAUUUUUCACUUCCGGUGACGCAUCUUUGCGUCCAACGGGUAACCCUUAGGAGAUCUUGAAGUUGUUAGAGGAUUGCAUAUGAGAACUUGGAAACUGAUGGAUGGGCUUUGAUAAAUUGAUGUGAUGUGUGUAGUUGGCGAUGUGCGCAUGGAGUUUGGAUAGUUGGUCUGUUGUCAGUAAGACCUAGUUUUAUUAUGGCUGCUAGUGUUUCAUAGCUACCCUGCCUUGACAUGACAGGGAGAUGCUGAGAUUUUCCCCCUCCGUAGAAAAAAAAAAGAAAAAAAAAGAAGAAAAAAAGGAAAAUACGUUGUGUUUGUUGAUGGUUUUCAUUUGUUGUAAUAUCUUCUGUGUAUUGUGAUUACGGUUAGUUUGUAAUUAAUUUUUUUAAAUGAAACCUAAAAGUAAAAAUAAGUUUUUUUAUGUUUAUUAUAUUAAAGGUUUGCAGGUUUCCAUUUUAUACAGUCUCCAACUCUCCAUCAUAUAACUCGAUGCUAUAGUCCGAACUUGCAUAAGCUUUUAAAAAGAAAAAGAAAAACAAAAACAACUAAGAAAUAAUUAUUUGAAAUAUAUAUAAUAGUACUCCUCAAUGGACUAAUGAAUUUUAAUUUUUGAUACAAAAAGGUUUCCAAAGCAGAACUUCAUUAUGGAAGAAGAACAAGGCUCGUGUAACUGAGCUUAAAAUUCAAUUACUCUUAGAUCAUCCAGAAAUUGGCGUCCUUGGUGAGUAAUGGUGUAGCACUGUAGCUCAUUGCUUCCGUGUAGGUAUGAAUGAUUUAGAGACAAAAAUAUGGAUCUAUAAAAUAUAAAUUAGAAAAAGUUUCUCCAAGCCCAAUCACACCCCCAGCAACACGUGUCAGAAAAUGACCUGAAUUACAUGUGAGUCCUAUAAAACCCUAAGUAAGAAAAAUAGCCUCGUUUCGAUCUCUGGUCUCUUUCUCUUCUGCUCAAUUUGAAGGGCUAACAGAGAAACCCUUCUCCUUCCACCCUUCCAUAUAUCCCAAUCCUCCUCUCCAACCACUCACUCUCCCAAUAGAAUCAAAUCAAAUCCGGAAAACACUAUACUAUAAAACUCCACAUUUAUUUCUGGAUCUCUCUCUCCUACUUCUGCGGCCGCUUCUCUGUAAGUCCUGCUCCGUUUUCUAUUUACUUUUACAUUUUCAGGUUUAAUUUCAGAUACUGACCAGCAUCGUAGCCUUCGUAUAUGAUUUCAUAGUUUUCUUUAACUUUUUAUCCUGUAACAUUUGAUUUUAUUUGUAUUUUUUGAAUUUUUUAAUUCUGGGUUUAGGGUAUCUUAGUUAUUUCCUGCAGUAUUGGUUCAUUCUGGGUUUAUUAAAUGUUUAGUUCUGCAAUUGUGACGACCCAGGUUUUUGCUUUCUGAGAAAGUAGGGUUUUAGGUGUUAAGCCUCUGUUUGGCUUCUGAGGAAAUUGAUGAAAAUUAUUAGGAUAAGAUAACCCUACAGGCUUGAUUCUAGAGUUGUUUGUAGUUCGGCAACACAGUUAACUGUGCUAUUGAAAUUAGGGUUUGCAAUUUCCAUGAUGGGAAUGAAGUAAUAGUUGAAUUAGUUAACCCUUCAAAUUGUUAACAGCAUGCCAUAUGGUUCUAGUGGCAUUUUUACUUCCCUAUUUUAAUUUUAUCUUUUGAUUUAUGGGUCAGUUAUGAUUAUACCAAUGAUCUUACCUAGCAGGCAUCGUAUCCAUAUUCAUCUCUGGUCGAAUCCAACGUCUCAUUCUUUUCUCUUAUAUAUAUUGGAGUUUUUAUUGAUUUAUGUUUGCUGGGUUUAGUUAUUUACUUGCAAUUUGUUUCUUCUUUUGUGUUCCUGCAUAUACCUGGCAAAACUACUAGUUCUGUUCUUGUAGUUUAAGUCUGUUUCGUGUGCACUGGGAGAAAAACUUCCAAAUUCCAAUUCCUUUAGUACUUGCUCUUUUCAAUUGUAAUUUUGUUACCAGUCUGCAAACCAAAUAAUAAUGACGCUUUGUUCAAAAUUAAACCAGCGGAUGAGUUUUCCCAAAAUUUAUUUAUUAUUUCUUUCUACUAAGAUGCAAGUAUUAAUCUCCGCUUGAUGUGUCAGAGCUGAGAAUUUAUGUUCUCCUUGGUUAAGUUUUUGAACAACCCAAAAACGUAGCAUCAGAUACUUGCAACUCUUAGUGGUUAUAAUUUCUUAUUAGCUUGUUAUCUUCUUUCUGUAAUCACGGUAGGUGGAAUUUUAUAUUGGUGUAUCAUCUUCUAAUUGUACUCGCUUUACCUUUGGGACUAAUAACAACCAAUCUAUUUGGUGCACUUUGUUCAUUGUUUAAUCAUUUGUCCUGAUGCAUAGUUAGAUUCAUUAUGUAAUGCUUUGAGUUUUUAAAGUGUAUUGCAUCUUCUUGCCUGGGUUAGUGAACACUGUUUUUUUUUUUUACUUUUUUGAAAGCGAAUACUGUUUGUUUAACUUAAAUAGAUAGAUUUGACUGUC
rnacentral:lncRNA from 1 species